GAUUACCGGUUACUGCUUCGUCCUUACCCUUCAAUCCAACUGUUUCCCAUUUCCAUCGUGUUUACUUCCGAACGAACCAGGAGAAGAGCAGCCAAGAACAGCCACACCAAACCCUCGAUCUGAAAAUCCUUGAAUCUUUUUCCCUUUUCGCAUGUCGCACCAUUCUUCUUCUCCGUCACUCCACUGCCGAAAAACCCAGCGGUCGCUGAUUGCCCUUCCUUCGCACCUCGAUGCUGGAACCGAGCAAGCAGCCGAGAAGCUGCUUGAGCAGCUCCUCACUGCACCCCCGUCCGAGAUAAAAGUCGCCUCGCUGCUCCUCCCUUCCUCCCCUGCGGUCUCGUCGACCCCGAAGACACCGUUCUUCCUCCUCGCGAUCUGCAAUCGCCGGAUACCUCCCUCAGCCCUCUUUCUGGCCUGCGACGAGCAAGGAAACCAAAAGCCGCACCGUUGUCUUGGUGCUUUCCUUCGUGACUGCCAUCGUGUCCAGUUCGUUUCCUUGAUCGACCCACAAAUGAAAACGGGGGGAUAAAGCCCUAAUUCCUUUUAUGAAAACACGGGAUGCAUAUAAAAGCCCAAAGUCAUUUUUUUUUAAUUAGGAAAUGACCAAAAUGCCCUCCCUAUUAAACCAUUUAUUCAAAAUCACUCUCAACCCAGUUAUUGAACCCAUUUGUUUAAAACAACCCGUCAAUUUGUUUUUUUUUUUUUUUUUUUUUUUUUUUUUUUUUUUUUUUUUUUUUUUUAUAAAAAUAGUCCUAAUCAUUUAAUCAAAUUAACAAAAAGCCCCUAUACUUUAGUGAAGUUAAAAAUCAGCCCCCAAUAGUUUAAAUUCGUUACGAAACGGUCCCAAGAGUAUUUCAAAGUUCAAGGAUUGUGGAUUUGUGGUUUCACACAACAAGAUUUCUCAAAAGAAACCGAAUUCGAACAAAAGGAACCCACCCUUUUUAAUUUUUUAAUUAUUUCGCAAGAGGGGGAGGAAUACGUGUGCCUAUAUAUAUUUUGUUUAUAUAAAUAUAUUAUUCUUUAUGCGAGAAUAAAAUAAAUCUAAUUUAUAAAAUUGUUAUUUUAAAUUUUAACAUAUUGUUACAAGUAACUAGUAUAAACUUUUCAUAAACAUAUUUUGAAAUUUUUAUCGUGAAAUAACUAGUCUACACGAUAUAUGUUACAUGAUACAAAAAUAUAUUAUUUUUAUGUGACAUUGUAUAUUAUGACAAGCACAUUAUAACACUUUGUAGUAUUUCAAUGAUUCAAGCUAUUACUAUUCAUGUAUAUUUAUAUGUUUAAACACAUAAAGUUUAUACAUUUACAUAUGUUCAUUACUUUGAAACAUACAUCUUUAUAAAAGCAAGUACAUUACACUUUUACAUACAUACCAAGCAUACUUGGCUUUUAUAAAAUUCAUACAAUAAAAUGCACAAUGCCUAGUGACUUAAUCACAAUUAAGUUAGGGCUGAGAGUUAUUCACAAACUUUUUAGUUAAGACCUUUCUAGUGAGACGUUCUUCAUUAGCUAAGUUUAAACACUUAGCAUACCCACACUACUAUAACCGUUAAUCUUCGGAGCGAGAUACAAAUAUAUAGAUCUAUACAUGGUUGACAUCCCCACCUGCGAUUGCUAGCUACAACCUCUACCGAUCAAUCGAAGUGGGUGAUAAGUAUCUACGAUCGUUACUGCAACGUCCAAUGAAGUGUUGUAGGGGGUAGACUCAGUCACAUAGCUCGGUUAUAGGACUUACUACAAACAUUAACUAGAACCUCUCUCUCUCUCUCUCACUCACUACCAACCAUGGGCUUGGUUGCUUUCAAAACUAUUUUAAUUAUGGAAUUACUUAUGUAACAUAACAGUUUGGUUUUAAAGGAUAUUCAAAGAUUCAUUACAAUCAUUGAAGUAUGGAUUUUCUUAUAUAAAAAUACAUUUUGGCUUUUAAAGACUCAUUACAAACAUUGUUUUAACUAUUGAUAUACAUACAAGUAAAAUACUAUUUAGACUUAUUAAAAGUAUUACUGUUAUUAGCAGAAAACAAACAUAAAACAUGUAACACUCACCAACAUUGUGUUGACCCUCAAAACUACAUGUAUUCUCAAGAAAUCACUAAACAGACAUUCAAUACAUACUGGAUUGACCUUGUAUACUUACUGUUGUAUUAUAUGCCUAUCUAUUAAGGUAAUUCAUGUAUUAUUGUUAUUUAUAAAAACUUCGUAUUCAAAUAUCAAGAUGGAACAUGAAUGCUAUACUGUUUAUUAUUGUACUUGUGCUAUAUAUUCAGUUUACCUAUAAUAGAUGAAUUUAGUUGCACAGCCCAACGUGUUCUGCCGCCUCGACCAGGGGUGUGAUCGAUUGGUAUCAGAGCUAAAUUGGUUAUAGAGAACUCGUAUCCUCGAAAGAGAAAUACAGCUAUAGCAACUAGAUUCUAAUAAAAGUAUUAUUAAUAUUAAUUACACUACUUCUUGGCUACUUACGAUACGAGGAAUCCGGUUUGAAGGGCCACAUAGGGUUGUUGGAUUUCAGAACGACUUAAUUGCUAAAAUGGUCCUGUCCUCCGGUGUUUCCCGUGUAGCCCUCAUAUGUACUUGGUAGUCUUAUAGUAUAAUUUUUUUAAUAAUAUUACAAACCCCACCACAAUAAUAUAUANNNNNNNNNNNNNNNNNNNNNNNNNNNNNNNNNNNNNNNNNNNNNNNNNNNNNNNNNNNNNNNNNNNNNNNNNNNNNNNNNNNNNNNNNNNNNNNNNNNNNNNNNNNNNNNNNNNNNNNNNNNNNNNNNNNNNNNNNNNNNNNNNNNNNNNNNNNNNNNNNNNNNNNNNNNNNNNNNNNNNNNNNNNNNNNNNNNNNNNNNNNNNNNNNNNNNNNNNNNNNNNNNNNNNNNNNNNNNNNNNNNNNNNNNNNNNNNNNNNNNNNNNNNNNNNNNNNNNNNNNNNNNNNNNNNNNNNNNNNNNNNNNNNNNNNNNNNNNNNNNNNNNNNNNNNNNNNNNNNNNNNNNNNNNNNNNNNNNNNNNNNNNNNNNNNNNNNNNNNNNNNNNNNNNNNNNNNNNNNNNNNNNNNNNNNNNNNNNNNNNNNNNNNNNNNNNNNNNNNNNNNNNNNNNNNNNNNNNNNNNNNNNNNNNNNNNNNNNNNNNNNNNNNNNNNNNNNNNNNNNNNNNNNNNNNNNNNNNNNNNNNNNNNNNNNNNNNNNNNNNNNNNNNNNNNNNNNNNNNNNNNNNNNNNNNNNNNNNNNNNNNNNNNNNNNNNNNNNNNNNNNNNNNNNNNNNNNNNNNNNNNNNNNNNNNNNNNNNNNNNNNNNNNNNNNNNNNNNNNNNNNNNNNNNNNNNNNNNNNNNNNNNNNNNNNNNNNNNNNNNNNNNNNNNNNNNNNNNNNNNNNNNNNNNNNNNNNNNNNNNNNNNNNNNNNNNNNNNNNNNNNNNNNNNNNNNNNNNNNNNNNNNNNNNNNNNNNNNNNNNNNNNNNNNNNNNNNNNNNNNNNNNNNNNNNNNNNNNNNNNNNNNNNNNNNNNNNNNNNNNNNNNNNNNNNNNNNNNNNNNNNNNNNNNNNNNNNNNNNNNNNNNNNNNNNNNNNNNNNNNNNNNNNNNNNNNNNNNNNNNNNNNNNNNNNNNNNNNNNNNNNNNNNNNNNNNNNNNNNNNNNNNNNNNNNNNNNNNNNNNNNNNNNNNNNNNNNNNNNNNNNNNNNNNNNNNNNNNNNNNNNNNNNNNNNNNNNNNNNNNNNNNNNNNNNNNNNNNNNNNNNNNNNNNNNNNNNNNNNNNNNNNNNNNNNUUUUUUUUAUAAAAAUAGUCCUAAUCAUUUAAUCAAAUUAACAAAAAGCCCCUAUACUUUAGUGAAGUUAAAAAUCAGCCCCCAAUAGUUUAAAUUCGUUACGAAACGGUCCCAAGAGUAUUUCAAAGUUCAAGGAUUGUGGAUUUGUGGUUUCACACAACAAGAUUUCUCAAAAGAAACCGAAUUCGAACAAAAGGAACCCACCCUUUUUAAUUUUUUAAUUAUUUCGCAAGAGGGGGAGGAAUACGUGUGCCUAUAUAUAUUUUGUUUAUAUAAAUAUAUUAUUCUUUAUGCGAGAAUAAAAUAAAUCUAAUUUAUAAAAUUGUUAUUUUAAAUUUUAACAUAGUGUUACAAGUAACUAGUAUAAACUUUUCAUAAACAUAUUUUGAAAUUUUUAUCGUGAAAUAACUAGUCUACACGAUAUAUGUUACAUGAUACAAAAAUAUAUUAUUUUUAUGUGACAUUGUAUAUUAUGACAAGCACAUUAUAACACUUUGUAGUAUUUCAAUGAUUCAAGCUAUUACUAUUCAUGUAUAUUUAUAUGUUUAAACACAUAAAGUUUAUACAUUUACAUAUGUUCAUUACUUUGAAACAUACAUCUUUAUAAAAGCAAGUACAUUACACUUUUACAUACAUACCAAGCAUACUUGGCUUUUAUAAAAUUCAUACAAUAAAAUGCACAAUGCCUAGUGACUUAAUCACAAUUAAGUUAGGGCUGAGAGUUAUUCACAAACUUUUUAGUUAAGACCUUUCUAGUGAGACGUUCUUCAUUAGCUAAGUUUAAACACUUAGCAUACCCACACUACUAUAACCGUUAAUCUUCGGAGCGAGAUACAAAUAUAUAGAUCUAUACAUGGUUGACAUCCCCACCUGCGAUUGCUAGCUACAACCUCUACCGAUCAAUCGAAGUGGGUGAUAAGUAUCUACGAUCGUUACUGCAACGUCCAAUGAAGUGUUGUAGGGGGUAGACUCAGUCACAUAGCUCGGUUAUAGGACUUACUACAAACAUUAACUAGAACCUCUCUCUCUCUCUCUCACUCACUACCAACCAUGGGCUUGGUUGCUUUCAAAACUAUUUUAAUUAUGGAAUUACUUAUGUAACAUAACAGUUUGGUUUUAAAGGAUAUUCAAAGAUUCAUUACAAUCACAAUUUAAAGUAUGGAUUUUCUUAUACAAAAAUACAUUUUGGCUUUUAAAGACUCAUUACAAACAUUGUUUUAACUAUUGAUAUACAUACAAGUAAAAUACUAUUUAGACUUAUUAAAAGUAUUACUGUUAUUAGCAUAAAACAAACAGAAAACAUGUAACACUCACCAACCUUGUGUUGACCCUCAAAACUAUAUGUAUUCUCAGGAAAUCACUAAACAGACAUUUAAUACAGACUGGAUUGAUCUUGUUUGCUUGCUAUUGUAUUAUAUGCCUAUAUGUUAAGGCAAUUCAUGUAUUAUUGUCAAUUAUAAAAACCUUGUAUUCAAAUAUCAAGAUGGAACAUGAAUGCUAUAUUGUUUAUUAUUGUACUUGUACUAUAUAUAUUCAGUUUACCUGUGAUACAUGAGCUUAGUCGCAUAACCCUGCGUGUUCUGCCGCCUCGGCCGAGGGUGUGACAAAUUGGUAUCAGAGCUAAAUUGGCUAUAGAGAACUCGUAUCCUCAAAAGAGAAAUAUAACUAUAACAAGUAGCUUCUAAUAAAAGUAGAGUUUUUGGUAAUAAUAGGGUAGUUUUGAGAAAGGUUGGUAAAAAUAGGGCAGUUUUUUUUUCUUUGUAGAAAUGGGUCUUUUUUUUUCUUGUGGCUCCGUUUUUUAUUUUAGAAUUCAAUAAACAUUGAAUGUUACAUUUUUAGUCCUCUCACUUAAAUCAUUAAUUUUUUUGUUAGCUAUUAUUAACAAAAACUUUUGUUUUUACUCCUUUUAUUAAAAAUAUAUAAUUAAAUUCUAAUUAAUAUUUUGAAUAACUUAUACCAUUAAUAUAAAACUCACAAAUACCUAUGAAUAAAUUUCAAUAUUUAAUAUAUUUCAUUUAUUUGACCAAUUUUAUUAUAACUAAUAAAUAUAUAAAUAUUGUUGUUAUUUUAUAUUUUUGUUAUUUUUUGAAAAUUCCAAAAUAUCUGUUCAUGAUAGCAUACCUGCAAAAGCCUGUUAAAAAUUGUUGUCACUAUUCAUGAAAACUCAAAGAAAGCAAAUGACUGAAUUGUCUAAUCAAUUCAUUUUUUGUAAUAAAAUCCUCUUUUUAUCAUCAAUAUUUUUUCAUCCAUUUCAACAUAUAGAAUUCCCCUCUUCAUUUCUUUAUCUUUCCUUCAUUUGAGGUACGUCUUUUAUCUUAUGAUUUAUUGGUAUUGUUAUAUUCUGGUGUAUUUAUAGUAUGAGUCUAGAUCGUCCGUUUAUGAUUAAUUUGUACUGGGGUGGUAACAUUUUAUAUGAAAAUGGUUUUGUAAAGGGAGAUCAUUCAACUUUGACCACUUCAAAUGUUGUUAGGCAUAAACUGCAGUAUGAAGAAUUUAAGGAUUUAGUUUAUGAACACGUUGGAGUCAAAAAACAACAUAUAAGUUGAAUAUCUCACUAUGCUAUGAUUUUAGUGGGAAAUCUUAUAUUUCACGAAUCAUAAGUGACUCAAGUCUAGACAUGAUGUAUUAUUUGGCUGAGAAUGAUGAAAAUUACUACGCCCAAGUUAUUAUCGUAGUAGAAAAAAUUAAUCAAGAACAAGUAAUGCCUCCUACUAUAACCAGUUAUGUAGAUCUUCUAUGUAAUUUUGAAGUGUCAGAGCGUAAUACAUCGGAUGUAGCAUUUCCUUUACCUAAUGAUGUUAGAUUUGAAGUAGAAAAUGACUUUGGAUUUGAUGAAGCUAACUCACAAUUUAGUGAAGAUACUAGUACUGAAUUAUUCAAUAAUGUUGGGGAAGAUUCCGAUGAUGAUGUUUGUGAAACUCGGGUUAUGAGAUUUAUGAACGAUGUUGGAGAUGUAGGCGACGAUGACAUAACCGAUUUAGAAGACAACAUUCAUAUAGAUGUUUGGAAGGAAUCAGAAAACAAAAUAAGGUUAGGAAUGCAAUUUGAAAGUAAGGUACAAGUCAAGAAAGCAGUAACACUUUGGUCGAUCAAUCAUAAUAGAGAGUUUAAAGUGUACGAAAGUAAAAGUAACUUAUGGGUAGCAAAGUGUAAGACUCUAGGAGAUGAAGGAAAAAGUUCAGCUACUAUGAACUACACAUCACGUUGUGCAUGGUAUGUUCGUGCAAUUAAGAAGAAAAAUCAUCAAACGUGGAAGAUUACACGUUGGGUGGACGCUCACAAUUGCUUUGGAUCGUGUAUUGGAAAUAAUAAUAGAAGUUUAAACUCUUUAAAUAUUUCCUCAUACAUCCUACAUUCAAUUGAAAAAGAUGUUGCUUAUCCAGUGAAACAUAUACAAUCAGAUAUUAAAAACCUUCUGAACGUUGAUGUUUCUUACUGGAAGGCAUGGCAUUGAAGGAGAAAAGCCAUAGAGGCUGUUUAUGGAACAUGGGAGAGUAAUUUUGAUGAGUUGCCUAAGUACAUUGCAGCUUUGCAAGCUUCGAAUCCUAAUACAGUUGUGAAGUGGUUUCAUAAACCAAAUGACUCCUCAAAUCCUGCAACAUUUAAGUAUGUUUUUUGGGCUUUUGGACCUGCUAUUGAUGCAUCCCGUCUAUGCCGGCCUGUUAUUUCAGUUGAUGGUUGUCAUUUGAAGGGUUCAUAUAAGGGGAAAUUGCUUGUUGUUGUCACAAAAGAUGCUAACAAUAACAUAUUACCUAUCGCAUAUGCUAUUGUCGAUGAAGAGUCAUCACACAGUUGGUGUUGGUUCUUUUACCAACUCAGACAUUUUGUUGCUCAAGAUAGACAAUUAUGUGUGAUUUCGGAUAGGCACCAAGGAAUAAUCCAUGCAAUGGAAAACCUACAAGAAUGGAAAGAGCCAUUAGCAUACCAUCGAUUCUGUCUUCAACACAUUAGAAGUAAUUUCAUGAAAAGGUACAAGAACUUUAGUCUUAAAAAAUUAUGUUGGAAUAUUGGGAGCACCACACAGAAAAGGAAGUUUGUUACAAAUAUGAGAGAAGUCAAAAAACUCAAACUCGAAGCUUGGCAGUAUUUAAAACAAAUCAAUAAAAUCAAUGGUAUCUUGACAACAAAUAUCUCUGAGAGUAUGAACAAUGCGUUACGGGGAGCAAGACAUCUACCGAUUAGGGUGUGUAUUGACCUUACAUUCAACAGAAUCGUGCAACUUUUUAGAAAGCAUAGUAAUGUUGCAAUGAAUUGCAAUACACCUCUACCAUCACAUAUGUGGCAUCUAUUUUGUAACCGGGACACUCGUGCACAAAGCCAUAAUUUAACCAAGUUUCAUUACAAUGACGACGUCUACAGAAUUGUUACAAGUUACGGAUAAAUGGCACCGGAGGAAAUACACAUACUGUCCAUUAUUUUCAACAAACAUGCACAUGUGGAAAAUGGCAAAUGGAAAGAUUCCCGUGUUCUCAUGCUCUUUCAGUUUGUCGGUAUAGAGGGGAUAACCCUCUUUCUGUUGUGAAUAAGGUGUACACUACAACGACAUAUAAACAUCAGUAUAAUUCUGCUUUUGUACCGCUUUCUCAUGUUGAUUAUUGGUUAGAGUCAGAUUGGAAGAUUCAAGCAGAUUACUCGAAACUCUCUGUUCAUCAAGGUCGGAAACGUUCAAAUAGUUUUCAUAAUGAGAUGGACAUUCGCCACCCCGAAGAACCUCGCAAAUGUGAACUAUGCCACCAACCUGGUCAUAAUCGAAGAAAUUGUUCAAAUUCUCAACCAAGAUACAAUGCCAUGUGAAGUAUGUACUUUUAUUAAUUUAUGUUUAAAUGUGUGCUUAAUUUGUAUUGUUGCUUAAUGCUUAUUUAGUAAUGUAAUGUCAUAUUUAAAUGCUUUUGUAAUUUUGUAACAAUGUAAUAUAUUCAAUAUUGAUGUUUUAUUUGAAGGUGUUGAUUAGAUUUAUUUAAAAAUGUAAUUCCCUAAAAAUAAUACACGAACAUAUUUUUAAAUAAAGUAAUCAAUGUAUAAUAUAUAAUAACAAUAAUAUUCAUAUAUUUAUUAAUUAUAAUACAAAUCGAUCGAAUAAAUGCAAUAUAUUAAAUAUUGAAAUUUAUUCAUAGAUAUUUGUGAGUUUUAUAUUAAUGGUAUAACUUAUUCAAAAUAUUAAUUAAUUAGAAUUUAAUUAUAUAUUUUUAAUAAUAGGAGUAAAAUCUAAAGUUUUUGUUAAUAAAAGUUAACAAGAAAUUAAUAAUGUAAGUUAGAGGACUAAAAAUGUAACAUUUAAUAUUUGUUGAAUUCUAAAAUUAAGAAACGGAGGUGAAUCGGUGGGGCCCUAAGAAAAAAGACUCAUUUCUACAAACAAAAAUAAAACUGCCCUAUUUCUACAAACCAUUCUCAAAACUACCCUAUUAUUACCAAAAACUCAAUAAAAGUAUUAUGAAUAUUAAUUACACUACUUCUUGGUUACUUACGGUACGAGAAAUAUGGUUUUAAGGGCCGCAUAGGGUUGUUGGAUUUUAGAACGACUUAAUUGCUAAAAUGGUCCUACCCUCCGGUGUUUCCUGUCUAGCCCUCGUCUUUACUCGGUAGUCUUAGAGUAUAAAACAAAAUUUAAUAAUAUUACAAACCCCACCACAAUAAUAUAUAUAAAUUAUAUAUACCUUGACCCAUGAUGAGAACACUUAAUAAAACUCUAACACACCUCCAACCAAAACUACCAACUCAACCCUUUAGGUCAAACACCUCAAUUAAGGUUAGUACGGUACAUAAUUCAUACCAUAAAUAAACCUGGAACGUAUGCCUAUGUUAUUUAUGGUCGGGCCGGUGAACAACCAAACUUGAGCAAGAAGUUUGACAGAUUACAAUGGUCGAAAGUUCUAGAGAUUGAAGGAUGUUCUCAAGAUUCGCUAUAGAAACCUAGUACCUUAGAAACCUUAUAUCAACCCCAAAACAACAUAUACAAUAUAAAAAUACUUAAAAAUCUAGGAUAACAUUCAAAUUUUCCUAGUUCGCCUAAAACCAAAGAAGAUCAAAGAAUUAAUAGCACUGCUACCAUCGUAGCAGAGAAACCCAUAGUUCCUAAUCGAUCAUUCAGUAGUGUCCAAACUUCUCUCUCUAUCAUUUGAAAUUGGUAGGAUUUCAACUCUCUCUCUCUCUCUCUCUCCAUAAUUUGGAAACCUAUAGGAUUUUUAGAAUCGAUUACUCUUUAUAAUUUGGAAAUCUGGAGGAUUUCUAGAAUCAAUCACUCUCUAUAAUUUGGAACUUUCCCAUGAAAGGAUUGGAUGUGACUGCUUACACCUCCCGAUUUAACGACCUCACAAACCUUAGCCCAUGAAUGGUAAACCCGGAAAACAAGGAGACCAAAAAGUACAUCUGAGUAUUAGCAUCACCAGUUCAACGUCUGUUUGCUGCGUCCAGACCCACUACCUUCGAUAGUGCUAAGCAAUUCGCCUAUCAAUUGACUGACCAUUGUAUCCGUCAAGGUACCAUAAUCCUACAAAUCGAAAGGAACUAGACUAGGAGUACAAAGAGGAAGUUCCAUGGAAACUCAAAUGGGAGCUCCAAUAAUCACAAAACCAAUCAAAAAAUUACGGUUGUGUACUCCGUACUCAUAAACACUCCCUUCCAUCAAAGCCCUACUCUGGGUAUUUAGCCCUACUAUACCAAGUGCAAUUUCCACCAUGUCGGAAAUUGCAUGGUCUGCAACAAUUGUAACUUAAGAGGUCACACCUCUAGGUACUGCAGAAAGGCCCAAACAAAAAAACUUCAACCACCGUUGCAAGAGGAAAUCAAAAUUGCUUCGAAUACAAUCAGCCAGGGUAUUUCAAGAAGGACCCCUCGAAACAGAAGAAUCAGGGUGAAAAACGAAGAGCAUUUGUGAGAGGUGUUGGAGAUGAUCUCUAGGAACCAACUAUGGUUACUAAUAUGUUUUCUAUCAACAAUAUUUAUGCUUCCAUAUUAUUUGAUACUCGUGCCGAUAGAAGCUUUAUUUUUCCCUAAGUUUAGAAGCUCGAUUAACCAUUAAUCAUGAAAACUAUAAAAAGAUUUCACUAUAGAAGUAGCAAACGAACGGUUAGAAAGCACUUUGGAAAUACUCACAACUUUCCUCCUUACCCCGUAUAACCACGUCUUUCAUGUCAACCUAAUACCUAUGACCAUCGGAAGUUUCGAUGUGAUCAUUGGAAUGGACUGGUUAUCACUUCAUCAAGCAAAUAUAUUAUGUCACAAAAAGUCGUCCGACUACCUUUACCAAACAACAAAGCCAUCAAGACUUAUAGAUGCAAAUCAGGAAAGAACUUAGGAGUCAUCAUGUAACGCCUGCAGAUUCGGGCUAGUCAAUUUAGAGACAAUGAGCGUCAAUAAUGACAUUUUUGAUAUAUGAUAAUUUAGAAUAAAUAAUCUUGACCAAGUGAUAGCAUAUGUCACAAGGUUUCCGUACAUAUAAAGAACGCUGAAAUCCGAGUUAUAACAAAGAAGUUAUGACUCGUCGAAGUUUUACGGCUAAACCGACACGACACCGGGAAUCGUAAAAAGUGAAUUUGCGAUAAAAUACUUUUUAGCCUUAGCGAUCUAAACAAAAUUCGUAGUAUAUGUUAAACCAAGAGUGUGCAUAAAAAGAACGUCCAAAUCUGACUUCGUAUGAGGAAGUUAUGAUUUUUCUAAGAUUUAGCAUUGUAGUGCACAACCCGAAAUUUGAAUUUUAGAUCGUUCAAUUUUUAGCCAAAAUAAUCUAAAUGAGAAAUGAAGAUAUCAUUAAUAGGAGUUAAACGAUAAAAAGACAUUCGAAAACAGAGGUCGUAUUGCGAAAGAUAUGGACGAAGCUUAGUCCCUACUCUUCGAGUGUGGCGAAUUCGAUACAGUUUUGUAAAUCUGAGAUAGAGUGAGAAUUAGCCGACGAGAUAUAUAUGAAAGUUGUAGUACUCGUAAAUACCAACACGUGGAUAUAAAGAAUGUCGAUAAUAGAGCUCUUAUGCGAAAGAUAUGGACGAAACUUAGUCCUUACUCUUUGAGCGCGAAAGAUUUCAUACAGUUUUGCAAAUCGGAGAUAGAAUGAGAAUUAGCCGACGAGGUCUAAAUGAAAGUUGUAGUAAUCGUAAAUACCAACACGUGAAUAUAAAGAACGUAGAAAACAAAGCUCGUACUCGGAAGAUACGGACGAAGUUUAGGGGCUACUCUACGACAAAAUCCCUAUAAAUAAAGGAUGAAUCCUUCAUACUUUCUUCACACCAUAACCUUUCUUUCUCUCUCUAACUUCUCUCUAGCCUCCUUAAACCCCUCCCAAGUCUAGGAAACCUCCCUAGCACGAGAAGGAAGCCCCGGAGCGCCCGAAAGCUCCGAGAAGAAAAGCUUUUGGCUCGGAAACGCUGCUCCAGCGAAGCUCGAUUUUUUUUAAUAAAAACCUGCUGUAAGUGAGCUACGCCUACGCUAUUUUUAAUAUAGCUUCUAAUUAAUUAUAGUAACAUUAUUAGGACCUUAAAAUAAUUAUUUGGGCUAUUAUUAUGAGUUAUAUAAGAGUGUUGUUUAACGCUUAUAUGAUAGUAAUAAUAGCUAGACUAUUAAUUAGUCGCGGUUAACGUUAGACUAAACCCUAGCGGUAUUGAUACUAGGUUUUGUCGAAGGAAAUUGUUUUAAGAGUAACGAAGCGUUGUCUAAAUUCGGAAUCACCACCUUACCAAGUGAGUGCAUAGUUACUAUCAUCUUACACAUAGGUAUGAAGUAUUUUAUAUAAAUUACGUGCUAUGUGUGUAUAAUGUCUGAAUACUUGUUGUCUAUGCUGGAUGAAACAUUUUAUACAUGUUUUAAAUGAUCUAAACUGUAUAUGUAUUUUAUAUCAACAAAAUGUGUUGGGUAAAACAUGGGUAGAUUUGAGGUGAGAUAAAUGAUGAGCGAUGAAAGAUGAGAUAAAGGAUGAGCGAUGAAAGAUGAGAUGAAAGAUGAGCAAUGAUACAUGAGUGAUAAAAUAUGGUGUGAAGCGAUGAGCCAAAACAAUGAGCCAAACGAUGACCCAAGUGAUGGCCCCAUCAUCUAGCAGAGUAUGGAUGACAACCAUGGACUAUUCUAGACAGUCUGGUGGAACACUAACAGCCUCACAACCUGUAGGUGUUGUGAACGAUGUGUUCACCCGGUGUACUCUAAAAAGCCAUUGACAGGUAUUGCGAGUUGACUCUCGAAAACGAUACUGUCAAUAAAUGAGAUAAACCCUGGCGACUAUGCAGACUUAGUGCCGAUUCCUUAGGAUACUCCUUAGGAAUGAACGAACGAGGAAUAACUGAAUCUUACGGUAGAUCCUUAAGAUUAAAGAAGAUAAUGUUGAUGGGUAAUUGGGUUGAUUGCUUGAUGUUUAACAUAAUAAUUAUAUUAUUGUGGGUUGAAAACCCUAUGUACUCACCAGGUUUCCCAACCCGACCCACUCAGUUUAUUUAUAUCACAGGUGUUGAUAUGAAGUAACAUUACACUGAGAGAUUAAGGAGAUAUAAAUCAUUAGUGAUAAUGAAUGUAAGUUCUGUUUAUGCUUAUUUUACUAUAUUGACGAUGACAUCCCAAAUGUUUUAAAAUGAAUAAAAAUACUUUUCUUUAGAAAUGCUUUGAUAACGUAUUUAUCAUGUUUUGCUGGGAUCAAAUUCCGCAACAUUUUUAUUAAAAGAGGUACUCUGAUUUUUAUAAAGCAUAAACAAAAUCGGUCUUUUUUGGCCGUGAAAAUGGGGAUGUCACACAUCACUUGCAUGAAGGCAAGGAAGCAUUGCAGAAGAGAUGCUUCACUUUCUUGGUCCACGUGGUGGAUAUGGAAAGACAAGGGUAAGGAAAUCAAAGACAUACCGCUAAUGUGCCAUUACCCGGGCGUAUUUCCAAAAUAUCUAACAUAGUACCUCUAGUCAGAUAGGUCGAAUUCCGAAUCGACCUAAUCUUGUGUGCAACACUAAUGGCAAGAUCUCCUUAUCGCCUAGCUCCAUCAAAAACGCAAGAACCAUCCAAUCAACUUCAAGAACUUCUUGACAAAGGCUUUAUCCGGCCAAGCAACUCUCCAUAAGGAGCUCCGUUAUUGUUUGUGAAAAAGAAGGAUGAAUCGUUUAGGAUGUGCAUCGACUAUCGAGAAUUAAACAAACUCGCCAUCAAAAACUAAUACCCACUUCCCGAGGAUCGAUGACCUAUUCGACCAACUACAAGGAUCCUGUUACUACUAAAAGAUCCAUCUAAGAUCCGACUAUCGUCAACUCAAAUUUCAAGACACAUACAUUCGAAAGACGACAUCCUGGACUUGGUAUGGUCACUAUGAGUUUCUGGUUAUCCCAUUUCGACUGACCAACGACGCCAACCAAAUUAUGCCAAUUCUUAAGGCUUGCAGGUUAUUAUUAAAGACUCAUCGAUAACUUCUCCAAAAUAGCCAAGCCUCUCAACGCUUUAUCCUAGAAAGACAAAAAGUUCGAUUGGGGAGAUAGUCAAGAGUCUACCUUCUGGAAAUUGAAGCAAUUCUUGUGCAGUGCACUAAUUUUGUCUCACCCAGAAGGAACAUAAGACUUUGUAGUAUUCUACGACGCCUCGCACCAAGGGUUAUGAUGUGUACUGAUGCAAAAAAAAUAAUGUCAUUGCAUAUACAUCCAUACAACUUAAUCCAAACAAGACCAACUACACUAUCCAUGACUUAGAGUUAAGAGGUCUAGUGUUUGCCUUCAAGAUUUGGAUACACUACCUAUACGGGAUGAAGUGUGUCAUGUCCACCAACCGUAAAAGCCUUCAACACAUAUUCAACCAGAAGGAGCUCAAGAUAAGACAAUGAAGGUGGGUAGAAUUACUAAAUGACUACAUAUGUGAAAUUCAUUAUCAUCCUGGAAAACCAAAUGUCAUGAUAGAUCCAUUAACUAGGAAAGAGAAACUAAAGCCACUUUGGGAUAAAGCCUUAACCCUAACCACCCACUCCAAUCUCACCACCCAAAUUCAUGAUACUCAGCUGGAAGCACUCAAAACCUAAGAAUAUCGUAGAAGAAAACCUACGAUGUAUUGACAAACAAUUUGACCUCAAGGGAGACGGAACAUGAUAUUUCAUAGUUUGGUGAAGUCAAGAGUCUAGUUUUAAAUGAAGCUCAUAAGUCAAGAUAUUCAAUACAACCUGGAUCAGACAAGAUGUAUCUUGAUCCCAAGAAGCUUUAUUGGUGGCCCAACAUGAAGGCAGAGAUUUCCACAUAUGUCAGUAAAUGCUUGACCUUCUCCAAAGUCAAAGCAAAGUACCAAAAGCCAUCAGGACUAGUAUAAUAACUGUCAAUCCAAUAAUGUAAAUGGAAACAGUUAACCAUGGACUUCAUAACAAAGUUGCCAAAGACAUCAUGCGGCUAUGACUUCGUAUUGGUUAGUAGUUUACCAUUUCACCAAUUCCGCCCAUUUCCUAGCCAUCGAAGAGACCCACAAGAUGAAGAAAUUUAACAUGACCUAUCUCAACAAAAUAGUCAGACUGCUUGUUAUACCAAUAUCUUUUAUAUCAGACCGAGAUAGUAGAUUCACUUCUAAAUUUAGGCGAUCAUUACAAGGGUUCCUAGGAAAUAAACUCGAUAUGAGUACAACAUACCAUCCUCAAACAGAUGGACUGAACAAAAGAAAAAUACAGAAUCUAGAAGAUAUGCUUCGUGCUUAGGUAAUAGACUUCAAUAUUUCAUGAUAUACUCACCGCGUGUUAGAUGAGUCCUCAUAUAACAAUACUUAUCACAUUUGCAUAAAGGCUACUCCAUUCAAGACGUUAUACAGACACAUAUGUCGUUCUCCUAUAUGUUGGAUAGAAUUGGAGAUACCCAACUAGAUAAAAAGCAUGGUAUAGAUACUCCACUGACUAGCCCUGAGAUCAUUCAAGAAACAAUAGAGAAGAUAGCUCAGAUAAAGGAACGAUUAAAGGCCACACAUAUUCCGUAGAAAAGCUAUGCUGACGUAAGAUGCAAAUCCUUAGAAUUUUGUAACAUCCUGAAGUUCAGGUACUUCUAAAUUCAUCCUUAUAAUUCUAUUUCACGUCAAAUUGGUCCCUAAGUCCAAGAGUUAUGCUUUGAAGCCCUAAUGGCAAUUUCGUAAUUUAGACACAAUGAGUACGCCAAACGUACAUGUGAGUAUGUUGAGCGUACUAGGGUGCACCCUAGUGCCCCGCACGUAAACUUAUGUACGCGGGGCGUACUAAUGUUAGGAGGAAGCCCUAAUUUUUAGGUUUUGAGGGUAUUUAAGCAACACUAUGGCUCAUUUUUCCACACCCUUUCAGUCACCACCUCCUUUGAGACAUUUUUGCAAACCCUAACCCUUAAUUGUGUGUUUUGGAGCUCAAGUGUGUGUUUUUGGUGUAUUGAAGGAUGAAGAAGAUUCUUGGAGAAUCCUUGGUGUGGGGGCAACUUGUUGAUCUAGGAUUCUUACCUUCUCGAGAAGCUCCAGAAGAUAUAAAACUUUGAUCUUGACUUGUAUUUAUUAAAGAUCUUGUCAUGAGAAAUUUAUGUGUUUUUAGUCCCUUUCUUGUGGUCAAUGUGAAUCUUGGAGUACGCUAAGCGUACCUACAGAGUAUGCCCCGUGUACUCAAACUGGGUCAGCUCAGUGGGUUAACUCAGUUGGGUUGACUCGAGUAGGUUGACUCAGUUGACUUAAGGGUUUGACUAGUUGAAUUUGACCAUGUUUGACUAGGUUGGACGUUGGGGUAUUUUGGGUACUUUGGGAGUUUGAUGGAAUUGGUCAUUUGGUGGAAAUAGGUAUCGGUUUCAGAGCUAAGAUUCAGAUUUGGGUCUUAUUAGUUCAGUUUAAUUUGCGGGGUGAGUUUUCGUCAUUGUACUUACGGGUGGAAGGCACCAAGGCCAUCUCUUUGGAUUGUUAUACUAGUUUAUCGUAUGAUUGUGUACUAUAAUGAUCAGUUAGAGUUGUAUCCUAGUAGAUAGGAUGAUGAUAUGCUUAGGGAUCGAUAAGAUAUGUCUGUUUGUUUAUUGGUUGGUUAUUUUUAUGCUUGUUUGUUAUAUACGUGUGUCGACACGGUAUAUGUGUAGUUGGGUUGAGGUGGUCCUGGUUUGUGCUGAAGGCCAACAGACCUAGGGCGUCCCGGAUAGAAUGAAGGCCAAUAGGGUGUACUAGUCAAGAUGAAGGCACAGAGAACGGUCUAGAUAGGCUAAUGCGCGAGUGUGGGAAGUGCUUUAAGGUUUAUAAUGGGGCUUGACGAUCAGGAGGUGGGUGCCAUAAAUAUGAAAAGGAUGAGCAUUAUAUAAGGGACUGCCAGUAGUUGGCCCCAACGCUAAGUACCAGGAUUUGCUAUCAUUAUGAUCAGGUAGGCCAUGUUAAGGUCAACUGUACAUUGCUUGCCCCCAAGCCGACACAUGCCCCGGCGCCAGCUACAUUGAGGAUCACACGUCGGAGCCAAGAGAGGGCGGAGCCCCCGAUGCCUCAAGGUCAUGCUUUUUAGCUCACUUUCAAAGAGGGAAGAGUAGAUCCAGAUGUUGUGAUUGGUAUGUUUCUAUCUGUUAUCUUGUUGAUUACGUUUUAUGUUAUGCUUAUAUGUGUGCCUCUGUUAGGUAGGUUCCUAGUGAACUCUUUGCCUGCUCUUGUGUUGUUUGACUUGGGUGCGGUUUGGUCCUUUGUAUAUCUUUUGUUAAGUAGAGACUUUGAUAUCCCUAUAGGGGAGUUAGAGUGUCCGUUACGGAUUUAUAUCGCCAACAAACACGGGGUUUCUACGUCAUAUUUGUAUUAGGGUUGUGUAUUGGAGAUCUUCAGGGUGCCUUACCCGAUCAAUGUGAUCCUUAUUGCCAUGAGGGAUGUUUGUGUGAUGGUCGGCAUGGAUUGGCUGAGCUGGUUUGGUGCUAUGAUUGAUUAUGAGGGCCAGCGAGUGGUAGUUCGAACCCCAAGUAGGGGCGAACUGGUUAUCUAUGGAGAGGGCACUAGGAUGGGUUCAAGGUUUUGUUUAGCGGCCAGGGCUCAUUAAUAUAUUCAACACGUUUGUGUGGUCUACUUGGCUUAUUUGGUGGAUACACGUGUUGGGAAUCAUAUUUCACUUUAUAAGGUCCUGGUGGUCAGGGAGUUUGCAGACAUAUUCCUGGAGGAUUUGCCUGGUGUACCUCCCGAGAGGAAGUUCGAGUUCAGGAUUGACCAUGUGCCAGGUGUAGCCCUGAUUGCCAAGGCGUCAUUCCAUUUGGCACCGCCUGAGAUACUGGAGUUGUCGUCUUAGAUGCAAGAGCUCCUUGGAAAGUAGUUCAUCAGAUCGAGCAGUUCUCCAUAGGGAGCAUCGAUACUAUUUUUCAAGAGGAAUGAUGGUUCAUACUGGAUGUGCAUUGAUUACCAGGAUUUGAACAAGUUAAAGGUGAAGAACUGUUAUUCCCUCCCGCAGAUUAAUGACCUCUUUGAUCAGUUUCAGGGUGCAUCUUGGUUCUCCAAGAUAGAUCUAAGGUCUGGGUAUCAACAGGUUAGAGUAAGGGAGGAGGACGUGGAGAAGACUGUGUUUCAAACUCGUUAUGAGCAUUACGAGUUCGUGGUGAUGCCAUUUGGGCUCACCAAUGUGCAUGCAGUGUUUAUAGAUUUGAUGAAUCAGGUAUGCAGGCUGAUGGUUGAUCGUUUUGUUAUUGUGUUUAUCGAUGAUAUCUUGGUGUAUUCCAAGAUGAGAGAGCAACAUGAGGAGCAUCUUCACAAGAUUCUGGGGGUUAUGUGACGAGAAUGUCUAUAUGCUAAGUUCUCGAAGUGCGAGUGUUGGUUACGAGAGGUCCAGUUCCUUGCGCACCUCGUUAACCAGGAUGAGAUUUUGAUCGAUCUGGCCAAGAUCGAAGCUGUAAUGCAGUGGGCGGUUCCGAAGUCUCCCUCGGAUUCAGGAGUUUGUUAUCCAGGGUACUAUCGGAGAUUCAUUCAGUAUUUCUCCCAGAUUGUAGUAUCUCUCUUUUCUAACAAGCAAGGGGUGGAUUCCUGAUGGGGCCCUAAGCAAUAGUUGGCAUUUGAGACCCGUCGGCAGAGGCUAUGUAAGGCCCCAGUUUUGACCCUCCCAGAGGGAAUUGAGGAUUUCAUGGUAUUCUGUGAUGCUUCCAUCACUAGUCUAUGGGCACUCCUCAUGUAGAGAGGAGUGGUGAUAGCUUAUGCUUCACGGAAGUUGAAGUCGCACGAUAUGCGAUAUCCUACCCAUCAUAUGGAGUUGGAGGCAGUGGUUUCCGGUCGAAAACAUGGGAUUACUAAAGGUCUCAUGUUGGAAAGGUGUGAUACACUUCUGGAAGAGGGGGAAGUUGGGCCCCCGGUAUAUUGGGCCUUUUCGGGAGAUUUCCAGGGUAGGUAAGGUUGCUUACAAAUUGGAUCUUCCUAAGGAGCUCGGUCAGAUUCACUACACUUUCCAUGAUUUGCAACAGCAAAAGUGCAUAUUGGAUGAGGUGGCAGUGGAUUCCUUGGAUGAUAUUCUGGUCGAUGAUCACCUGAACUAUGUUGAGAGGCGGGUGACUAUCCUGGAAAGGAAGGUGAAGGUUAUGCAUAAUAAGGAAGUACCUUUGGUAAAGGUACGGUAGCAGCACCAGAGGGGCUCCGAGUAGACCUGGGAGCCGAAGGCUGAGAUGCUGGAGUAGUAUCUGGAUUUGUUCACUACAUCAGAAUUUGAGGAAGAAUUCUAGUUCAAGUGGGGGAGAAUUGUAACAUCUCGGAGUUCAUGUACUUCUAAAUUCAUCCCUAUAAUUUUAUUGCAUGUCAAAUUGGUCCCACUAAGUCUAAGAGUUAUGCUUUGAAGCCCUAGUGGUAGUUUCAUAAUUUGGGCAGGAGGAGUAUGCCAAACGUACAUGUGUGUACAUGGAGCAUACUAGGUCAUAGUGUACACUUAUGUACGCGAGGCAUACAAAUUUCAGGAGGAAACCCUAAUUUUUAGGGUAUAAGGGGUAUUUAACCAACAUUAUGGCUCGUUUCUCCACACAUUUUCAGCGUCCACCUCCUUUGAGAUGUUUUUGCAAACUGUAACCCUUGAGUGUGUGUUUGGGAGCUCAAAUGUGUCUUCUUGGUGUAUUGAAGGAAGAAGAAAAUUCUUAGAGAAGCCUUGGUGUAGGAGCAACUUGUAGAUCUGGGAUUCUUACCUUCUUGAGAAGCUCCAGAAGCUAUAAAGCUUUGAUCUUGACCUGCAUUUCUUUAAGAUCUUGUCAUGAGAAAUUUAUGUGCUUUCAGUCAUUUUCUUGGCCUUAAUGAGUAUGAGCUACUCUAAGACCAAAGGAUAUGUCCUUUCAUAAGAAUUGAGGUGCAUUAAGUCAUAAAAAUGCUAUCUUGGCUCAUUUGGUGCAUACAUGCAAGUUAUAGAGGCCUUAAGUGGUUAAGACAAACUAGGAUCUUGGUUUUGGGACUUAAUAAUACAUGCAUCACCAAAAAGUUGGAAACUUAAUGAUUUGGAACACCCUUUUAGGUUUGGAUCUGAAAUUGGACGUUUGGACUUGUUGAAUUAAGCACUUAAUAAGGAUUUUGGGAGGUGCGAGGGUACGCCCUGCGUACAAGGACGUAAGCCCUGUGUACUCGGUCAAUCACCUCAAUGGUGGUCAAUGUGAGGCUUGGAGUACGCUAAGCGUACCUCCAGAGUAUACCCUGCGUACUCGCAUUUGGUCAGCUCGGUGGGUUGACUCAGUUGAAUUUGACCGUGUUGAACAAGUUUGACCGUGGGAGUAUUUUGGGUAUUUUGGGAUUUUGAUGGAAUUCAUCAUUUGGUGGAAAUAGCUAUUGGUUUGAGAGAUGAGAUUCGGAGUCGGGCCUUAUCAUUUCAGUUCAGUUUGCGAGGUGAGUUUCCUUACUAUAGUUAUGGGUCGAAGGAACCAAGGUCGGCCCUUUGGAUUGUUAUCCUGGUUUAUCGUAUGAUUGUGUAUUGUAGUGAUCUGCUAGAUCUAUAUCAGGUAGAUAGGAUGAUGCUAUGAUUAGGGAUGUAUAAGAUCUGUCUAUUUGUUUAUUGGUUGGUUAUUUGUAUGCUUGUCUGUUAUAUAUGUGUAUCGACACGGUGUAUCCGUGGUUGGGUUGAGAAGGUCCUACUUUAUGCUGAAGGCCAACAGACCCUGGGUGUCCCAGAUAGAGUGAAAACCAGUGAGGAGUACCAGUUAGGUUGAAGGCUUGGAGAAUGGUCCAGAUAGGCUAAAGUCUCGGUGUGGCGUACCAGUCAUGAUGUUGGUUAUGUGAGCGUACCAGGUAAACUCUAGGCUGGUGGGGCGUUCCAGUCAUAAUCAAGGCUCUAUAUACAUGUUGUUUUUUGUUAUUGUUAUGAUUAUGUGUUGUGUUGGUAUUUUGGGGGAAACUCACUAAGCUUUGGGCUUACAGUUUUGGGUUAUGUUUCAAGUACCUCAGAUGAUCGCGGAAAGGCAAAGGCAUGAUCGUGCACCUCCUCGUGUGUUUGUCUUAUGAUUUUUGGAAAACUAUGAUAUUAAACAUUUUUUGAAAAAUAAAUUUUCAACAAUGAUGAUUUGUGUGAUGGUUUAAAUGUUUAAAUUUUUCAUGAGUUUUAUAGACGUUAUAAAUUUAAAAUAAGAGAUAGUGUCCUACUAAAGGCCGCAAGAUAGAAAGGUAUCAAUUAGAUUUGGAAAACAAUGUAAACUAAACCCCCAUUACAUCAGACCUAUUUAAAUCUUGAAAAGGGUUGGUCCAAUGGCUUACAAACUCAAGUUAUCUCAAGAACUCGACAAAGUUCAUGACACCUCCCACAUAUGUAAUUUCUAAAGUGUCCCUCUAGUAAGAAUCAUAUCUUUCCUCUUGAUGAGAUCCAAGUCAACACUAAACUUCACUUCAUGAAGGAAUCAGUGGAGAUCAUGGAUCGAUAAAUUAAAAGCAUUAAACAAAGUCGCAUACCUAUAGUAAAAGUCCAAUGGAACUCUUGUAGAGAGCUGAAGUUUACAUGGGAACGUGAGGAUCAAAUGAAACAAAAGUAUCUGCAACUAUUCAACGAUGCUCCCACCAAUAGUGGAACGAAAUGAUAGGGGAAACGAAAAGAUACUGGAAUGAAACAAUAUAAAAACAAAAGAAUAGUGGAAAAAAUGAUAGUAGAACAAAGUAACCUGCAACUUAAUAAUUUCGUAACGAAAUUCCCUUAAUGGGGAUGUAAUGUGACAUCCCAGAAUUUAAGUAUUAUAAUUUGAUUCGUUGAGUUUUAGUGCAUCUUAUGUGUAAUAAAUGAGUUCAUUUCAACUAUUAUAAGAUAACAGAUGGUAUCUUACUUCCAAACAUGUAACCUGACAAAAAAAUCAAACAGUUCAAACUGCAACCCUAGGAAUGUGUCUGAAAAACUGAAAUUUCAUUUUAAGCCAUUGUGAGCAAUACAAGCACUCUAUUCUUGUAGUACGUGUUUCCCUAAUUUCGAAAAUAUAAAGAACGUCCAAAAUGGAGUCCGUAUACAACAUAUAUGACCAUUUUAAGAAUCUAAAUCCAGUAUAAUACUGAAUUUCUUAAAAUUGCUAAAACCGCUUAUAUCCGUAGGGAGACGUGCACGCCUCAAAUGGAAAUUCGGAAAACAUUUUUGGAUUCAGGCUAUUGCCUAAUAUUUAAUUCUAUAUCUGAAAUAUAUAUUUUUGUAAAAAUAUUUAUAAAAGUAAAAAUUCAUACAUUUUCAGCUUAAAUAAAUGUGGAACUUUAAAUGUCAUUUCACAGAGAUCAGAAUAACAUAAUUCAAUUCCGUCUUCAUUUUUGGAAUCACCACAACCUAAUUGUUAAGCAGGCACUUUUAGAAAAUUUAUAUGAAUCAAUAUGAUGGUAUGAAAAUCAAGAUAUACAUCACCAUANNNNNNNNNNNNNNNNNNNNNNNNNNNNNNNNNNNNNNNNNNNNNNNNNNNNNNNNNNNNNNNNNNNNNNNNNNNNNNNNNNNNNNNNNNNNNNNNNNNNNNNNNNNNNNNNNNNNNNNNNNNNNNNNNNNNNNNNNNNNNNNNNNNNNNNNNNNNNNNNNNNNNNNNNNNNNNNNNNNNNNNNNNNNNNNNNNNNNNNNNNNNNNNNNNNNNNNNNUAUAUAUAUAUAUAUAUAUAUCAUGUAACAUUUCCAAAUACCAAUUAAUGGUAUACUAGUGGUGUACCCACGCAAAGCGGCGAUGCCAAAUAGUUUCCGGGCAGUAAUUAACUCAUUUUGUUGAAUAGUUUCCUUGCAGCAAUUUGAUCAAACCAUGAAAACAGUUAAGUAUUAAGCAAGAUACAAAAUUUUGAUAAUUCUUUCGUUUCUACAAUUAAACGUUGAUAAAUAAAUUUACGUGUUACUUCCUUAUAAAUAUCAAAUCUACAAUCAUGCAUGUUUGUUCUUUUAGAUCACCAAUAGAUAAAAGUUGAUGCAUAAAUAUAAUGACAUGUUUUGCAAUAAACAUCAAAUGACUAUUCACGAUACAUAUUGUAACAAUUGUAAAAUAACGAGUUCUUAAUUGUACCUUAUUAAUCACAUAAGACUUCUUUGUACACUAUGUUUGAUGUGUAGAUUGCAUCAUGAUCGAACACUUUUUCUGGCUUUACUAAUACCUUUGUAUCAACACGUAAUAUUCCUCUGGAUAAGGCCACAUAAAGUUGGCCAUGUGAGAAUACCGAUUAUGGUAGAUAAACUCCCACGUUUGGAAUUGUUUGUCCUUAAGCUUUAUUGAUCGUCAUCGAGAAAUUAAGGUGAAGUGGAAAUUGUUUUCUCUAUAAUUUGAAUGGGAGCAUCUCAUCAUCAGACAGACAUAGAGGAAUUCUUGGCAAAAACACCCUUUUUACAGCAUGCUGACCAACAACUAUUUCUGCAUCAAUGACAUUUUACUGAAAGCUCUACAUAUCAAUCUGGUCCAUUUACAUAAUCCAUUUGAUGGAUUGAUAUUUCGUAAUAGUAUUAUUGGGUUACCAAUUUUUAACCGAAGAUAAUGAGGGGGAGACUACAAACAUUCAGUGAGUUUAAGAACUUCGUCGGAUAUAAGUUAUUACUAUCGUCUUCCGCUUCAUCAUAACUGUAGUAAACUUUUUUCUCUCCUGAAAACCACUCGAUCAUUUAGUUAUUUAUCUCAUCAACACUCUCAUUUUUAGUUGUGAAUAUUACCCUAGAAAUGAUAAAUUCUGAAUCAGCUUCGUUGGAUUCCAGAGAAGGAAAGAUUUGAUCAAUAAGAACAUCCCCUGAGUUAGCUUUAUUAGGGUAUUUAAUAUCCAUGUCAUCAGGUAUGCAAAUAAAGCUCUCGUCCACUGUUUCCUCAUUUCCAUCACCGACCCAUAAUAAAAAUUCUGAAAACCACGGGUCAGUUAUUGCUCUCAUGUUGAUUGUUAACCGAAGCCUUUAAAUCGAUGGCCAAAGAGGUGACAUUUGUAAGUGUGUCCAUCCAUGAUUAUACAAAGCAAGUAGGCCAUGUAAUAUGACAUAAAAGCAGGCAUAGGUAGUACCUCUCUCCUUUAUCUGGAUUAGCAUAAACCAAUCUUCCUCUCAUUGAUUUUAGUUUCCGGGGACUCCAACGAUGUGUGCUUGAAUUCCAUGUAAAAUGGUUGGGGAAAUCCUUGUACAUGUAUUUUCUAGCAUUGGAGUCUUCUUUAUUCUUCUCGAAAAAUGCCGUCAACAUUGUAUUCUUAUCUUUCUCCCUUUCAACAACAUCUUCCAUUCUAUCACCAUAUUUGAACCUAACUGUUGAUUCGACAUAUGUAUUUGCAAAGCCAUCACACAAGGUUGGAUCUGAGAAAGCAGAAAGCUGAAAAUCCGCCACAUCGCCUCAAGAGGGAAUACAUAAGGUGCAUCUUGAAACCCGCAUCUUGAAGAUGUACUUCACAGAUUUUAUAUCGAACAAACCUCAACGUUGAUAUGACAAUUGGACAUCAUUAGAGACUUUGGUUUGUAUUGAGCCACCCAUAUAUUAUCCAAUUUUUUAUUGCUUAUAUUCACCUCAAUUCAAUUAUUUCUCCUUCUAUAUAGUGGAUAUGAGUCUUCUCCUAAUGAUGUUUUGUCGUUCAACUGCCUACGAUACCUAAAACGACAUUUUUUUGGGCACACCCUCCAUACAUGGACUUUUUUUCUCAUAAACUACCACAAGGACCAUGAAUCAUAUGAUUUUUAACCAGAUCAUGCAUUGUGGGAUACUUAAUUGGAUCUGGAAUUUCGGUGCACAUGAUUUUGUCAUAAUCGUCUGGAUUGUUCAUCCUAUGUGUAGGUCUCAUUAAUUGGAGGAAAUGUGCAUGUGGCAAUCCACACUUUUGAAAAUCUACGAAAUGUACCUAUGCUCCUACCCCACCAAUGUUAUUCCUCUUCAAUAAUUGUACCUUGAGAUCCUCUAAUUAAGCACAAAAAAUUCUUGCAACAAGAUCUGGUCGAUCUUGAUUUGUUUGUCUUGGGCAAUAACUUAUCUUCAAUUUCUUUCUAAUUUGGGUUGAUUGUCAUUGUAAGGAAUAUAUCAGGCCUCCCAUCCUCUUGAACUAAGGUCAUGGCAUCCAGAAAUUGCUUUCGCAUGGGCCUCUGAUGAAACUUGAAGGUAAGACAAAUCAUUGUCCAACCAUACUUCUUUGACCCUCACCAACAUUAGAGCAAUCAACAAUAGCUCAGUAUAAAUUAGCUCUAAUUUUGGUUUGGUUUCUUUCACAAAAAACCAAACGUGAAGUCUCAAUCUUUAUGUAUGUAUCUACCACAAACCGUUGGAACAAUCUUCCUCCCUAUAGAAUUACGUUACAAUUUGACGUAUCUGGAACUUUUAACAAUAGUACUCAUGCAUAGUUACAAUAUUCCUACCUUUUGUUGAAUAGAAUCUGCGAUAUUAUAAUUUACAUUAUACUUAUAAUGUAGCACCUGGUUCCUAGUACGUAUGACCUAUCUAAGUAAUUUACAUUUUUAGCCUUGAACUCGGCGAGUUGUAGGCCCAACUCGCCGAGUAGAGCCGGGUUAUUGAGCACGUUUAAGUUGGCGACUCGGCGAGUCCAUGUUCUGGACUCGGCGAGUCCCUGCUGUCUGGAUGAAACCCUAAUUUCAAGGGUUUGCACCUUAUUUAAACCAACCUUAUGCGAACCAAGCCCGACUCCUUCACCCUCAGAGCUCCCUAUAUCGUGCUAACCCCGUUUCUUGUGAGAUUGAAGUGUUUUGGUGUGAUUUCUUGAAGAUUUUGAGAGAAAAAGGAGGGUAGAUCAAGAGAAGAAGAAGGAGGCCAGAUAUCUUGGUGUUAUUUCAGAGAUUCCUUGAGGUAUAACUCAGUUUCCUUCUGUUUUUAUGCUAAGAGUCCCUUAGAGCAUCAUUAAAGUCCUUCUUGAGCCAUUUCCAAGCUUGUUUAUGGAUUACGGAUGGUAAUGAGUUGAUUAACCUCUAGAUCUAGGCAUGUUUGAGCUCCAGAAGCUCAAAUCCAUGGCCUUUAUGGAAAUAAAUAGCUUAAAUGUCCUAGAUCUACCAUUUUAGUCUUUAUUAAGCCUUAAAUCCCCAUCCUAGGCAUGUAUACACGUAAAGUUGGAAACUUUACAUGUAAAACCUACCCUAAGAGCCCAAAUCUAUGUAUGACAUGAGCUGGAUUCAAGCAAAAUCGAGUAUGUAGUAAUUGCAUGUGAACGACUCGACGAGUCAUUCAUCAGACUCGGCGAGUCGAGUUGCGAGUCCCCGAGUUUUCCCCCUUUUUCUGUUUGCUGAGUGGAGUCGUGAGUCAUGGGGGGGGGGAGACUCAGUGAGUCGGAAGCCAGACUCACCCAUGGAGGGACUCGGUGAGUCAAUGCCCUGACUCGGCGAGUCCAAGGCCAUCUUCUUACCUCAAGAACAGACUCGGCGAGUUAUUCGUACAACUCGACGAGUCUCAACAUGGGAUGUUCAUCAGAUGAAGAUGAACUUGACGAGUUGUUCAUGCAACUCGACGAGUAGGAUGAAGGACCUUUGGACCCCAGUUUAGAAGGAGAACUCGUCGAGUCAAUGCCUAAAUCGACGAGUAGAGGCGGGAUUAAGGACAAUCGAAUGGGUAGGGACUCGACGAGUUGGAAAGCCAACUCGGCGAGUCGGGUCAACUGGAAGAUGACUUUGACUUGGACUUUGACCUGGUCAAGGGUAAAAUGGUCAUUUUACCCUAGGUUCAGCUAGCAGUGUUUGACUGAGCAUUUUGUGGGAAUUAUAGCCGGAGGACUUCCGGAACAGCAGCAGCAGUAGUAGACAGUCAGUUCCCGCUCAAAUCAGCAGCUACUUUGAGGUGAGUUACCUUCCGGUAGCGGUGGGUCUACGGCCACAAUGCCGGCCCACCAGUAGGAGUUGUAUGUCAGAUGAUUGUCUUUGUGAUAUCAUCUAGGUUUGCUACGACCUGAUAUGUUAUGUGCUGGCAUGAUAUGUUAUAUCUGAUAGUAGUAGAGUUCGGUCGUUAGGACCGAAGGGUAGGUCAGACACCCCAGCUAUGUCUGACAGUAUGUGAUGAUAUGUUUAUAUGCUGGCCUGAUAUGAUAUAUGUGGUAGUAGCAGUAGGGUUGAAUAGUCCCUGAGGAUCGGUUGUUAGGACCGAUGGGUAGUCAGCACCCCAGAAUGGCUUGACACGGGUAGGACGACACCCCAAAAUGGCCGCACCGAGUAGUCAGGCACCCUAGAAUAGCCUGGCAGUAUGUAUGUUAUGUGAUCGCAUGGUAUGUGGUACGAUGGGAGAACUCACUAAGAUUCGUGCUUAUAGUUUAUAGUUUUGGUUUCAGGUACCUCUUCGUCGAAGGGGAAGGAGCUGGCGCGGUAGUGGCACAUCAUACACACACACUGUUUUCCGCAUUCAUGGGAUUGUUUUGGGAUUUAUACUCUGAAAUUUUGAUGGAUCACAUGUUUUGGUUUUCAGACUUAGUAAAUGUUUAUGAAAUGGUUUGAUCAGACUAUGUUUAUUUGCAAAUGAUUAUAUUAAGUAUUGAUUGAAAAAUGAAAUUUUUGGACGUGAAAAAUGGGUCGUUACAUAUAAAGUUUUUUAUGUGUACGCUUAAGUUAAUAGUUCUUAUUUGUAAUAAAAUUGUAAAAUAUAAUUUAAGGCAUAUCUUCAAAAUCGUCGUCAGCGUUUUCAUUUUCAGUAAUAAUCUCAUCUAUGGAGACUCCCUGUCUUGGUAUUUUAGGAUGUCAUCCAGACUCUCCGUUGGGAAAGAACAAAGGAUAAGACAAUGGAUGAUAACAACUAUAGUGAGGUUGAAUUGUUUUAGUAUGGUUUGACCUCCCAUACAUAAUAAUACUUGUCUUAUAUGCAAUGUGUUGUCAUUGACUUCAACCCAAACACCAACAACCUCUGUAAAUGUGUGGUUCAAUAACGUGAAAAAUAUGUAUAUCUUUCGUAAUAAAUAUGACACAUUUUAUUUUAAAUAACAUAAAGAUAAGUAAUAGCUUUCACACCUCAGAUGUAGCCUGCUUAUUGUACGCCCUCUAGUCAAGUUCCACCGAUGCAUUCAAAGUCACUCUAUAAUCGUCAAACGAACCUAGAUCUAAAAGACGUCAAAAUUUUCUAACAUAUGGGUUCGAAGAAAGAACAUGAGUAAGUUUUUCAAUAAUUUUUCUAUCCAUAUUCGGGUGCUUAGCUCUCUCUCUCUCUCUCUCCCUCUCUAUCUGAUAAUUCAUUUUGACCAUCAUAAAAGUACAACUGCAAUUACUUCGACUCGCCUUCCCUUGGAAUUAGCUGAUCAAUAUUAUGAUAGAAUGUUCUGUGCGCACAAAAAGUAUACACUCCAUCAGUCAUAUUCGCCAAUUCUUUAUCCACCUUGACACCCAAUGAUGUGAAUGAAAAAUUUGAGUUAUACACCCUUAUGUUGUACCUGAAAACCUCUUCUAGUCGAUCUUUCUUUGUGAAUAGUUGGAGAAAUUAUGUGGGAAUAGGGGAGUCUGCUAGUUUUGUCUUCCCACUCAUGCAACAAAAGGUAGGGAAUUCAAAUUGUAUUAUUUUUUCUCCACAAUGAACAUAGGGAUUCUGAACUUUUAUGACAUGAUGUUCCAUAGGGAUGUUUUUGUAAACAAAAUCAUAUGGAUCCUCCUGCAGGGGGUAUACUCUAACUGCUCUUAGCCUAUUUCGUUCCUUUCUUUGUUGAUGGAGGGGGUAUACUCUAAUUGCUCUUAGCCUAUUUCAUUCCUUUCUUCACUGAUAAUAUUCUUUGUUAUAAGUACUCGUCUUUUGAGCCGCACUUAUAGUAGCCACUUGAACCGUCUCCAAUGCAUUGUCUGUCAACUGUGUUGUAAAUUGGCUGGUUCCUUCAUCGUUAGCUAUCUUUCUCAUUUUGUUCUCCUUCUCUCUUGCAUAAUAGUUGCUAUUGUAUCUUUUUCGGUUUUCUACAAUAAUAAUUUUUUUUGAUGAAUAUAUACAUAAUAUGAAUUUAAAUAUAUAAUACAUACAUGUGUGUUUGUAUACCUCUUUGUUAAUCAGUACCAUGUUGGCAAACAUCAUGAUUUUCAAUUUCCUUUUCCAUAAUCCUCAUUGCAUACUGUAAUAAAAAUUUAAAGAAUAAGAAUUUAUUAGAAGGUAUAAGAUAAGAGUGGCGUAGGAGAGGAAUUGGAAAUUUGAAUCUUAUAACCUAAUGCUUUUAACAUUAACAACCUACCUUAGAUAAAACUAUCACCAAAAAAUUAUCUUAAAUUAAUAUAUAAUCAAAUUCAAAAUAAACACAAAAACCCUACCUUAGGUAAAACUAUCACAAAAAAAUUCACCAUAUAAAACCUACCUUAGACAAAACUAUCACCAAAAGUUUAUCUUAAAUUAAUAUAAGGUCAAAUCCAAAAUAAAAAUACAAAAAAUAAAAAUAAAAAAACAUUCACCAACAAAUGUUUGACAACAAAAUAGGUCGACUCUUAAAUAAACACACAUUGAAAAUAUGAAAAUCAACCACAAAAUGUCUCACACAAAAUUAAAGAUUCUUCUUGGCAUAAGUCUAAUGUUAGUUGCAUCCGCCAUCAUCGGUUUGAACAUUAUGUUGGUUAACUUGGUUGAAAUUAAAAUGUUUAAUGUAAAUAGGAUAAUAAUUAUAAAAAAGGUUUGAAUUAGUUAAUUUUAUAUUACUAUAACUAUGAAAAUUUCAAAAAUAGAAAUCCCACUUACUCAUAGCUGAAUGAACCAACUUUAAUCGGGAAGCAUAUAUUAGUUAAUUUUGGUAUUUGCCUUGGGAAUAGAUUUUUAUAGUUUUUAAAAGCAAAUAUAAUGAUUAGUAAUCGUUCAUAAUUUCAUAUUUGUUCUUAUAUUAUGGAAAAAAUCUAAAAAUUCCAACAAACCAGCUUAAAAAAUAGUAAAAAAAAAAUGUUUCGAUUACCUUUUUAAGAUCGGGUAUGAGUGGUUGACAAUCAAACUAAUUUUUCAUAUUUUAUUUUAUUCACUAAACUGUUUGUUUGUAUGAGCAAUUAAAAAAUUAAUACUUUUUGUUUCUUCCAACCCAGUUUAUUUAUAGAAACUUAGAUAUUUUUUAAAUCUUAAAAAUUUGCAAGUUAUCCAAAAAAUAAAAUUUAAUGAAACAUAUAUGUAAGGGUCAAAAUAAAUCAGAAGUAUGAUGAGUCUUUUGGAUCUCUUUGCAUUAAACAUUGGUGUCAGACUCAUUUCUUAAUCCUCUCUCUUUCUACAAUUAUAGUUCUUAAAACAAGUUCAUUGUAUAAUUUCACUAAUCCAAAAAUUAAAAUCAGUAAUAAAUUUGAAGUUUAGUUAGACAAAAGAUUUUAUCUCUAUUUUUUUAUCCGAACGUAAGAGAUUGGUUACACCUUUUCAAUUGCUAACGAACUCACACGAUUUACCUUACUGAAAAUCACUGCAAUCCUCAUAUUAGGACCAUAUUGCCCCUUAACACUAUUUUUAUAAUAAAAAAAAUCAAUUUUUAAAGUUUUAGGAACAUAUUGCCCUGCACACUGUUUUUAUAUUAACAAAAUUCAAUUUUUAUAGUUUUAGGACCAUAUUGCCUUGCACACUAUUUUUAUAUUAAUAAAAUUCAAUUUUUACAGUUUUAGGACCAUAUUGCCCCUACACACUGUUUUCGAGCUCUAAGUGUAAACAUCAGAGCAUCCCCCAGAACCAUAUCAUAUGAAUCAUAAAAUACGAGGAGCGGUACGAUCACGUCUUUGCCUUGCCAUAAUCUCCUGAAGUACCUGAAAUAAUACACUGCACUGUAAGCCCAAAAGCUUAGUGAGUUACCCCCAAAAUACCAACCACAUACAACCAUAAUCAUAACAUAUUGUAUCACAAUACAAAACAGCCAUGCCUCUCAAGUCUGCAACGUGACUGGUCCGCCCUCAAGAGGCCUUCAGUUCACCUGGUCCACUCUCUGAGUCUACAGUAUGACUGGACCGCCCGAUCCUGGCCUUCAGUCUAUCUGGAUCUAUCCGAGCCUUCGGUAUGACUGGACCGCCAUAUGGGCCUACAAUCUAUCCGGACCACUCGUAGGGUAUGUUGGCCUUCAGCACAAAGCAGGACCGCCUCAACCCAAACAUCAAGCAAAUAACCAUGUGUACAUAUAACAGGUAAUCGCAUAACAGUCCAUAGGCAAAAAAAUCGAUCUAGCCGAUCGUAAAGCAUAGCAUCAUCCUUACCAGGAUAUCGACCUAACCGGUCACUAACAUAACAUCAUCCUAUAUACCAGGAUACCGACCUAAACCAGGUCACUGACAUAAUACUGUCCUAAUUACCAGGACGCCGAUCUAACAGAUCAAUAAGGACAUCAACAAUACAAGUACAAAUAUUAGAUAUAACUAUCUCAUAGAUCAUCGAUCAUAGCAAUCUCUCAUGACCAAGGCAUCGACCUAACCAGGUCACUAAAAUAUCAAUCCCAACGGAUCACAUGAGCAUAACAACAUACUGUCUAUUCUGAUACCAAUCUAACAGAUCAUAACCAUAUGUAGCAUACUGUAACCAAGAUAACAACUAAAAGGGACGGCCUUGGUGCCUUAGACCCUAUUGAUAUAGUGAGGAUAACUCACCUGAAAUUGCUGACUGAAAAGAUAAGACCCAGCUGCUCCGACCUCCGACACGAUCGUCGCCACUGAACACUACCAAAGAACCAAUUCCAUAAAUACCAAUAUUACCAAAUUACCCUUGGAAGUCAAACUGGUCAACUCUUGGUCAAGGUCAAAGUCCUCAGUCAAAGUCAACCUUCCUGGUUGAAUCUACUCGCCGAGUCAACCCGUCGAUUCGCCAGGUUCCCUUACCCAGAAAACUCUCAUAACACAACUUAACUCGUCGAGUGGCCCAAAGACUCGCCGAGUCCAACGAUCUCUGAGUCCCAUCCUGUCCAACUCACUGGGUCACCAACCGACUCACUAAUCCAAGGCUUUAACCAAAAGAGGUUGGGGUUCUGUGACCUGACUCGCCGAGUUCAAGGCAAUCUUCAACAGACUCGCCGAGUUGCUCUUCCAACUCAUCGAGUCCAUGCACGUGUUCAUACAACUCGUCGAGUACACCCAUGUGACUCGCCGAGUCUCUCCAGUUCUCAAUCCAUUCAGAGGCUUUUCGAGCCAUGCUGAGGCUCCAAUCCUUAGACCCACCCUUAUACAAUCUAUCCCUCACAUAAAGUUGCAAACUUUACGUGAAACCAAAGAGAUAUAGGCCCAAAACACACUAGGGCUUGGGUUUUAGACAAAAGGGCUUCACCAACAAUUCAAUAACUGAUGCUUUAUGACUUUCUGGACCAAUACAAGUCUAGAUCUGAAGUAGAAAAUCUCAGAUUUGGACUCCAAACCCAAAGUGGAUCUCAAUCAUACCAAAAUGGCCCCAAAUCUGAUUCAAGAAUAAAUCUAGAAGCAACAAAGGAAAGGUAACAGCUCAUAACCUCCAAGAUAUGCCCAAAACUGCAGUAGAUUCUAGAUCUGCACUACUUUCUUGAUGUAAAUGUUGGAUAAGGUGUCUAAGUCCAUAACUUAUUUGGUAUAUACUUGACCCGACCCGACAUGGUCCAUUUGGGUUGCAUUUCACCCGAACAGUUUAUGGAUAAUUUUAUGAGAGUUAUACACAUAUGCUUAUUAAUAUAUUAUAAGUUAUAAUAUAUUAAUAUGAGGUUAUGUUAUUUAAUUAGUCUUAGUCUUAAAUUAAUUAUGAAUUAAUUUAGAGAUUAAAAGAAAGACUAAUUAGAUUAUGGGCUAUUGGUUUUAUAUGGUGUGGGCUAACACUCAUUUGUUAAUGGGCUAGGCUUGGAUGGAAGUCCAUGGAUGAUCCAUGGAGCUUUUAAACCAUGGAUCCUUGGUAAAGGAAAGGUCAUGGGUUAUUAGGGUUUCACCCUAACCAUGUACACUAUAUAAGCAUGCUUAUGGUGCAUGAAAUGGAAACUAGUAAACUAGUGUGUGUGUGUGUGUGUGCUUGUGUGUGGCCGAAAAUUGCAAGUGUGUAUACUCUCUCAAAGUUUUCCAAGUGUUUGUGGUGAUUUAUGAUUCCAUUUGAGGCAUUCACACUAUUGGUGCUUGGCCCUCAAACUCCUCAAGAAUCAAACUCAUCAAAAAGGUAUGUAAUCUCUUCUAACUCUUUUAUGUUGAAAUGUUCCCCAUGCCAUGUUAGAUAGGUUAUGAACCUUGGAAAAUUAUUAUUUUGCAUGUAUUUAGACAAACAUAGAUCCAAGGUUUAUUAGGGUUGCAUGCACACUUAGGAAGUGUUAGAUUGCUCAAAACCCAACAGUGGUAUCAGAGCCUAGGCUUGCUUGUUUGAUACUUGAUGCAAAAUAGUGAAAAAAGUUGAAAUUGUUGCUGUCUGGCUGAUGGACUCGCCGAGUCCAUGGGGGGACUCGCCGAGUUCAAGGCAAAAUUCAUCCUACUCGGCGAGUAGGUUCGUGCACUCGGCGAGUAGAAUGAUCAGAAUGCAGAAUUUCGACUUUUGCUGCUGGAAAUGGACUAGAAACAUUACCCUAAACUGUUUUGGUGUUUUAAAACUUGUUUUAGUUGGUGUAAUGGUUGUUCUAAUCCAUUUACAAUAGCAUAUAUCAAAAUUCCAUGAUUUUUAUGUGUUCAUAUAAUUCUUGAAAUUUUGAUGAUCAUGUUCAUGUUCUUAUGAAUUUAGAAGAUGAUAGGAAUUAUUUGCUGAAUUGUUUAGAAUUAAUUCUUGAUCAUUUAUGUGUUUUAAUGGAGUCCAUAAUUUGUCCUCAAGUUAUGGAUAUCCAAAGGUCACUUUUCUUUAACACACACAUUUAAACACAUAAGUUACAUGAAAAUGAAGAGUCUUCAUUUUUAUGAACCUUUAAUUCAUAAGUUAUGAAAUGAAAAGUUUUGGAUAGUUACAAAACUUGCCCUCAAGUUUUGGAAUUUGAAAAGUUUCACACACUUUAAUAAACUUUAAUUCCAACACUUAGAGUUUUAAAAGUUAAAAUUCAACACUUAUACUAUUUAUAACAUUAAUGGUUAAUUAUUAUAUAUAUGUAUAAGAACAAGUCGUUUUACCGUUAGUAGGCCUCAUUCACGAAGCCGGUCUAUAAGGUGGGUAUAAGGUUGUUGCCUAUAAAAUGGCGACUUAAUGGGUGUCCACUCUCACCCACCGCUUGCUUGAUCGGUGGAGGGUCGUUAGCCGAACGGGUAGGACAAUGACUUUAAAUUCUCAUUAAAAGUAUAAUGAUUAUUAUAAAGUAACUAAAAAUUUUUUAUUUAAUUCCCAAUCUUAGUUACUUUAGGAAAAAUGUGAAUUUGGUGCUAGCCCAUGGAAUUCACACUUUGUACCUUACCAAGUCGUUGGUGGAGCGUGUGUGGUUAACCGGCACACUAACUUGGACUAGUAAGGAUCACGAAGGGUGACUUAAUGUUUGUCAUAGAUCAAUGGAGCGUGUGUGGUUAACCGGCACAUUGAUUAGGUGAUAAUAUUAAGGGUACCAAGUGAAUUGGUAUGGUUAUUCACACCUUGUUUUGUGAUCCUCGGCAUCCCAGUCACAAAAUUUGAGAGGGCACACUCGAGAUUGAAACAUGCCAUUGAAAAGUUCAAUGAAUCUCAAAAGAUCUAGGAAUUUCAAAUCCAAUUAAAACCUAAUAAAUUAUUUCGUUUUUCAUGGUGGAAAUUGGUGAAUCGUCAUUCGCCUACCUUCAAAUAUUUUAUAGCUUGGAUUACGGCAUCCCUCUUCCAAAUUAUAAAAUAUUGUGUUGGGUCCUAGCCUUAAUAUUUCAUAUUGGGUGUUAUAUUAAGGACUUUGAAUCAACUAACUUGAUUUUCUCCCAUUAUAGAUGUCUGGUUCAGACAACUAUGAUCUUCCCAAAUCUCUUGAAGAUGGUGUCCCUCAACAUCAUGCUUCACUUCCUCCACCUCCUCCAAUUAUUCUCCCUCACCCACAAGUUCUUGAAAAGUUUAAAGUCACUCAAUCCCUAUUGGCAAGCAUAGUCUAUGUGUGCUCACAUCUUGGAGAUAAAGUCACAUAUUGACAAGCCGGGAGAGUUGGGUGUCAAAGUCUCGUGAAAGUUGGAUGUUCAAUCACUUUCUUAGUAACAUAGUGAGUCUCUUUGGGACUACUAUGAGACAGACUAUGACAUGACCCUUAAUGAUGUUAUCUAUUUGCUUGGUGUUGUGGAAUCAGCAAUGAUUUGGAACACCAGUAAAGCAAAUUUGAUUAAAAGAACAACUUCCCAAGUCUUAAAUGGACAUUGACAAUGGUAGCAUUGGAUAUCUAGAAAAGGAUUUCUCUUCCCAAUGGAAAGGGAUCGGCCAUAGUCAACUCGGUUGACCAAAUGGUAAAGAGAAAGGCUAAGUCUGAGAUAGUCUCAUGUGCCAUUACCAAAGGGUCCAUGUGUUUUGUUGCCAAAGGAAGGGGCAUUGGUUGCGAAGCUGCCCUAUUCACCUGAAAGGUCAUAAGGUUGAUCAAGUCAAGAGGUUUGACUCUACUUCGGGUAAAGUCCACUGUCUAACUCUAUUAAGUUCCUAUUUGGAGAUUCUUAUUACAUAAUGUGAAUGGGUCACAUGCUGAUGUUUUUAAGAAUCAAAGAAAAGAUAGGAAGCUUAAAGUAAGUAUAUGUUGAUUCUGAUUGCGAAGGUGGGUUUCGAUCGCAUGGUUCGGUAAUCAGAAUUUUGAGCUGUUGCUUAAGAGUUAUAAUAUAUUGCUUAUGAAUAGAUAACAACAAGGUUUUCAUGUGGAUUGUAAGGAUAAGUUUUUCCGCAAAGUUUUAAAAAAAAAAAAAAAAAGGGUUUUAAUUUUAUUUAUUUUAAAAAUAUCCUUACAAUGGCAUCUGUGGAAAAUUGUUGCUUAUAUGUUUCCAGUAAUAGCAAUAUUGGAAAGUGGAUUUGAUUCUUUCAUUUGUGGUAGUGUCUGAAUUUACCAAAUGAAGAAAGUUUUUCAUCACCCAAGUUUCAAUUGGACAGAAACUUGGAAUCAUACAAGUUGUAUUGUAUGAUGAAUGAGAAUUUUCAUCUUUGAAAAUUAAGACUAAUUCUUUGAUCACAUGUAUAUGUGAGUCAAUUGAAGGACUAAGGAAUUAGGUACACUGGGUGUGCGCUGGUCAAGGUCCACCACAAAGAUUGAUUUGUCAUGAUUUACUAAAGAUUAGUAAAUAUGAUUAUACUUAUGAGGUUAAGUAUAAUUCUGUAACAUUGGAAAGGUUACAAUGUAUGACAAAACAAAUGAGAAGAAUCAAAUUAGGCAGAAAGAUAAAAGUUUCUCAAAUCUGAAAGGAUGGGAGAGUACUUUAGUAUCGUAUUUCAUGAUCAUCUUAAUGAUUAUGAAACCAUAUCACAAAUUCAUACUCUAAGGACGUCUUAGUGCAUUGUUAUGGCUAAGAAGAGAGGUCAUGAAUUGUUGGAUUGGUUAAAAUCAAGAAGAUGAGUCAUACUUCGUUCCAAAACAAUUCUUAGAGUCAUACUCCAAGAUUGUAACUUUGAGUGACAUAAAGGAAGAUUUAUUAACACUAGUCAAAUGUAAGAGUAAAAUGUUUUCUACUCUUGUACAUUUGAGAUUGGUAAGUUGUGAUGUCUUGGAUGAGACAAAGACCAACUAAGACCAAUUGUGUGAAGUGUUAGUCUUGAUAAGAAUCCGCACUAUCCCUUGAAUAUUUGUUUUGUCAAGGAAUGGUUCUUGACUGGGGAAACUUAUAUGUCAAGGGGACAGUGGGAGCCUUAAAGAUCCUGAAAGAGUUUCAAGAUUUAAUCAAGAGUAAAACCUGUAAUUUAUCACUAGCACACGACUUAAGGUUUGCAACCUAUCGUGUUGACAUAAUUCUUAUUUCUGUACCUACUUCAAAUAAGUUGAAUUUGCAUGUGAGUUAUCAGAGUUCAACUUGGAAGCAUUGGUGGGCCUUGUGCUACCAAGGUGACAAGAAACUAAGAUUGAACAAGUUUAAUCCAUGUAAGGCUGAAUUUGUCACUAACCUUAUCUUGUGAUUAUGGUUUUGACAAAUUCACAUGGAUAGGAACUCAUACACUAUAAAAUCUAAGUGUCAUAAGGUUUCUCUCCGAUUCAUGAAAAUGAUGGUGAGGAAACGCUUUCACUAAGUAGAUUUUACGUAGAUAUCAAUUGUGUUAUUUGCAUUUUCAAAAGUCGUUAGUGGAGCGCGUGUGGUUAACCGGCACACUAACAUGGACUUGUGAGAAAUGGCAAAUGCCUAAGCAAUUGAGACUAUGAUUACGGCAUCCCUUUUCAUAGUUCUGAAAAUUGUUUAGACACACAUGUGAGCUAUCUAAGAAAGGGUGUAUGAAUCUAAAUUUCAGAAGUCCAGCAGAUUUCUGGAAAUAUGUCAGAGCUAGUGGGAGCAUAAGUGUUAUGCUGAUAAUCAUCAUGUUAGUGGGAGCAUGAUUAUUACGUUUAGUGUUGCAAGUUAGCAAUGUUAAUUAUAGAAAACAAAGUUUCAAUUCGUGAAGUUGCAGGGGUUGAAAAGUUGUUUUGCUAUAAUUAAGGGAGAGGAAAUUAUACUUCAUUUCAAUUCUAAAGCUUAGAUUGAGAUUUUAAUCAUCUUUAGUCAAGAAUAUAUAUAUGAAUUUUAUGUUGGAAUGGUUCAACUUGAAGAAAUUCUAUAUAUAUUGCGUUUUCAAAAUUCGAUUAUGAUUACGGCAUCCCUCUUCAUAGUUAAAUUUUGAAAACAUGGCAAAUAAAAAAUAUUGUAGCAAAAGACUGGUCUAGUAUCAUGUCUUUAUGUCAAACAUCAUGAAUCGUGUCCCAUAUGCUUCGGAUAUAGGAUCGAUUGCAUGUGCUAUAAUAUUCAUCUUUUCUAAAUUUUCCAAAUGCUUAAGGCAUUGAGAAGGGAAAAGUCUAGAACUGGAUAUGACUAAAGUGAUUAAGCAAUUGUCGAGGACAAUCUGAGGUUCGCCAAAGAUUGGUUGCUCAGGGAAAGUUGGAAGUAUGAUGUAAGUUGUCGGAAAGGACCAUAUUGACAUAUUCUGAAAAGAAGUAACUCUUGUUCGGAAGUGAUAGUCAAAAUGGGACUAUGGAAAUGUCUCCAUAGGUGGAAGUUAUUCAAUCUAUGUAAGAUUAGAAAACCUUAAUGCAAGAAGGAUGUUCAAAGCAAUGUACUUUGAAUAUGAGACUUCCGUUCCAUAGAAGUUGACCUUCUUUGGAAUACUCUGUAAUGACUGGUGACAAGGUUUUGGUGACUUUGUGCAUAAUCAUUACAAGAGGAACAUUGCAUAAAAGUUUAAAAUCUAACAGUUUUUUUGGUAAAUGAUAGGAAUCGGGGAUUCUCACAUUUACAAUAAGGAUUUGGGAUUGUGAAAUGAGUAUCAUUGGAAUCAUGUUCAAUUGAUCUACAUCACAAUGUAAGGAUCAUAGACAAACAUAGUGUGCAUACUUGGAGUAUGGCAUAACUAUUGUUUAGAAAAACAAAGUGUACAUGCUAGGAGCAUGGGACGACUGUUGUUUUUAUUCAAGUCUUAAGUUGAUUGUUUGAAACAUUAUACAAUGAAUAAUGUGUAAUCAAUAUGGUGAUAAAUAAAAGGUGGUUCUAUUUAUAUUCAAAAGGGUUCUGAGACCAUAUUGGAUUCGAUUAUUAUUGUGUUUCACUUUGCAUGUUUUGACUUCCAAAAUAGCUAGGUUAUUCUUUCCGAAUGACUAAGUUAUUUAAACACUCCACAGUCGUUCAUAUGUUGGAAGUAGGUAUGAAUCAAGACUGUCAUGAAUCGAGUUUGUAGAUGGCUAAAUGGGUUUAGUCAUAGCAAUGGUUGCUACAACAUUCAUGAGUGCUCAUAAGUUAUGAGUAUUGGAAUAAACCCACGCUCACUUGUAUCACUUCAUGGAAUUUAUCUCGAGUGAUCGUGAGACGGUAAUAUCAUAUAAAUCUUCAAACCUAGAGAUAUGAGUUGUUACCUAUGAGUUGGUUGUGCAUUGAUUGCACGUAAACGCAUCAGUAACUUGAUGUUAUAAAACGUGCCUUUGUGUACAAUUCAACAAGUAGUAGAACAAGCAUAUGAGUCGAAGUUUAUCUGUUCCUUCUAGAAAUAGAAGCGAUAUCUGGGCCCCUCGAUGAUUUUGUUGUGACCUAUGUACCGGCCGGUCAGAACUAAAUUGAUGUGUUCGAUUAAGUUCUUUGUCAAACAAAUCGAAAAUCGGGAAACAAACUGCUGGACAAUAAGUACGACGUUGUUCCAUGUAUUUGUCCGGCUGAUAUCAUGAGAACAGAGGAUUAUAUGAUCACUUUCCUAAAAUGGCGCUUCAUAGUUCAACAGAGUUUUCGAGAGCUACGAUUGCUGGUUGGUUCCUGAAGUAACAUAGGCAAAUAUAGUUAUUAGACUUAUCCAAGUGGGAGUCUGUUGGAUAAGGUGUCUAAGUCCAUAACUUAUUUGGUAUAUACUUGACCCGACCCGGCAUGGUCCAUUUGGGUUGCAUUUCAUCCAAACUAUUUAUGGAUAAUUUUAUGAGAGUUAUACACAUAUGUUUAUUAAUAUAUUAUAAGUUAUAAUAUAUUAAUAUGAGGUUAUGUUAUUUAAUUAGUCUUAGUCUUAAAUUAAUUAUGAAUUAAUUUAGAGAUUAAAAGGAAGACUAAUUAGAUUAUGGGCUAUUGGUUUUAUAUGGUGUGGGCUAACACUCAUUUGUUAAUGGGCUAGGCUUGGAUGGAAGUCCAUGGAUGAUCCAUGGAGCUUUUAACCCAUGGAUCCUUGGAAAAGGAAAGGUCAUGGGUUAUUAGGGUUUCACCCUAACCAUGUACACUAUAUAAGCAUGCUUAUGGUGCAUGAAAUGGAAACUAGUGAACUAGUGUGUGUGUGCUUGUGUGUGGCCGAAAAUUGCAAGUGUGUAUACUCUCUCAAAGUUUUCCAAGUGUUUGUGGUGAUUUGUGAUUCCAUUUGAGGCAUUCACACUAUUGGUGCUUGGCCCUCAAACUCCUCAAGAAUCAAACUCAUCAAAAAGGUAUGUAAUCUCUUCUAACUCUUUUAUGUUGAAAUGUUCCCCAUGCCAUGUUAGAUAGGUUAUGAACCUUGGAAAAUUAUUAUUUUUCAUGUAUUUAGACAAACAUAGAUCCAAGGUUUAUUAGGGUUGCAUGCACACUUAGGAAGUGUUAGAUUGCUCAAAACCCAACAGUAAACCCUUUUGAUCUUCAAGUUUCUUCCACUAGAACACCUCUCAAAGCUUCAAUCUCCCUCAAAUGGCCUUAUACACACGAUCUAGGGUUUACUGGAUCUCAAAGGGGGAUAAGGGAGCUGAGGGGAGGACAUUAAGUCCUUUAAAUAGGGUGCAAACCCUAAGAUUCAGGUUUUUCUCAUUCCAACACCAACUCGUCGAGUCCAGCUUCCGACUCGGCGAGUUGGUCACUUAAUUCGAGACCCAAACCCGCUCCGACUCGGCGAGUAAGCGUACCUACUCGUCGAGUCCCUUCUUCAAAAUUAAAUUUUAAACUCUGAAAUCGUACUUCUGAAAUUCGAGAUGUUACACUAAUUAAGUAUUCUAAAUAGAAUUUGUAGCAUUAGUGACGAUAAGCAUGGGUAUAAAUGUCACUUUAGCUUUAGAAUUGAAAAAAAUGUUUCAUCAAUAUUAAAUUAAAAUUCCCAAAACAAAGAUUGUUACAACUUUUAUGAGAUAAACACUUAACAAAGAGAAACAAUGAAGAAUUGAAGAAAAAGAAACACAUGUUUUACUAAAGCUACAUGUUUUAAAUCUUAUUCGUAUUUCAUAAAACUAGAAACAAAAAAUAGAUACAAGCUUUAAAAUGGAUCUUAAUCCUAUAAAUCAUUUGUGAAAGUUGAUGACAUUAUUAUAUUAAUACUAAUUACUAACCUUCCUCAACUUGAAGUACCAUAGUUUCUGCAUCUUCAGGUUCAAACUCUUCAACCUUCUUUUGGGCCCCACUAAUAAACAAAUACUGACAAUUCUUUGGAUUUGUUUGAAUCACAAUUACAUGCUUGCAGCAUGGAGCUUUCAUGGUAAAGCUCCAUAUCUUAAAUAAUAUCAAGAAUCAUAAUGAAUAAUCCUGGAAAAAGGUGAAUUCAGUGAUAUUACUUGGAAAUAUUUAAAAUUUAUAGCUUACCUUUGUAGAGUAAUAAUUUCCAACUUGCUUCUUUUCGACAUUGAACCUUACACCCUUUGCAAUCACGGGGAAGAACAUGAUGAAGAAGAUACAAAUAUUUUGUGAGUAUCAAUGGAAAAUAGGAUUAACAAAGUUUGUUUUAGAAAGCGUUCAUGUGUGGAAAUACAUUAGCAGCCACGUGAUUAGAUAAAGUUUCGGUAAAUAUGCUUUUGUUGGUUUAAUAAACGCUUGCUUCUGUAUAUAGAUUUAUGCAGAUUAUGUAGUCUUUUAUGAUGAAAAAGUGAAUCUACGUUUGGAUUUGACAGAAUCUUUGUUUCAUGAAUGUAAAUUGAUGUUCUUGCCUUUAAAGCCUUAACGAUUGAUGGCUUUCACAUGCAUUUUGGACUAAAAAUACAAAGGAUCAUUAAACUUAGAGAAAGCAUCUCCAGCACAUGUUUUUGUGAGCCCAUAUCUUUGCCCAAUUGGAGUCCUGAAAUAAAAAAAAUACCAUUUACACACAAUAUGUAUAUUAAUAUAUUAGUAAUAGAGUAAUAAUACUUACGCAAUGUAGAUAAUUGAUAAAGCGUUGUGUGUCUGCAGCUAAAGGAGCACCACUGCAUAGCAUGAAACGAAUGUCUCCUCCAAGUAUAGAACAUAUCUUCUUAAAAACAAUAGCAUCCUAGAAUAGAUCAGGUUAUAGACAUAUUUAGAACAACUUUACAUGCGUGAAAUUUAUUUUCUUUAGAACAACUUUACAUCUGUGAAUCUUACCACGACAAUUUUAUGUAGGCUAAAAUAAUCAAAACCACUUAAUUUUUUUUUAUUCUUUUUCAAUUUUAGAUUUUAACAUACCAGCUACCACUGCAAUAGUGAGCUAAUCUCCAAUUCUUCUGAUGCGUGAGGCACCUUUUCUAUAUGAUUUGAAGCGCUCUAAUGCUGGAUCGUUUGCCAAAAGCUGCAAAAAGUACACAUUUUCACAAGUUGAGUUUAUAUAAUUGGUUGUAAUGCUUGACAUACGGACAUUAAUCUUUUCUACAUAUAAAAAGAUAUAAAAACAUCAGCUUCUUGACCAUGCAUUACCAAGAAGAAAUUGAUAAGGAAAAAAAAACAAUAGAAUAACUUCCUUGAAACUCUUGGCUAUGAAUAAACACAAAACAUCAUGUUUAAUAAACAUUCAAAUGUUGAUUUCCUAUGUUAGUCAGCUGUCAGCUGUCAGCCCCAUAUACAUAAAUGUUAUGGAUAAAUAAUUUUGAAUAUUUGGAAAUUUGAAGAGUUGUUAAUGCCAAAAGAAAUGGCAAGAAAUUCUUGUAGUCAUAGAAAAUAAUAUGGUUUGCAGAAAGAUUUGAGAAGAAAAAGAAUACACAUUAUAUCGGGAAUUAUUAUGCCACUCAUGGUACACAUUACAUAACUCACAGUUACAGAUAGGAAGGCAGAUGUAGUGCUCAUUUUGACACGAAGAGGCAUGUCUCAGAAGGAUGAUAUGUUAAAGCAUUAUAGGUUAUCAUAGGCAAGCAAGUAUACUGUAUACAUAAUCAUGCCAAAUAAUUGCAUAAAAUAGCCAAAAUGAACUGUCUAAUCACUUUGAUUUAAAAUUAGAAUCCAGACUUUCAAGUAGGCAAGAGUGAAAAUGCAUGAGAAACCAUGAACUAAAUUAGGGCUUAUUGUAACAUACACGUUUAGUUAUCGUGUUUUGUAAUAAAUAAUAUUAUGAAAUAUUAUAUGAAUUUGAGUAAUUGAGUUCUAACGGAUACUUUUUACUAGAAAUGAAGUAAAAUUAUGUUUAGAAUCAAUCAGAAAAUAUUGGAAGUCUUAUGAGAUUCCGAUUAAAAGUCAAUAUCGAAAUUUAAUGAAAAUAUAUAAUUUGAAAUAAGUAAAAUUUUAUUAAUGAAAGUUGUAAAGAAUCUCAUUAGAAACAAUUAGACGAAAACCUCAUCGAAAUCCGAGUUAUAACGAAUAAGUUAUGACCAAUCAUAGAUCCGCGACAAAACCGGCACGUCGCUGAAUGACGUGAAAAGUGAGUUUUUGAUUAACUACUUUUUUGCCUUGGUGGUUGAAAUGAAAGUCGUAGUAUUUGUUAAACUGAGAAUUUUCAUAAAAAUAACGUCCAAAUCUGACUUCGUAUGAAGAAGUUAUGAUUGUUCUAAGUUUCGGAAUAGCAGUAGACAGCUAAAAACACGAAAUAAAGAUCGAGUGAUUUUUAGCCGACGCAACCUAAACGAGAAUCGAAGGUCUCAUCAAUAGCAGUACAACGGUAAAAAGACAGACGAAAAUGAACAUCAGAUGAAGAAGUUAUGAAUAUUUAACGAAUUUUCCCGUCCCGUCUAUUAAAAAUAAAUCAAAAUUAGCCAACGGAGUCUAAACAAAAGUUGUAGAGCAUAAUUUCACCUACGCGUGCAUAUAAAGAACGUCAGAAAUGGAGCACAUAUGUGAAAGUUAUGGACUUUAGAAUUUUCGGACACAAAAACCGAGAAAAUCUGAAAUCCGAGAAAAUUUGCAUGGCUGGGGUUCGGCCACGUCACCUACAUGCGAUAUGACGCGUGUCCGACGCGUGUCACAGCCACCUCGCACCGAAGGCGCAGUCCUCUCCUGAUCCGAUGCGUGGCUAAGCGUUGGCGCCUUCUGAGCUUCGCCAUCUCUCUCUCCCCCCCUCGCAUGCGAGCCACGUGCUCGCUUCUCCUUGCUUCGGAUUCGAGGCUCGCACCUAUAUAAAGGGUGCGAGACCUCCUGGGUAAUUUUGGAAAUUUCACACCUUUUACCCCUAAAUCCAAUUUUUAGCUAUUUCAACUUCCCCUGAAGCCCCGGGAUCAUUCCCAACACCCGAAACACGUCCCGAAGUGCCCGAAGAGCCCGAGUAAUUUAUCUUUUCGGUUUGAAGCUCAACCCUUGCAGGGUCCGGUUUUCAGUAAAGCUCCUGGUUUUCAGCGAAGAAAGUUAUCUAUUAUAACGAAGUGCUGCACAAAUUACUAUUUUAACCCCCAACUAAUUCACGGUGAGUUCAAUAUAUAAGAACAAUUGUAUGUUAUGUGUUAUAUGUGCUAUGUGCUUUUCCGUGUUAUUAUAUUGUGUUAUUAUUUCAUGCUAUUAUGGUAGCAAAAGUUGUACCUGUGACCAUGUGAUCAGUGAAAGGACUUGAAUUCACGGUGGUACUGGUAUGUAGCCUCUGGCCAUGUAGAGCAUGUCUCGUAAGAGAACGACUUCUAUUUUAUGGCAUUAGCAGAAGGUUAGACAGGGCUAAAACCCUGAAAUCUACCAAAAUGUUUAAUCAGAAAGUGUAUGUCUUCUGUGCCAUUUGGGCUGAAGCUUUAUUGAUGUAUAUCUAGUAUGAAAAUUGUUAUGUCUUAUUGAUUGUAUAUCUUUAAAUCAAAUCAUUAAUUGAUAUUGAAAGCUUGUCACAUGAUACACAUAUGCCUUUGGUGUUCCAUGUUCCUCGUUGCUUUUGGCAUAACGUUAUAUUGCAUCUAUUAUUGAACUCACUAAGCGUCACCGCUUACCCCUCUCAAUGUUUAACAAAUUGCAGGAGAUAAGUAACCAGUAUAGUCGUAUACUGUUGGAAGGUUUAGAAUAGUUAUAAUAUUACUUUUGUAUUUAGGGAUCAUGUAUGUAUAAAAGUAUAGUAUCCUAGGUAGUUGUGUAAUAUAUAACACUUUCUAAUAGUUGGUUUGUAUCCGGUCGUUUGUAAACAAGUUAUCAAUGUUAAAACAUUAUUUGUGAAUAUGCAUGUAGCAUGUUUUGGAGUAACAGUUGUCAAAUAUGAAAGUGUGGGUCUUUCACUUAUUCUUAUAGAGUAUCCUGAGAAAUUGAAAUUCAAACAAAGAAAAUCUCGACGAAUAAGACGUCAAUUAAAAUAUCUAGCUUCGUUUUCGACCUAUCCAUAUGCACAUGCAAUCCUAUGCCAACAACCAUUGAUACAAAUCAAUACCAAAUGGGAUGAAACAAACACUUACGACUUUCUUGUGAGCCCCAGGUUCGACAUGAAGUUGACAUCUAGAUUGCAACUGCGAAACCUCCACUGCCUAAAUCAAAUAAAAAUUUAUAUUGAAACUGACGGUGUCAGGAGGGUGUAGGUAGCGACGGCUUCAAGAGGCUGGCAGUUACGUUCAUUUGUCAGAGAUUGAAGAGGGUUUUUCAUAAAAGGAAUAGAAAAACGUAUAUGAUGUCAAUUAAGUAACAAGCAUAACAUGUUUGUAUAACAUGUAUUUGGUUUUGUACCUCUUAAAUUUCAUCAAAAAAGUAUAAUAUGUUUUAUAUAAUAGUAAAGAUAAAGUUAUGACAGAUUUGGCCACUUGUUAUAUAUAAAUCCCCAAUUCUUUAUAUGUUUUAUAUAAUAGUAAAGAUAUGACAAACUUGGACACUUGUUAUAUAUAGAUCCCCAAUUCUUUAUAUAGUUCAUAAAUGUACAUUAUGUGUCAAUUUUGAGAUUUAGAGACUGAGGUUAACAAAUUAAGAACUUUAAAUUUUCUAAAAUAUGAGCUNNNNNNNNNNNNNNNNNNNNNNNNNNNNNNNNNNNNNNNNNNNNNNNNNNNNNNNNNNNNNNNNNNNNNNNNNNNNNNNNNNNNNNNNNNNNNNNNNNNNNNNNNNNNNNNNNNNNNNNNNNNNNNNNNNNNNNNNNNNNNNNNNNNNNNNNNNNNNNNNNNNNNNNNNNNNNNNNNNNGAGAAAUCAUGAACUAAAUUAGGGCUUAUUCUUAUAAAGUAUCCUGAGAAAUUGAAAUUCAAACAAAGAAAACCUCGACAAAUAAGGCAUCAAUUAAAAUAUCUAGCAUCGUUUUCGACCUAUCCAUAUGCACAUGCAAUCCUAUGCCAACAACCAUCGAUACAAAUCAAUACCAAAUGAGGAUGAAACAAACACUUACGGCUUUCUCGUGAGCCCCAGGUUCGACAUGAAGUUGACGUCUAGAUUGCAAUUGCGAAACCUCCGCCGCCUAAAUCAAAUAAAAAAUUAUUUUGAAACUAACGGUGUCAGGAGGGUGUAGGUAGUGAAGACUUAAAAGAGGUUGGCAGUUACAUUCAUUUGUCGGAGAUUGAAGAGGGUUUUUCACAAAAGGAAUAGAAAAACGUAUAUGAUGUCAAUUAAGUAACAAGCAUAACAUAUUUUUGUACCUGUUAAAUUUCAUGAAAAAAGUAUAAUAUGUUUUAUAUAAUAGUAAAAAUAAAGAUAUGACAAAUUUGGUCACUUGUUGUAUAUAAAUCCCCAAUUCUUUAUAUGUUUUAUAUAAUAGUAAGGAUAUGACAAACUUAGACACUUGUUAUAUAUAGAUCCCCCGUUCUUUAUAUAGUUCAUAAACGUACAUUAUGUGUCAAAUUUGAAAUUUAGAGACUAAGGUUAACAAAUUAACAACUUUACAUUUCCUAAAAUAUGAGUUUAAAUUUAUAUAUAUGUAUUACACAAAUUAUACAACAAACUUAUAAUACAUAUAGAUAUAUUAUAUAUAAGGGAAUUGUUUAUAAAGUCCUAAAUAAAUACAUAUAGGUAUGUAGCAUGAAUAUACAACAUUAUACCACCAAAUUCAUUCUUUUAAACUACCAAAUACAAAGAAUUUGACAGCCAAGUAACUUGCAAGUCUUUGACUGUCAAACUGAAGACUGCUUGCACACAUCCUUUAACAAAUUAAACUAUCAAAUACAACCCAAAAUCUAUACAAUUACAAUCAAAUAAAAAUCAUCUAAAGUGUUGCUUCAGUCACGGUUACCUUCUUCCCCACUCAACCCUCAAUCGAACACUCCACCCUUCUUCUCCUUCACUUCCCAGUCAAAAAUCAAACACCAAACAAAACAAUCCUCUUACAGUUCAUCGAUUUCAGUCAAAACAAGAACAAAAGAGAAAAAAAAAAGAGAGAAAAACAACACAACAGCAACCGGAGUUGCUGCUGCCUCCCACGAUACCACCACGAAAAAAAAUCAACAACCCCCUUUGUUUCAUACCUACCCUGCUAGACAAAUCUUCGCAUUCGUUUUUUUUUUUUUUUUUUUUGUUCCGGAGCUGUUAGCCACGAUCACAGCCCAUUUUUCGUUCUUCCGUUUCCUGUAAAAACAAUAAACACAAACACCCUUGAUCGAUCAUUCUGCCAGUCUCAACAUCUUUUGGAUUGGAUGCCAAAAAAAAAAAAAAAAAAAAAGAUGAAUCAAGAGGAUUCCCGGUUGCUGCUUCGUCCUUACCCUUCAAUCCAACUGUCUCCCAUUUCCAUCGCGUUUACUUCCAAUCGAACCAGAAGAAGAGCAGCCAAGAACAGUCAAACCAAACCCUCGAUCUGAAAAUCCUAGAAUCUUUUUCCCUUUUCGCCCAUCGCACCAUUCUUCUUCUUCGUCGAGCUCCACUGCCGAAAAACCCAGUGGUCGCUGAUUGCCCUUCGCACCUCGAUGCUGGAACCGAGCCAGCAGCCGCGAAGCUCCUCGCUUCCUCCCCUUCGGUCUAGUCGACCCCGAAGACACGCUUCUUCCUCCUCGCGAUCUGCAACCGCCGGAUACCUCGCUCAGCCCUCUUUCUGGCCAACGACGAGCAUGAAAACCAAAAGCCGCACCGCUGUCUUGGUGCUUUCCUUCGUGACUGCCAUCAUGUCCGGUUCCUUUCCUUGAUCGACCAACAAAUGAAAACGGGGGGGAUAAAGCCCUAAUUCCUUUUAUGUUGGACCAUUAAACAUGGGAUGCAUACAAAAGCCCAAAGUCAUUUUUUUUUAAUUAGGAAAUGACCAAAAUGUUCUCCUAUUAAACCAUGUAUUCAAAAUUACUCUCAACCCCAAUUAUUGAACCCAUUUGUUUAAAACAACCUGUCAAUUUGUAUUUAUAGUCCUAAUCAUUUAAUCAAAUUACCAAAAAGCCCCUAUACUUUAGUGAAGUUACAAAUCAGCCCCCAAUAGUUUAAAUUUGUUAUGAAAUGGUCCCGAGAGUAAUUAAAAAUUCAAGGGUUGUGGAUUUGCGGUUUCACAUGACAAGUUUUUCAAAAGAAACCGAAUUCGAACAAGAAGAACCUACGCUUCAAGGGUGGGUGCUUGCGUCCCCUUUUUAAUAUUUUAGUUNNNNNNNNNNNNNNNNNNNNNNNNNNNNNNNNNNNNNNNNNNNNNNNNGGGGGGGUACAUGUGCCUAUAUAUUUUGUUUAUAUAAAUAUAUUAUCCUUUAUGCGAGAAUAAAAUAAAUCUAAUUUAUAAAAUUGUUAUUUGAAAAUUGAACAUAUUGUUACAAAGAACUAGUAUAAACUUUUCGUAAACAUAUUGUGGAAUUUUUAUCGUGAAAUAACUAGUCUACACGAUAAAUGUUACAUGAUACAAAAAUAUAUAAUUUUUAUGUGACAUUGUAUAUUAUGACAAGCACAUUAUAACACUUUUUAGUAUUUCAAGGAUUCAAGCUAGUACUAUUCAUGUAUAUUUAUAUGUUUAAACACAUAAAGUUUAUACAUGUACGUAUGUUCAUUACUUUGAAACAUACAUCUUUAUAAAAGCAAGUACAUUACACUUUUACAUACAUACCAAGUAUACUCGUCUUCUAUAAUCUUCAUACAAUGAAAUUCAUUAUGCCUUGUGACCAAUUAAGUUAGGGCUGCGAGUUAUUCACAAACUUUUUGCUUAUGGCCUUUUUAGUGAGACGUUAUUCAUUAGCUGAGUCCAAACACUUAGCAUACCGAUACUACUGCAACUGUUAAUCUUCAGAGCGAGAUAUAUAUAUGUAUAGAUCUACACGGGGUUGACAUCCCCACCUGCGGUUGCUAGCUAGAACCUCGACCGAUCAAUCGAAGCGGGUGAUAAGUGUCAAUGAUUGUUAUUGCAACGUCUAAUGAAGCGUUGUAGGGGGUACACUCAGUCACAUAGCUCGGUUAUAGGGCUUACUAUAACAUUAACUAGAAUAUCUCUCUCUCUCUCUCUCUCUCUCUCUCUCUCUCUCUCUCUUUCUCACUACCAACCAUGGGCUUGGUUGCUUUCAAAACUAUUUUAAGUAUGGAAUUACUUAUCUAACAUAACAAUUUGGUUUUAAAGGAUAUUCAAAGAUUCAUUACAAACACGGUUUAAAGUAUGGAUUUACAUAUACAAAAAUACAUUUUUGCUUUUAAAGACUCAUUACAAACAUUGUUUUAACUAUUGAUAUAAAUACAAAGAAAAUACUUUUUAGACUUAUAUCAAGUAUUACUGUUGUUAGCAAAAAACAUGUAACACUCACUAGCCUUGUGUUGACCUUCAAAACUACAUGUAUUCUCAGAAAUCACGAAAUCACUAAACAAACAUUCAAUCCGGGCUGGAUUGACCUUGUUUACUUGCUAUUGUAUUAUAUGCCUAUCUAUUAAGGCAAUUCAUGUAUUAUUGUUAUUUAUAAAAACCUUGUAUUUAAAUAUCAAGAUGGAACACGAAUGCUAUAUUGUUUAUUAUUGUACUUGUGCUAUAUAUUUAGUUUACCUAUGAUACAUGAACUUAGUCGCACAACCCGAUGUGUUCUGCAAACUCGACCGAAGGUGUGACAGAUUGGUAUCAUAGCUAAAUUGGCUAUAGAGAACUCGUAUCCUCGGAAGAGAAAUACAACUAUAGCAACUAGCUUCUUGGCUACUUACGGUACGAGGAAUCUGGUUUGAAGGGUGACAUAGGGUUGCUGGAUUUCAGACGAUUUAAUUAAUUAAAUGGUCCUGCCCUCCGGUGUUUCCUGUCUAGCCCUCGUCUGUUGUGACAUCCCCAAAAUCUCAGCCAGAAAAGACCGGUUUCAUUUAUGCUUUUAAAAUAAUUUCAGAGUAAAUCCUUUUGAUUUGAAAGAGUUGCGGAAUUUGUUCCCAAAAACAAAACAUGAUAAAACAAUGUUUACCAAAGCAUUUCAUAAAAGAAAUGUAUUUUCAUUAUAUAAUCAAAACUCGGGGUGUCAUGUUCCGAUACAGACCAAUAAGCAUAAAUGAUAACAUUACAAGUCAUUCAACAAAUAUAUACAUAUACAGACUUGUAAACAAAACAACUUGAUGGUUCAUCCAUCUUAUGCCCUCGCGCCACUUCCUGUAAUACAAAUAAAACUGAGUGGGUCAGGCUUGGGAGCCUGGUGAGCAUAUAGGGUUUUCAACCCGCAAUAAAUAAUCAUAUUUAAUUUCCACUAACCAAUAAUAACCCAAUUACCCAUUUCCAUUAUUCUCACUUUAUGUCCCUAAGACAACUAACAUAAGGGACCUAGUCUAAGAAUAUUUCAUCGGGGCGACAACACAUGCUUCGGGGGUUCCUCAGCAAUAUAAGUCAAAUAAGGCAACCAUGAGGGGGAUGGAGUACAACAAAUGAACACCCAAGUUCAUUAACACCUACAGGUGGCGAGCCUGCUACUGUUCCACAAGUCUAUCUAGAAAAGUCCAUGGUUGUCAUCUAAACUCCGCUAGAUGACUAAAUCAAACAACAACGAGGCCUCUCAUCUGUUUAUUACACACCAACUAUCUACCCAUGUUCUACCCAACAUAUUAGUAGAUAAAANNNNNNNNNNNNNNNNNNNNNNNNNNNNNNNNNNNNNNNNNNNNNNNNNNNNNNNNNNNNNNNNNNNNNNNNNNNNNNNNNNNNNNNNNNNNNNNNNNNNNNNNNNNNNNNNNNNNNNNNNNNNNNNNNNNNNNNNNNNNNNNNNNNNNNNNNNNNNNNNNNNNNNNNNNNNNNNNNNNNNNNNNNNNNNNNNNNNNNNNNNNNNNNNNNNNNNNNNNNNNNNNNNNNNNNNNNNNNNNNNNNNNNNNNNNNNNNNNNNNNNNNNNNNNNNNNNNNNNNNNNNNNNNNNNNNNNNNNNNNNNNNNNNNNNNNNNNNNNNNNNNNNNNNNNNNNNNNNNNNNNNNNNNNNNNNNNNNNNNNNNNNNNNNNNNNNNNNNNNNNNNNNNNNNNNNNNNNNNNNNNNNNNNNNNNNNNNNNNNNNNNNNNNNNNNNNNNNNNNAUUUCUGGCACGCAAAUCGAUGCAAAACGGGAGAGAGAAGAGAGAAAAGAGCAAAAGAACUCGGCUGCCCUCGCAUCCUAUUUAUAGGAGGCUGGAGCCUCGGAGUACGCGGGGCGUACUGCUCCGAAACGUCAUUGCUUACGUAUCCAAAGUGUUCGAGUGCGAGUGUCGACAUUCCUCGGCGUACGCAGGGCGUACUUCGGAUGAGUCCGAUGACUCCUCUUCGGAUAAUGCCGGAUUUUCCAAUUAAUUUUAAAUACAAAUUAUUUAAUAAACUUCGGAAAUUCAUAUCUUCUUCAUACGAACUCCGUUUUCGACGUUCUUUAUAUCCACGCGAAGGUGAGACUACGCUCUACAACUUUCGUUUAGACUCCGUCGGCUAAUUUUAACUUUAUUUUUAUUAUUUAUUUUUAAUAGGUCGGGACAGAAAAACUUCGUUAUAAAUUCAUAACUUCUUCGUUUGACGUCCGUUCUCGCCUAACUUUUUAUCGCUUCGAUACCAACAACGAGAUCUUCGAUUCUCGUUUAGAUCGAUUCGACUAAAAACCGCUCGAUCUCAAAUCGAGUAAUUCGGGCUGCAUACCGCUAAGUCGAAACUUCAAUAAAUCAUAACUUCCUCAUACGAAGUCAUAUUUGGGCGUUCUUUAUAUAUACAGAAACCUCGUUUCAACUACUACAACAUUAUCCAAAGAUAUCAAGUUUAUUUUACACUUAAAUUUUGACGCUUAUUUUUUUAUUCUUAAUUAAUCAAACCACAUAAUUAAGCAAUUAAGCACAAAACACAUAAUACUCAAACAAUACAGUCUUAUUAUCUCAAAACAGGUUACAAAGGUUAACCUAGACUAUUACAUUGCUAAAAAUGGCAAGCCCGGAAACACAGGCGUUACAUCUGUACUUGGUAGUCUUAGAUUACAAAACAAAAUUUAAUAAUAUUAAAAACCCACCACAAUAGUAUAUAAGACUUAUAUACACUAUGACCCAUGAUGAGAACACUUAAUAAAACUCUAACAUACCUCCAACUAAAACUAUCAACUCAACCCUUUAGGUCAAACGCCUCAAUUAAGGUUAGUGUCGUACAUAAGUCAUAUCAUAAAUAAACCUGGAACGUAUGUGUAUGUUAUUUAUGGUCGGGCUGGUGAUCAACCAACGUUGAGCAAGGAGUUUGACAGACUACAAUGGUUGAAAGUUCUAGAGAUUGAAGGAUGUUCUCAAGAUUCGCUGCAGAAACCUAGUACCUUAGCAACCUUAUAUCAACCCCAAAACAACAUCUACAUUUUAAAAAUACUUAAAAAUCUAGGAUAAUGUUUAGAUUUUUAGAGUUCGCAUAAACCCAAAGAAGAACAAAGAAUUAAUAGCUCUGCUACCGUCGUAGCAGAGAAACCCAUAGUUCCUAAUCGAUCAUUCAGUAGUGUCCAAACUCUCUCUAUCAUUUGAAGUUGGUAGGAUUUUAGUUCUGUCUCCAUAAUACGGAAAUCUAUAGGAUGUUUAGAAUCAAUCACUUUCUAUAAUUUGGAAAUCUGUAGGAUUUCUAGAAUCAAUCACUCUCUAUAAUUUCGAACCUUACCAUGAAAGAUCGGAGGUGACUACUUACACCUCCCGAUUUAAUGACCUCGCUAACCUUAGCCCAUGAAUGGUGAACCUGGAAUAAAAGGAGACAAAAAAGUACAUCUGAGUAUUAGCAUCACCAGUUCAAGGUCUGGUUACUGAGUCCAGAUCCACUACCUUUGAUAGUGCUAAGCAAUAGUCCUAUCAAUUGACUGAGCAUUGUAUCCGUCAGGGUAACAUAACCCUACAAACCGAAAAGAACCAGAUGAGGAGUACAAAGAGGAAGUUCCGUGGAAACUCAAAUGGGAACUCCAAGAAUCACAAAACCAAUCCAAAAAUUUUGCUUGUGUACUCCGUAAUCACAAGCACUUCCCUCUAUCAAAUCCAUACUCUGAGAAUCUACCUGUAACAUCCGGAUUCCCAGGUAUAUUAUUUUAUUCAUUUAUUUUGGAGUUUGUGGAGGGACACGGUGAGUUGGUGCUUAGACUCACGGAGUAGGGUCGCGAAUUCUUAUCCGGAUUGAUGACCGGACUCGGCGAGUUCAUGGGUGGACUCGGCGAGUCCGCGCUAUUUAAUGAAACCCUAAUAUCUCGGGUUUGGGACCUAUUUAAAGGCCCUUAGGGCCUUCAUUUGCGACUAUCAGUCCCUUGAGAGAAACCCAGGAGUGCUUGAGCGUUUUGGGAGAGAGAGGAAGCUAUUUUUGACCUUUGAAGUAUUGUUUAGCAAGGAGAAGGAGGUUCUAGUCAAGUGGAAGCAAAGGAGGUUGACAUUCUGUGGAUUUGGAGCUCAGAGCAUCAUAUUUAAGGUAAUAAUUCGGCUUCCCUACUGUUGUUAUGAUGAUCAUACGGAUUUAAGGUUUCUUGGACCCUUUAUUGGUUAGAUUUGAUGUCCAAUUAGUCCCUAUUUGUGAUGAGGCUUUAGAUAUGGAUCCGUAGAGGUCCAGAGAGCCUUACUCAUCAAGCUUUAUGAAGAUCAAUGGGGGUUUUGACCAUGGGUUAUGAUAUCCGAGACUAAAACAUCAUAUAGGAUCAAAUAUAUGUUGUUUGUGCAUCAAGAUAUAGACUUUACGUGAUUAUCAUGCUUGGGAAGGUCGGAUCUAUGGAUUAAUGGAAUAGAUUUGACCUCAGGAGGUCAUUUGGGUUUGUGCAUGGCAUUGACUCGACGAGUAGGGUUAGGGUUUCCCUGUAAAUUACACAGUUGGUGACUCGCCGGGUUGGAGAAUGACUCGGUGAGUCAGAAGGGAUCUAGGGGUUGUGAGUACGCGAUGGAACUCGCCGAGUUCAUAAUUGGACUCGACGUGUUGAGUCGGGGUGGCCCCACGAUUCAAGCCAGGUGUCACUCGUCGAGCAAGGGAAAGAAUCGAUGUGUUAAGCGGGACUAGAGGGGUACGGGUGGACACGGGUGAACUCGCCGAGUUGCCCGAAGGCACUCGACGAGUCGGGUCAAAGGUUGACCGUUGACCAGCGUUGACUAGGGUUGACUAGAUAGUGUGAGUCAAACAAAGUCAGGAAAGUAUUAAUGAGAGUUGUACUUAUGAUAUAGGAGGACGAUAGGUCGGGAGAUUGGGCACGAGUGAUUAUCCGACAUCAGCGAGGUGAGUCUUCUCACUAUGCCUUACCCGAUGGGGUAAUUAUGUGUGACCGGAAGGUCUUACGUGUAUGAUGUAUAUGUGAUGUAUGCUAUAUGUGAUAUGUUGUGAUACGAGUAUGAUAAUGUGGACCGGAAGGUCAAGAUGAUAUGGACCGAAAGGUCAACAGAGUCUGGGAUGGAANGGAACGGAAGCCUAUGGCCUGGAAAGGCGUAUGUGCGGUAUGUGGUAUUUUGGGGAACUCACUAAGCAUUUGUGCUUACAGUGUUAUGUGUUAUGUGUUUCAAGUACUAGUGAGGACCGCGUGAAGGCGCCAGCUUGAUCAGUACACACUUGCAGAUGUCAUGUUUUUGAGAUCUUGGGUUAUGAAUUAUGUUAUGUAUUUUGUGGAAACAUUGGGUACUUGAAUUUUGGACGAUUUAAUAAUGAAAUGUUUUUAUUAAAAAUUAAAUGAAAAAUUGUCUUAAAUUUUACGGUGUUACAAAUUGGUAUCAGAGCCUUGGUUUAAGGGAUUCGGAUUCACCUUCGGGUGUAUUUGAACUCAAACUGAGGAUUUGAGAGAUUUUUCAUAAGAUAAACAAUUUUUCUGAAAAUAAAAGAAUUGAAAAGAUACGCAAGUGAGCAGUGUGUACGAUCAGCCAGCGCCCGAAUAGUGAUUUCCCAAAAUACCCUUACAUUUUGUGUUAUGAGAUAUAUUGAAAGGUGCUACGCAUGCUAGAGUAGGCUAGGUAUUCAUAUUAGGACUAGAGUGGCCUGAUUUGUGAUGCCUUAGCCUAGGAAGAUUUCUGCGGCCAUGAUAUGCUUUAGAGUAAGUGGGUAGCAGUGAGGUGCUAUGAGAGUCUAUCGAAGGGUAGUUUAUGUGUGAAAAGAGAUAGAGUACUUGUGAUUUGGGAUCCUCGGAGGAGAACUUGGGGUGGAUGCUGAUGCGGUGUGGACGGUAGUAUUGGGCCCGUACUACUGAAGACACCGAGUCAGUGCGCAGUCCAAGUAAGAAUCUUUAGGGUACCAAGGAAUAAGUAGGGUGGGUUUAUCGAGUGUAUGUAUACUCGGGCGAGUCCCUGAUAUUUCUUUAUGUUGUAUUUCAGAGGUAGAUCAUGGUUGGGACACGCCAUACACCAAAGAUCAGCGGGACGAGUGAUGAGGAGAUCCAUAGAAUCAUCUACGAGGUCAUGGCUGCGGCCAUCAGGGCUGAGAUUCCAUAGAUGUUCGGGUCUAUUAAGACCACCUUGAUUGAGACUUUUGAUGAGCGGUAUGCCGCUCUUUCUGAUGCUGCUAUUGCAGCAGCCACUACGGCCGUUGUUGCUGCCAGGCCAUAGGGGGGUGACUUGUUGUUGUACCGGGAGUUCAGCAACACGAGGCCACCAGAGUUUGACGGGACUCAGGAUCCGAUAGCCGCAAUGAGGUGGAUCUCUGACAUAGAGGGAUGCUUCUACACAUGUUCAUGUCCGGAGCAUCUGAGAGAUCGAUUCACGUUGAACCAGCUUCGCUUGGGGGUGAAGCACUGGUGGAAGUUCGUGACAACGCAUUAUUCUUCAGCAGAGCUUGCUGUGGUGACCUGGGAGAGGUUCACCUCUAUGUUUCAUGACGAGUAUGUUCCCCCGGUGGAACGGGAGCGUUUGGCUCAGGAGUUCUUGACCCUCAAGCAGGGUAUUGAGUCAGUUACUGUGAUUACCCGGAUGUUUCACGAGAGGGUGAUGUUCUGCCCUAAGCACGUGUCGACCGAGCAGGAACUUAUGAGCCGAUAUCUGAGAAUUCUGAGGAGAGACAUUCAUGAUUUUGCAGCAAACUCAUCAUACCGGACAUUUGCUGAGCUUCAGGAAAAUGCCCGGAAGAGGGAGAUUGAGUUGGAGACGUAGGCCAGGGAGGAGGCCGAGUCUCAAAAGGUGGAUUGGCGAUCGACACAGUCUCAGCCGGCAGCCAAGCGGGCCAAGCCCGCCGAUUCGAGGUAUGGGGGUCAGAAGGGCUGCACUUGCGGAAAGUGCGGCAAGGGUCAUGAUGGAGUUUGUAGGGUUGGUGCUUGCUAGAAGUGUGGCAAGGAGGGGCAUAUCGCCAAGGAUUGCCCCAAGGGAUUCAUGGUCUGCUUUCAUUGCAACCAGACUGGGCACCGAAAGGCGGAGUGUCCACAUUUGCGAGGGACGACACCGGGAGCAUCUCAGGGAUCUGCCCCUGCUACUACGAGCAGCAGUUGGUGACGAUCCGAGAUCCUAGUGGGGGAGUGUUGACAGUUUAUGGUGAGGGGACUCGUAGUGAUUCAACAUUCUGUUCGCCUACCAGAGUGAGGCAGAGUUUGCAGCAGGGCUGCAAGGGGUUCGUAGCCUAUGUGAUGGAUACGCGUGAGGUUGCUGGGAGGCCGAGUUCAGUUAGUGAUGUUCCGAUAGUGCGUGAGUUCCCGGACGUAUUUCCUGAGGAGUUUCCGGGUGUGCCUCCUGAGUGGCAGGUGGAGUUUCGCAUAGAUUUGAUUCCCGAGGUUGCACCUAUCGCUAAGGCGCCAUAUCGCCUAGUACCGCCAGAGAUGCAGAAGUUAUCCUCAAAGUUGUAGGAACUGUUGGGGAAGGGGUUCAUUCGUCCGAUCAACUCACCUUGGGGAGCGUCGAUUCUCUUCGUUAAGAAGAAGGAUGGUUCACACCGGAUGUGUAUAGAUUACCGGGAGUUGAACAAGUUAAUGAUUAAGAACCGUUAUCCGUUGCCGAGGAUUGAUGACUUAUUUGAUCAGCUUCAGGGGGCAUCUUGGUUCUCCAAGAUUGAUUUGAGGUCUGGAUAUCACCAGAUGAGGGUGCGCGAUGAAGAUAUUCAGAAGACUGCGUUCCAAACACGAUACGGGCACUAUGAGUUCGUGGUGAUGCCUUUCAGGCUCACCAAUGCACCAACAACAUUCAUGGAUCUCAUGAACAGAGUAUGCAGGCCAAUGUUGGAUCGUUCGGUGAUCAUGUUCAUCGAUGAUAUAUUGGUAUAUUCGAGGUCUAGAGAGCAGCAUGAGGAGCAUUUGAGGGAGAUCCUCGGGGUUUUGAGAUCGGAGAGGCUCUAUGCCAAAUUCUCCAAGUGUGAUUUUUGGUUAUGAGAGGUCCAAUUCCUGGGACAUCUCGUUAACCAGAAUGGGAUUUUGGUCGAUCCGGCCAAGAUUGAGGCGAUGAUGAGCUGGGAGGUACCGAAGUCUGCCUCCGAGAUCAAGAGUCUUCUGGGGUUGGCCGGUUAUUAUCGGAGAUUCAUUCAGGAUUUCUUCAAGAUUGCAGUGCCACUCACCAGUUUGACCCGAAAGGGUGUUGCUUUCUCAUGGGGUCUAGAGCAGCAGACCUCAUUUGAGACUCUUCACCAAAAAUUGUGUGAAGCCCCGGUGCUAUCCCUCUCAGAGGGAGUUGAUGAUUUCGUGGUUUACUAUGACGCAUCUAUAUCCGAGUUAGGCGCGGUGCUCAUGCAGAGGGGGCAUGUGAUAGCGUAUGCAUCGAGGCAGCUGAAGCCUCAUGAGGUGAGGUAUCCCACUCACGAUCUGGAGUUGGGGGCAGUAGUGUUCGCCCUCAAGAUUUGGCGUCACUAUCUAUAUAGGGUUCGAUGUACCAUAUACACGGACCACAACAGUUUGAAGUACUUGAUGGAUCAGCCCAACUUGAACACGCGGCAGAGGAGGUGGUUGGAUAUGGUAAAGGAUUAUGAUUGUGAGAUCCUGUACCACCCGGGCAAGGAUAAUGUGGUAGCCGACACCCUGAGUCGUAGGGCAGAGAGUGUCCAGGUAUGAGACAUUUGCAUGAGAUUGACUGUGAUGAAUCUGGUGUUGGACACCAUUCGAGGGGCCCAUGUUGAGGCAGUGAGACCGGAGAAUCAUAAGAGAGAGAGGGUUAUCAGGCAGGUGUCGGAGUUCGUUACCGAUAGCCGAGGGCUUCUGACUUUUCAAGGUCGGAUUUGGGUACCGUUUGUGGGCGGGGCGCGUACCAUUUUGAUGGAGGAGGCGCAUAGAUCGAGGUUCUCGAUCCAUCCCGGGGCCACUAAAAUGUAUUUGGACCUAAAGAGGGAGUAUUGAUGGCCCUGUAUGAAGAGGGACGUCGCGUGGUUCAUUGAAAGGUGCCUAACCUGUCGUAGGGUUAAGGACGAGCACCAAAGACCGCAUGGUAAGUUGCAUCCAUUAGAGGUUCCCAAGUGGAAGUAGGAACAAAUUACCAUGGCUUUUAUCACCAAAUUGCUGAGGACUGCGAGGGGCGUCGAUGCAAUUUGGGUGAUUGUAGACAGGUUGACAAAGAGUGCUCACUUCCUUGCUAUUAGUGAGAGCUCUUCCGUUGAGAGGUUGGCAGAGAUGUACGUGAUGGAGGUGGUAUCGCAACAUGGAGUGCCGAUCUCGAUUGUCUCAGAUCGAGAUGUGCGUUUCACUUCCAGAUUCUGGAAGAAAUUUCAUGAGGAAUUGGGUACGAGGCUGCAUUUUAGUACCGCAUACCACCCACAGACUGACGGGCAGAGUGAACGGACGAUUCAGACGCUCGAGGACAUGCUCCGAGCAUGUGUGUUGGAUUUCGGCGGGAGUUGGGACACGUAUUUGCCCUUGGCAUAGUUUUCCUACAACAACAACCAUCAUUCGAGCAUUGGUAUGCCACCCUUUGAGCUGUUGUAUGGGAGGAGGUGUCAGACUCCUAUCUGCUGGGGAGAGGUAGGGCAACGUGUGAUGGGUAGUACAGAGAUUGUGCUUUAGACGACAGAGCAGAUACAGCAGGUCAGACAGAGGUUGCUGACCGCUCAGAGUCGCCAGAAGAGUUAUGUGGACAGGUGCCGGUCCGAGCUCGAAUUUCGGGUCGGCAACUUUGUACUCCUGAAGGUCUCUCCUUGGAAAGGAGUGAUCCGAUUCAGGAAGAGGGGCAAGCUAGGGCCCCGAUAUAUUGGUCCUUUUAGGGUGAUCACGAGGGUAGGCAGGGUAGCCUAUCGGUUGGAACUACCUGUAGAGUUGGGCCAGAUUCAUGACAGCUUCCACGUAUCUCAGUUGUGAAAGUGUAUUGCUGACGAGUCGGCAGUGCUACCAUUAGAGGAUAUUCAGGUGGAUGCGAGCCUGAACUAUGUUGAGAGACCGGUGGCUAUUAGGGAUUGGAAGAUCAAAGUUCUGAGGAACAAGGAAGUGCCUCUGGUGCAGGUCCAGUGGCAACAUCAGAAGGGGUCAGAGUUGACUUGGGAGCCGGAGCGUGAGAUGAGUGAGCAGCAUCCAUAGUUGAUUGCAGAGUAAGACUUCGAGGACGAAGUCUGAUUCUAGUGGGGGAGAAUUGUAACAUCCGGAUUCCCAGGUAUAUUAUUUUAUUCAUUUAUUUUGGAGUUUGUGUAGGAACUCAGCGAGUUGGUACUUAGACUCGCCGAGUAGGGUCGCGAAUUCUUAUCCGGAUUGAUGACCGGACUCGGCGAGUUCAUGGGUGGACUCUGCGAGUCCGCGCUGUUUAAUGAAACCCUAAUCUCUCGGAUUUGGGACCUAUUGAAAGGCCCUUAGGGUCGUCAUUUGCGACUAUCAGUCCCUUGAGAGAAACCCUAGAGUGCUUGAGCGUUUUGGGAGAAAGAGGAAGCCAUUUUUGACCUUUGAAGUAUUGUGUAGCAAGGAGAAGGAGGUUCUAGUCAAGAGGAAGCAAAGGAGGUUGACAUUCUGUGGAUUUGGAGCUCAGAGCAUCACAUUUGAGGUAAUAAUUCGGCUUCCCUUCUGUUGUUAUGAUGAUCAUAUGGAUUUAGGGUUUCUUGGACCCUUUAUUGGUUAGAUUUGAUGUCCAAUUAGUCCCUAUUUGUGAUGAGGCUUUAGAUAUGGAUCCAUAGAGGUCCGGAGAGCCUUACUCAUCAAGCUUUAUGAAGAUCAAUGGGGGUUUUGACCAUGGGUUAUGAUAAUUGGCACUAAAACAUCAUAUAGGAUCAAAUAGAUGUUGUUUGUGCAUCAAGAUAUAGACUUUACGUGAUUAUCAUGCUUGGGAAGGUCGGAUCUAUGGAUUAAUGGAACAGAUUUGACCUCAGGAGGUCAUUUGGGUUUGUGCAUGGCAUGGGCUCACCGAGUCCAAGAACAGACUCGACGAGUAGGGUUAGGGUUUCCCUGUAAAUCACACACUUGGUGACUCGACGGGUUGGAGAAUGACUCGGUGAGUCAGAAGGGAUCUAGAGGUCGUGAGUACGCGAUGGAACUCGCCGAGUUCAUAAUUGGACUCGAUGAGUUGAUUCGGGGUGGCCCCACGAUUCAAGCCAGGUGUCACUCGUCGAGCAAGGGAAAGAAUCGAUGUGUUAAGCGGGACUAGAGGUGUACGGGUGGACACGGGUGAACUCGCCGAGUUGCCCGAAGGCACUCGACGAGUCGGGUCAAAGGUUGACCGUUGACCAGCAUUGACCAGGGUUGACUAGUGUUGAAUUGAUAGUGUUAGUCAAUCAAAGUCAGGAAAGUAUUAAUGAGAGUUGUACUUAUGAUAUAAGAGGACGAUAGGUUGGGAGAUUGGGCACGAGUGAUUAUCCGACAUCAGCGAGGUGAGUCUUCUCACUAUGCUUUACCCGAUGGGGUAAUUAUGUGUGAUCGGAAGGUCUUAUGUGUAUGAUGUAUAUGUGAUGUAUGUUGUAUGUGAUAUGUUGUGAUACGAGUAUGAUAAUGUGGACCGGAAGGUCAAGAUGAUAUGGACCGGAAGGUCAACAGAGUCUGGGAUGGAAAUCCCCUGAGACACUUGGAACGGAAGAUCCUAUGGCCUGGAAAGGCAUAUGUGCAGUAUGUAGUAUUCUGGGGAACUCACUAAGAAUUCGUGCUUACAGUGUUAUGUGUUAUGUGUUUCAGGUACUAGCGAGGAUCGUGGGAAGGCGCCAGCUUGAUCAGUACACACUUGCAGAUGUCAUGGUUUUGAGAUCUUGGGUUAUGAAUUAUGUUAUGUAUUUUGUGGAAACAUUGGGUACUUGACUUUUGGAUGAUUUAAUAAUGAAAUGUUUUUAUUAAAAAUUAAAUGAAAAAUUGUCUAGCUUAAAUUUUACGGUGUUACAUUACCCUACUAUACCAAGUGCAAUUUCCACCAUGUCGGAAAUUGCAUGGUCUGCAACAUCUGUAACUUAAGAGGUCACACCUUUAGGUACUGCAGAAAGGCCCAAACAAAAAAACUUCAACCACCCUUACAGGAGGAAACCGAAAUUGCUUCGAAUAUAAUCAACAAGGGCAUUUCAAGAAGGACUCCCUGAAAUAAAAGAAUCUGGGUGACAAAGGAAGAGCAUUUGUGAUAGGUGUUGGAGAUGAUCUCCAAGAACCAACUGUGGUUACUAAUAUGUUUCCCAUCAACAAUAUUUAUGCUUCCGUAUUAUUUGAUACUCAUGCCGAUAGAAUCUCUCUUUUGCAUAAGUUUAGAAGCUUGAUUAACCAUAAAUCAUGCAAACUUAACAAAGCUUGCACUAUAGAAGUAGCGAACGAACAGUUAAAAAGCACCUUAGAAAUACUCACUACUUUCCUCCUCACACCUAAUAACCAUGUCUUUCAUGUCAACCUAAUACUUGGAAGUUUCGAUAUGAUCAUUGGAAUGGACUGGUUAUCACUUCAUCAAGCAGAUCUUAUGUCACAAAAAAGUCGGUCGACUACCUUUACCAAACAACAAAGCCCUCAUGACUUAUAGAUGCAAAUCGGGAAAGAACCUAGGAGUCAUCACUUGCAUGAAUUCAAGGAAGCAUUAUAGAAAAGAUGCUUCACUUUAUUGGCCCACGUGAUGGAUAAGAAAGACAAGGGUGAGAAAAUCAAAUACAUACCACAAAUGUGCGAUUACCCGGACGUAUUUCCAAAAUAUCUAACUAAAGUACCUCCAGUCAGAUAGGUCGAAUUUCGAAUCGACCUAAUCCCAUGUGCGACACCAAUGGCUAGAUCUCUUUAUCGUCUAGCUGCAUCGGAAAUGCAAGAACUAUCCAAUCAACAUCAAGAACCUAUUGACAAAGGCUCUAUCCGGUCAAGCUUCUCUCCAUAAGGAGCUUCGUUAUUGUUUGUCAAAAAGAAGGAUGGAUCGUUUAGGACGUGCAUCGACUAUCGAGAGUUGAAAAAACUCACCGUAAAAAACCGAUAUCCACUCCCGAGGAUCGAUGAACUGUUCGAACAACUACAAGGAUCCUGUUACUACUCACAGACCAUCUAAGAUCCGACUAUCAUCAACUCAAAUUUCAAGAAGCAUACAUUCAAAGGACGACAUUCACGACUUGGUAUGGUCACUAUGAGUUUCUGGUUAUCCCAUUCCGACUGACCAACGACGCCAACCGAAUUAUGCUAAUUCUUAGGGCUUGCAGGUUAUUAUCGAAAAUUGAUCGAGAACUUCUACAAAAUAGCCAAGCCUCUGACUGAUUUAACCCAGAAAUAAAUAAAGUUCAAUUGGGGAUACAUUAAAGAAUCUACCUUUCGGAAGUUGAAGCAAUUAUUUAGCACUGCACCAAUUUUGUCUCUCCCAGAAGGAACAUAAGACUUUGUAGUAUUCUAUCAUGCCUCACACCAAGGUUUAUGAUGUGUAGUGAUGUAAAAAAAAUAAAUUCAUUGCAUAUACAUCCACACAACUUAAGCCAAACAAGACCAGCUACACUAUCCAUAAGUUAUAGUAAAGAGGUAUAGUGUUUGCCUUCAAGACUUGGAGACACUACCAAUACAUGACGAAGUGUGUCGUGUCCACAGGCCACAAAAACCUUCAACACAUCUUCGACCAGAAGGAGCUCAACAUGAGACAAUAAAGAUGGGUAGAAUUAUUAAAUGACUACAAAUGCAAAAUUUGUUAUCAUACUGGAAAAGCAAAUGUCAUGACAGAUGAUUUAACUAGGAAAUAGCAAGUAAAGCCACUUCGUGAUAAAAGCCUUAACCCUAACCACCCACUCCAAUCUCACCACCCAAAUUCAAGAUAAUCAACUGGAAGCACUCAAAACCCGAGAAUAUCGUAGAAGAAAACUACGAGGUAUGGACAAACGAUUCGACCUCAAGGGAGACGGAACACAAUACUUCAUGAAUCAAAUUUGGAUCCUAAGGUUUUAUGAAGUCAAGAGUCUAAUUUUAAAUGAAGCUCAUAAGUCAAGAUAUUCGAUACAACAUGGAUCAGACAAGAUGUAUCUUGAUCUUAAGAAGCUUUAUUGGGGCCCAACAUGAAGGCAUAGAUUUCCACAUAUGUCGGUAAAUGCUUGACCUGCUCCAAAGUCAAAGCAGAGUACCAAAAGCCAGCAAGAUUAGUACAACAACCGUCAAUCCCAUAAUGCAAAAAGGGACAUAUAAACAUGGAUUUCAUAAUAAAGUUGCCAAAGACAUCAAGCGGUUAUGAAUCCAUAUCGGUUAGUAGUUCAACGUUUCACCAAUUCAGCCCAUUUCUUAGCCAUCAAAAAGACCGACAAGAUGAAGAAACUCACUAUGACCUAUCUCAAGGAAAUAGUCAGACGGCAUGGUGUGCCAAUAUCUAUUAUCUCAGACCGAGAUAGUAGAUUCACUUCCACGUUUUGGCAAUCUGUAAUGCUUGGUUCCUGGUAUGCAUUUAAACUGUAUUUUAUUCAUUUUUGUAGAGCAACUCGACCACUUAGGAUCCCCAAAAUCGUCAAGUAGUAAUCAGAAGAGACAUAGGAUUUUAAGUAACCUAUUCGACGAGUUAAGAGCCUCAAUUCGACGAGUAGGGCUGCCAUAAUGAAACACUAAUUUCAGGGCUUUGCACCCUGUUUAAGCAUCUUAAUCCCCACUUGUUGGCCUUAUUUCUAGCCUCUAAUUCCCAAUCCGUAGAUUCAGAAACCCUAAUGUGUUUGUGAGCUUGUGAGCCAUUUUUGAGUGAGACUUGGUGUGUUUUUAAGCUUAUGAAGGAAUGAGAAGCUUAGCGGUUCAAGAAGAAGCUAGUAGAUCCAAAGAAUCCACUUCAUUCUCAUCAUUUUUGGUAAGCAAGUCUCAAACUUUCUUAGUAGCUUCUUAGAUCUUUUUAUUAUCAUUUUAUUGGGUUUUGGUCCAAGAAGUAUGAUAUUUGGGAUAUGGACGUCCCAAGUGAGUAUAUCAUUAGAUCUGGAACGAUGGAGGGCUUUCAUGGCAUAAAGGUGCAAACUUUAUGGCCAUUGAAGCCCCAUGCAAGCUAUAUGAUGUCAUUUUGGUCUUUUAAGCUCUAAACGGCCAUGAAUGAAGGGAAAUGUGGAAGCUUUACGUGUUCAUGUAGUGUCUAGGGUCCAUAUCUCAGUUUAUAUACCUUGGUUUAGAGCAUUGGUGGCUUUUGGAUCAAGAUCUAGUUCCUAAAGAGUUAGGGUUUGAGCUAAACCCAUUAAGUAAAGGUAUUAAUGGGUAAAUUUGGAAAGUUUACUCUUAAAACGACAUUUUCAGUGUAUAUGAGAAGUAUGAAGCUUAGAUCUAAAGAGUAGGGGCUUAAUCCAUUAAGAUGGCCCAAAUAGAAUGAUGAACUCGUCAAGUCCAUAGAGGAACUCGACGAGUUGAGUCGAUUUGAACCGAUUCUGAAUAGGGUAGAACUCGAUGAGUUAAAUCGAUUUAGGGGCGGAGGACGUCAUGUACAGUAUCACAACAAUUGCAUAAUAGUAAUCAAAGUAAACACAGACAUUACAUUAAUAAAAUAUAGUAUUUACAUAUGUUCAAUACAUAUUUUGUAUGACAUCAAAAUGUAUAACAAAAGUAUAAAAGACGUGACUCGAAAAGCUCCAUCUUUUCAAAAUCCUGUGGGAGUACCUGUUUACUGGUUCCUUGAGAAUACAAAUGAUUUUGAAAGUGUAUCAACAUUUAAGUUGGUGAGUUCAUAAGUAUGUAUUUGAGGUGGAAAGCUUGUAUUUGUUCUUUGAAAAAUGUUAUAGUGUACUUCCAGAAAAUCCAUUAUUUUCUUUUAGUGAAUGUCAUUUAGGCUUAGACCUUAAGACCAAAAUGUAUGUAGUUACUGUAUUCUAAAAUAGCAAACUGUACUUUGAAAUAGUGAGUUGUACUUUGUAAUAGUAAACCAUAGUCUUAUUAAGAAACAAAACCAUGUCAUGAAUGUUUCUUGAAAUCAUAUGUUGAACUAGUGUACUAGUGUACUCUGUACUUAGAAAAGUAGUGUAUUGUAGUAGUGCCUGUAUGAAAAACCUUUUUGUAUGAAUACCUGGAAUCCACCAGCUGUAGUGUAAAGUAGUAUAUUGUAGUGUAAAUUAGUGUACUAUGGUUUCAUUAUUUAAAAUAAAACCUUUGAGGUAGUGUUAAUCUCUUAAACUAAUACUGUAGUUGAUACUAUUGUAUGUUUCAUAUAACCAUGCUUGAUAUGACUAGUGGCCUCUACAACGUUCUUCAUACGUCGAAAUGUUAUGACAUUUGUCACCCCAGGCCUGUCGGCCUAGCUGUUGUAAGCAGCUCAGGUGUAGGAUUGUUAGUCCCGUGUAGAUCUAUACACAAAUUCACGCUCUCCCUCCAGGAGACUCCGGUUAUAAUUUAUAGGACUUAGUAUUGUACCCUGAUGGGUACCCCGAAGUAGUGCCUCACAACCUUGUAUUAACUAGUUUACGUGUCGUGUAGUAGUGUUCUCUUGUACUUGAAACUGUAUGUAUUACCUUGUAGUAGUGUAUUUUGUAAUCUAAAGAAUUAUACUUAAAUAAUUAUUUAAUAGUGUAUCCUUGAAUUAGUGUAAUAGAAUAGUGUUCCAUAAACUAUACCUAUUAUAGUUUAUAUAACUUUUUAUGUAUGGUGUUCUUUGAGCAUGUAAAAUAGUGUAGUGGUUGAUAAACUAUACCAACCAAAAUUUUAAAUGUAUACCUGUAAUGAACUAAAGCAUUGCAAUAUAAUAGUGUGUAUAAAGCGGUAGUAAGAGAUUUAUGAAAAAUUACCCUUUUGCUCGACAUGCUACAAAGGGUUAAAAUAUAAAAUAUAUUUUGGUAAAUGUAGUGAUAAAUCAUGUUGGAACAACUGCAAUGUUUUGAUGUGUUUUGAAAUCGUUUGAAAGUUAACACAAGAGUCCUUGUAUUAAACUUGUAUCCCCCCCCCCANGCAAAAUAAAAAUUUAAAUUAAUGAAAAUGUAGGGGUAUGAACUCACCUCUAGUGCGUGUUAGAAUCUGGAUACUGGAAUUGUAGAGAUGAUCCUCAGGCUAACGUAUGUGGGAAUAACAGUAUCCUGAUAUUAUUUAAACGUUUACUCACAUUUAAAUUAGCGAAAUAAUUAUUUAAUGUGUUAAACAACACUUAAUCUAUGUAAGAAAUAAUUAUCGAAAAUUAUUUUGAGUGUAGAAGAGGGUUUUCGGUCCAGCCUUUACCAAAAUCCGUGAUUUCGGUCUUAAAUCCUCAACCGAGAACCAGGUUCUUGGUCUUAUGGUGUUUUCGGUUGGGAACUUGUUUUCGGUCAUAUGAAAAUUUGAAUAUUGUUCUUGGUGGAAUUUUUGAAGAUUUGAAGGAUUGUUCUUAAAUGUUUGAAGGUUCUUGGAUGAAGUUUUGAGAGAAAAAUGUAUGUGUUUUCGAUUUGAAAGGUGAGAAAAUGACUAAGUUUUCGAGUGACAUAUAUAUAGCGGUUGAGUUUUCGCCCGGAAAGGGGGUUCUCGGCCGAAAAGGGUUUGGUGUCCGAGGUCUGAUUUCGGUCCGAGGAGUUUGCGGACGAGAAGGGUUUUCGGUGCAAGGGUUCUCAGUUCCAAAGAGAGAAAUGUUGAAUUUUAAGUGUAUAUUCUUCUAAGCACUUAUAUAAAAACAUCAUUUAUAAUUUAAAUUAUGUUCUAACCCUCAUAAACUUAAUGAAACAAAUAAAACUCGAAAUUUUAUUUAAAGGAUUUGACUUUUCUUCACUUGAAAGUAAUGGGUUGUUACACAUGAUUUUGAUAUAGUGUUUUGAUAUGAUGUUUUUAUAUACUAUAAAUUAUGUUUUUACGAGAUGGUUUGGGAUAUUAUGAUAUUAUUUAUAAAUUAAAAAUGAAAUUUUUGGACCGUAUUUUUGGGAUGUUUCAAGUUAGUAUCAGAGCCUUGGUUUGAGGGAUUCGGGCAAACUCUCGGGUGUGUAAGAACUCAAACUGAGGACUUGGUAUAAAAAUUUUAAAAGAAAAAACAUUUUUACAAAAAUGAUUUUGAAAAGGGAAAAAGGGUGUGGUGCAUGCAAUCAGCCGAGCUCAAGUAAGUACUCCCAAAUUACCCAUACAAGCUUAUGUUAUGAUAUGCUUAUGAGAACAACAUGCUAGAUUCGGGUUAAGGGUCUAGGAAGGAUGCCUUAUAUGCCUGUUAUAUGUGUAUGAGCUUUAUGAACUUCAUGCUAGUAUUGAUUAGUCAAUGAUAUGGUAGCAUGAGUAGAAUAUGCUUGAUGAAGUUUACUCAAUGCUCGAAUGCUGCUUGCUUUUUGAUUUUCGAAGUCCUAGUUAUCUUUAACUAACUAGUAAACGAAUACGUUAAGUUACAUAUUAUGAGGACUAAAUAAUUUCAGAAGGUUAGGUUUAGGUCUAUUUCGCAGCCCUCGUUUGAGUCUAACCGUUGUAGGGUAGGACCUCUCAUUCGAAGAAUUGUCUGGUCUUAUUGAUAUGUAAUGGUAUUCACGAUCUAGUUAGGGAGAGAUAGCAGGGACUUCUUAUGCAACUGAUGGCGAAGAGUGGGUUGGUGAUUACCCUAUGGCAAGCCUAGGAUGAGAUUAGUAGAGAGUAGUAGUAGUGAAAGGGACUUGGUGGAGUCAAAGGAGUUCUUGAGGAAUGUACGCAUAUAUAUGGAAGGUAGUAUGGGCCCGUACUACUGAAAGCAGAGGAUCCAUACUCGAAUCAAGGAAGGUUGAGAUGAACCCAGGAAACUUGUAGUAUGUGAGAUCCCUCAAGUUAUGAUAUGUAUACUGAUGUUUGUUAUGGUGUAUUUUUAGUAUGGUGAUGCUACACACUAGGCCAUUCGGCAGUAUAGGUGCCGGUGAGAGAUCAGGCUCGGGCUCUAGAGACGGGCAGCUCUACGAGCAGACGACAUAGUUCAUUUCGUCUGAGGUCAUGCAUAGUAUUUUAGACCAGACACCUGUGAGCUUCGGUACGAUCAAGGAGGGUAUCAUGGUGAAGAACAUGAUGAAGAAGAUAGAAAUAUUUUAAUGGACAAUAGGAUUAACAAAGUUUGUUUUAGAAAGCGUUCAUGUGUGGAUAUACAUUAGUAGCCACAUGAUUAGAUCAAGUUUCAGUAAUUAUGCUUAUGUUUGUUUAGUAAACACUUGCUUCUGUAUAUAUAGAUUUAUGCAGAUUAUAUAGUCGUUUAUGUUGAUAAAGUAAAUCUACAUUUGGAUUUGAAAGCAUUUUUGAUUCAUGAAUGUAAUUCGGUGACUAUUGAUUCAAUUUACAAAUUAUAAGCUAUCACAUGACCUAGGAAACCAAAUCAAUAAGAAUUAGGAAAUAAGAGAAGAACUACAUUAAAAUCUGGAUUGUAAAGUUCCGAAUCAUACCAGUUCUUGAUGUUCUUGCCUUUAAAUCCUUAACGAUUGAUGGAUUUCACAUACAUUUUGAACUAAAAAUACAAAGGAUCAUCAAAAUCAGAGAAAGCAGCUCUAGCACAAGUUUUUGUGAGCCCAUAUCCUUGCCGAAUUGGAGUCCUAAAAAAUACCAUUUACACACAAUAUGUGUCACACCCCCAAACCAAGGAUGGCGGAAACGUCCGGGGGUGGAGGACUUCAUGUAUAGUAUCAUAACAACAAUUUGCAAUAGUGAUCAAAGUAAACACAACCAACAUAAAUAUAAUUGAAAAAGUUACAUCAUUGUAUGAGUUUACAUGUUUCCAAAUCAAUUUCAUUAUGUUGACAAAAAUGAAAUGUUUGAUGCCUUAACGUCCCAUCCUCAAAAGUACUUGAUUACAUGUUUGUUGAUUUCCUGAGAAUACAAGUAAUUUUGAAAGAGUGUCAACAAUUAAGUUGGUGAGUUCAUAAGCUUUUGAAGGUGAUGCUAAAAUCCUUUUCUUGUAAAAGUGAUGUUUGUUCAAAAAAGAUCCCAUAUUUUCUUAUGUAAUGCAUUGUAGUCUUAAAAGUCAAGACUGAAGUGUACAAGUAUUUUACCAUACUUAAAGAAAUUUAUGCAAGUUUAAAUCGACAUAAGCUCGUUAAAUUUAGAAGUAAAACCCAUAAAUCUUAUGUUUUGUUAAUACCCCAUGUGAGUUAUUAUAACCAUACUAUGACUCAGACGGCCUCGUAAUACGACGUUCUUCAGGCGUUGCACGUUAAAUGACACUUCUCACCUCAGACCNCUCACCCCAGACCUGCCGGUCUAGCUUUUACAUGCAGCUCAGGUGUGGGUUUGUCAGACCCAAUAUAGAUCUAUACACAACUAUCACGUUCUCGCUACAAGAGACUCUGGUUACAAUUUACAGGACUUUUGAUUUCGUUACUUGGAUGUAACGUGAAGCGAAUAUCUCACAAAUUUAUUCAUUAACAGAUUUACGUGAACUGAAAACCUUAGGUAAUGAGUUUGAAAUGUAAAUGACACAUAAACUAUACCUAUUAUAGUUUAUCAUAAUUGUUUAUAAUGUAAAAGCAACAUAAACUAUACUACCAUAGUUUAUCGAAUGUUUGUAUACAAUGGAUGUAAACUUUGUUCAUAACAAUUAAUUAAUUACCAUACUUAUGAAGGUAAAAAUCCAUUUGUUUUCUGAUGUAUGUCAAUACACCAAAACAAAAUGACAUAUAAUGUAAAAAUAUAUAUUCACAUAAUUAUACACAACUUUCUCAACAAGUUACAAGGUGUAAAUAAAGUUGAUAACAUUUUUCUAGUGUUAACAUUUUUAUUCCUGUUCAUAGAAGAUUUAUAGAAAAAUGAUCACAGUUCCAAAUCAGAAUCCGUAAAUUAUGAGAGUUUGGAAAAUGUGUCUAGUUUUUUCAUAAAUUUUAUUAUGAUUUUUAGUGACCUCCAACUUGUGUGAAAAAGUCCAUAUUCACAGAUUGGUCCGGAUUUGUUCUUGGAAUGAUAGGCAGUUUUGCAAAAUCACCAUAAAUUGUAGAAAAAUCGUAUGGAGAUGUUCAAGUAGUAAUUUUAAAGGCAUGAACCUAAACUAUUUGCACCUAAUAUAGUUUUGAAAACUAAAAUGCUUAAGUUGACCAAAACAGUCCGUGAAUGGAGUUAAACUUUUAUGAUGAAAGCUGUUGGAUGAGUUUAGUUGUGUUCUUGGUGUUUUAACUUGUAUUGCCCCCCUUAAAACUUAAGAAAAACGUGAAAAGAUAGGGGUAUGAACUCACCUUGUGUGUUCUUAGUGGAUGGAUGUUGAAGAAAAGAAGUGUUCUACUCAAGAACACAAAGAAGAUGCCUUGAAGGUUCGAAGAUCAAGCACGAAUGUGAUGAUGUUUGUGUAAGAUAUCUAUGAUUUGAGUAGAAGGAAGUGAAAUAAUAAUGUGGAGGAUGAUAAAACUUACCAAAAGUAGAAGAAAAGCUUGGAGAAUGGCCUUGAAUCUCUAAAUUUAGAGAGAGAAUUGAGAGAGAAAAGUGUUUGUCUUUUGGAGGAAAAAUGAGAGAAAUGAGAGAAAUGUGGGGAGAGAGGAGGGUUUUCCAGACCUUGACCAAGUGUGUGGCUGGAAGAUGGUGGGAAAAGUACUAUGGAAAGAAUGGGUAUGGUGGAAGGACAAUGGUGGGUCAUAGAGUGGGCAUGGGGUGGUUGUUUGUGUCAUAUACUAAAACAAAGUCAACACUCCACCUUAAGUAUCUCACCCACUAAUCUUGGACAAUGAUUGCACUAAAAAACAUGAUUAUUCAUGAAGUAUGGGGUUUUAUAUGUUAAAACAUGAUUUUGGGUGAAAAUCCCACACAAAAAUAAUGGAAAACGGGCCUAAAAUGAAGUCGUAGUAAAAAACGGGAAGAAAAGCUAAAUCUACGAGGCUUCUCGCAUGGGGGACCGAAGGUGCGAGGGUUCGGCCCUUAGAGGUUGAGAAUCGAAGGUUGGGUUUGGUUGCUUGGUGGGAACCGAAGGCGAAAUGUCAGAAGCGAACUUGUCAGACCCGAGCCUGUCAGAAGCGAACCUAGGCGAGAAGCAAAAUAGACUAAAGGCGGAAGGAGGUUUGGUCCGAAGGGAGAAGGUUCGAGUUCGGUUCAUUGGCAGCUUCAGGUUCGGUUCAAUGGAGCUUCAGGUUCGAUCCUGAGGCUUCGGUUCUCAACAGGUUCGGUCCCAAUAGGGGUUCUUCGGCUCUAAGAGGGUUCUCCCCUUAAAGAGAGGUUUCGGUUCCUUGAGGCUAUUUUACCCAAUAUUACCCCGUUUUAAGUGAUUUUUGACCCGGUUAAGGGUCGGGAUGACCCAAAUGAUUUCAAAAAGUUAUGGGAACUUUUGAGAGAGAUUUGGAAGAGAUUUUUAGUAGAGAGAGAUAGAGUGAAAGAGAUUGGGAGAGGCUUCAUUUGUGACCUUUUUGAAUGUUUGGCUUCGCAAUGCAAGGUCCGUAAACCUCGUGAAGCCAUGUUUAAGGAUCUUACACACCCCCGAUGGGUAUGCAAUAGUGUUUUAUCGUUUUUUCACCUCACUUACCCUGAUUAUGGUUACAGAAAUCUAAAAAAUACGAACCUUCCAAGUGAUGAUUUCUUAUUAAAAUAGUGAGUUGUACAGUAAAUACAUAACGUAAACCCUAGAAUGCAAGGGUUAGUUGAGUUGACCAGAAUUUGACGGUUGUCACAAUAUGUAUAUUAAUAUAUUAGUAAUAAAGUAAUAAUACUUACCCAAUGCAGAUAAUUCAUAAAGCCUUGUGUGUCUGCAACUAAAGGAGCACCACUACAUAGCAUGAAACAAAUGUCUCUUCCAAGUAUAGAACGUAUCUUCUUAAAAACAAUAGCAUCCCAGAAUAGAUCAGGUUAUAGACAUAUUUAAAACAACUUUACAUGCUUGAAAUUUAUUUUCUUUAGAACAACUUUACAUCUGUGAGACUUAGCUCAACAUUUCCAUGUAGGCUAAAAUAAUCAAAACCACUUAAAUUUUUUUGAUCCUUUUUCAAUUUUAGAUUUUAACAUACCAGCUACAACUGCAAUAGAGAGGUAAUCUCCAAUUCUUCUGAUGCGUGAGGCACCUUUUCUAUAUGAUUUGAAGCGCUCUAAUGUUGGAUCCUUUGCCAAAAGUUGCAAAAAGUACACAUUUUCACAAGUUGAGUUUAUAUAAUUGGCUGUAAUGCUUGACAUACAGAUAUUAAUCUUUGAGAAAUUAAAUAUCCUCCUACUUUUGUUCCUAAAAAUCCUCCUACCCAAUUAAAUAAUGACAUGUGUCAUAUUAAUGUAUUAAAAUAUCAUUAAAUGAGCAUUAAAUAAUACACAUGUCACUAAUCAAUUGGGUAAGAGGAUUUGUAGGAAGAAAUAGUAAGAGGAUAUUUAAUUUCUCUUAAUCUUUUCUGUAUAUAAAAAGAUAUAAAAACAUCGGCUUCUUGACCAUGCAUUACCAAGAAGAAAUUGAUAAGGAAAAAAAAAACAAUAGAAUAACUUCCUUAAAAGUCUUGGCUAUGAAUAAACACAAAACAUCAUGUUUAAUAAACAAUCAAAUGUUGAUUUCCUAUGUUAAGGUUACACACACUAAAGCUUGCUAGAAAUCAAUGGAAGUCAGUUGUUAGCCCCAUAUACCCAAAUGUUGUGGAUAAAUAAUUUUGAAUAUUUGGAAAUUUGAAGAGUUGUUAAUGCCAAAAGAAAUGGCAAGAAAUUCUUGCAGUCAUAGACAAUAAUAUGGUUUGUAGAAAGAUUAGAGAAGAAAAAGAAUAUACAUUAUAUCAGGAAUUAUUAUGCCACUCAUGGUACACAUUACAUAACUCACAGUUACAGAUAGGAAGGCAGAUGUAGUGCUCGUUUAGACACGAAGAGCCAUGUCCCAGAAGGAUGAAUAUACAACAUUAUACCACCAAAUUCAUUCUUUUAAACUACCAAAUACAAAGAAUUUGACAGCCAAGUAACUUGCAAGUCUUUGACUGUCAAAUUAAACUAUCAAAUACAACCCACAAUCUAUAAAAAUCAUCUAAAGUGUUGCUUCAGUCACGUUUACCUUCUUCCCCACUCAAAUUGAAGACUGCUUGCACACAUCCUUUAACCAAUUAAACUAUUAAAUACAACCCACAAUCUAUACAAUUACAAUCAAAUAAAGAUCAUCUAAAGUGUUGCUUCAGUCACGUUUACCUUCUUCCCCACUCAACACCCUUCUUCUCCUUCUCUUCCCAGUCAAAAAUCAAACACCAAACAAAACAAUCCUCUUACACUUCAUCGAUUUCUGUCAAAACAAUAACAAAAGAGAAAAAAAUAAAAAAAAAGAGAACAAAAAUAAAAAAAGAGAAAAACAACAGCAACAGCAACCGGAGUUGCUGCUGCCUCCCACGACACCCCAUUGAUCGAUCAUUCUGCCAGUGUCAACAUCCUUUGGAUUGGAUGCCAAAUAAAAAAAAAAAAAAAAAAAAAAAAAAAAAAANAUCAAGAGGAUUACCGGUUGCUGCUUCGUCCUUACCCUUCAAUCCAACUGUUUCCCAUUUCUAUCACGUUUACUUCCAAUCGAACCAGAAGAAGAGCAGCCAAAAACAGCCACACCAAACCCUCGAUCUGAAAGUCCUUGAAUCUUUUUCCCUUUUCGCCCAUCGCACCAUUCUUCUUCUCCGUCGAGCUCCACUGCCGAAAAACCUAGCGGUCGCUGAUUGCCCUUCCUUCGCACCGCGAUGCUGGAGCCGAGAAGCUGCUUGAGCAGCUCCUCGCUGCUCCUCCCUUCCUCCCCUUCGGUCUCGUCGACCCCGAAGACACCCUUGUUCCUCCUCGCGAUCUGAAAUCGCCGGACACCUCCCUCAGCCCUCUUUCUGGCCUGCGACGAGCAAGGAAACCAAAAGCCGCACCGCUGUCUUGGUGCUUUCCUUCGUGACUGCCAUUAUGUCCCGUUCGUUUCCUUGAUCGACCCACAAAUGACCAAAAUGCCCUCCUUAUUAAACCAUGUAUUCAAAAUCACUCUCAAUCCCAAUUAUUGAACCAAUUUGUUUAAAACAACCCGUCUAUUUGUAUUUUCUUUUUUAUGAAAAUAGUCCUAAUCAUUUAGUCAAAUUACCAAAAGCCCCUAUACUUUAGUGAAGUUACAAAUUAGCCACCAAUAGUUUAAAUUUGUUAAGAAACGGUCCCGAGAGUAUAUCAAAGUUCAAGGAUUGUGGAUUUUGCAGUUUUCACACGACAAGUUUCUCAAAAGAAACCGAAUUCGAACAAAAGGAACCCAAGUUUCAAAGGUGAGUGCUUACGACCCCUUUUUAAUAUUUUAAUUAUUUCCNACAUGUGCCUAUAUAUUUUGUUUAUAUAAAUAUAUUAUCCUUUAUGCAAGAAUAAAUUAAAUCUAAUUUAUAAAAUCGUUAUUUAAAAAUUUAACACAUUGUUACAAAUAACUAGUAUAAAUUAUUCGUAAACAUAUUAUUGAUUUUUUAUUGUGAAAUAACUAGUCCACACGAUAAAUGUUACAUGAUACAAACAUAUAUAAUUUUAUGUGACAUUAUAUAUUAUGACAAGAACGUUAUAACACUUGUAGUAUUUCAAGGAUUCAAACUAUUACUAUUCAUGUAUAUUUAUAUGUUUAAGCGCAUAAAAUUUAUACAUGUACAUAUUUUCAUUACUUUGAAACAUACAUCUUUAUAGAAGCAAGUACAUUACACUUUUGCAUACAUACCAAGCAUACUCGGCUUUUAUAAACUUCAUACAAUCAAAUUCAUUAUGCCUAGUGACUUAAUCACAAUUAAGUUAGAGUUGAGAGUUAUUCACAAACUUUUUAGUUAAGGUCUUUAUAGUGAGACAUUAUUCAUUAGCUGAGUCUAAACACUUAGCACACCCACACUACUAUAACCGUUAAUCUUCGGAACAAGAUACAUAUGUACACGCACCAGUAACUUGGUGUUAUAAAACAUAUUGUUGUAUGUGAUUUGAUGAGUAAGUAAAAGCAAGAAUUUGAGUCGAAUUUUAUCUAUUCCUUUUACCCAAUGUGGGAUAAAAGGGAUAUCUGUGGGGCCCUAGAUGAUUUAGUGAUGACAACCCUAAGCGCUUGUCCAAGCCUGGACUGAUUUGAUUUGUUUAAUUAGUCAGUCAUCAUAAAUCGGAAAUCGGGAAACAACACAUGAACAGAGAGAAUGAUUAUAAUCCAUGUCUCAAUUCAUACGAUAUCUAGAAUUGAGGAAUAUAUGAUCCCUUAUCUAAUGGGGACGUCAUUUGACUAGGUCAGACUUCAACAACGACUUUUGAGAGCUACGAUUGGUAGUUAGGAUUUUGGAGUCGUACUUGCAAUAAUAGUUAUUAGACUUAUCCAAGUGGGAGACUAUUGGAUUAGGUGACUAAGCCCAUAACUAUAAUCGGAAUGUACUUGACCCGAGAGUAGCAUGGUCCAUUUGGGUUGCCUUCACCAAAACAAUAUGAUAGGAUGGAUAUUUGAGAAAGAGGCUAUUAUAAUUUACUAAUAUAUUAUAAGUAUAAUAUAUUAAUUGAGAAAUCAUAAUAUUUAACUAGUAUUGAUCAAGAAUUAAUUUGGAAUUAAUUUUGUGAUCAAAAGAGACUAAUUAAAUUAAUGGGGAAUGAUUAUGUAAAUCAGUGAUAUAUAUUGUUUGGGCUAUUGAUCCAUGAUGGGCUAAGUUUAUGUAAGUAUCCAUGAAGAGUUAGCCCACAUGAGAUAUGGAUCAUAACCCAAAUAUAUGUUACCCCUUAGCCAAAAUCGACACACCUAAGAGUUCUAGGAAGAGAGAAAUUGAUUUUGGAGUGUCUAAACCUCUCUCUCAAAGUCCUCCUUUGCUCAUGGUGUUUGUGAACCAUUUGAGGCAUCACACUUGACGUGCUAAGCUCUUCAAAGCCCAAAACUACAAGCUACAAUAAAGAGGUAUUCUUCUAACUUGAUUUUAUGAUUCAUGUACCAAUAUUGUAUGCUAGUUGUAGGCUUCAUGCUUUGGAAAUCUUAUUGCAUGUACAAUUAGAGAAAAUAUAGAUCCAAAGCAUUUAUGGUUGCAUGUGCACCAUAGGAGUGUUAUAGUGCUUAAAACCAACACAAACUUCUCUCUCUAUCAUUUGAAAUCGGUAGGAUUUCAAUUCUCUCUCCAUAAUUUGGAAAUCUUUAGGAUUUUUAGAAUCGAUUACUCUCUAUAAUUUGGAAAUCUAUAGGAUUUAUAGAAUCAAUCACUUUCUAUAAUUUAGAACCUUACCAUGAAAAGAUCGGAGGUGACUGCUUACACCUCCUGAUUUAACGACCUCGCAACGCUUAGCCCAUGAAUGGUGAACCUGGAAUAAAAGGAGACCCAAAGGUACAUAUGAGUGUUAGGAUCACCAGUUCAAGGUCCGGUUACUGUGUCCAGACCCACUACCUUCAAUAGUGUUAAGCAAUUGGCAUAUCAAUUAACUAAGCAUUGUAUCCGUCAGGGUACCAGAACCCCACAAACCGAAAAGAACCAGACGAGGAGUACAAAGAGGAAGUUUCGUGGAAAUUCAAAUGGGAACUCCAAGAAUCACAAAACCAAUCCAAAAAUUGUGGUUCUAUACUCCUUAAUCACAAACACUCACCUCCAUCAAAGCCCUACUUUGGGAAUUUACCCCUAGUAUACCAAGUGCAAUUUCCACCAUGUCGGAAAUUGCAUGGUUUGCAACAUCUAUAACUUAAGAGGUCACACCUUUAGUUACUGCAGAAAGGCCCGAACAAAAAAAACUUUAACCACCCUUACAGGAGGAAACCGAAAUUGCUUCGAAUACAAUCAACAAGGGCAUUUCAAGAAGGACUCCUUGAAACAGAAGAAUCAGGGUGACAAAAGGAAGAGCAUUUGUGAUAGGUGUUGGAGAUGAUCUCCAGAAACCAACUUUGGUUAUUAAUAUCUUUCCCAUCAACAGUAUUUAUGCUUCCGUAUUAUUUGAUACUCGUGCCGAUAGAAGCUUUAUUUUUCCAUAGGUUUAGAAGCUUGAUUAACCAUAAAUCAUACAAACUUAAAAAAUCUUGCACUAUAGAAGUAGCAAACGAGCAGUUAAAAAGCACCUUAGAAAUACUCACUACUUUCCUUGUCACACCUAAUAACCACAUCUUUCAUGUCAACCUAAUACCUAUGAACAUUGGAAGUUUCGAUGUGAUCAUCGGAAUGGACUGGUUAUCACUUCAUCAAGCAAAGAUCUUAUGUCACAAAAAAGUCGUCUGACUACCUUUAGCAAACAACAAAGUCCUCAUGACUUAUAGAUGCAAAUCAGGAAAGAACAUAGGAUUCAUCACUUGCAUGAAGGCAAGGAAGCAUUGCAAAACAGUUGCUUCACUUUCUUGGCCCCUGUAGUAGAUAGGAAAGUAAGGGUAAGGAAAUCAAAGACAUACCACAAAUGUGCGAUUACACAGAUGUAUUUCUAAACUAUUUAACUAGAGUAACUCCAGUCAGAUAGGUCGGAUUCCGAUUCGACCUAAUCCCGUGUGCAACACCAAUGGAAAGAUCUUUUUAUUGUCUAGCUCCAUCGGAAAUGCAAGAACUAUCCAAUGAACUUCAAGAACUUUUUGAAAAAGGCUCUAUCCGACCAAGCUUCUCUCCAUAAGGAUCUACGUUAUUGUUUGUCAAAAAGAGGAUGGAUCGUUUAGGAUGUGCAUCGAUUAUCGAGAGUUGAAAAAACUCACCGUAAAAAACCGAUACCCACUCCCGAGGAUCGAUGACCUGUUCGACCAACUACAAAAAUCCUGUUACUACUCACAUAUCCAUCUAAGAUCCGGCUAUCAUCAACUCAUAUUUCAAGAAGCAUAUAUUCGAAAGACGACAUCCAGGACUUGGUAUGGUCACUACGAGUUUCUAGUUAUCCCAUUCCGACUGACCAACGGCGUGAACCGAAUUGUGCCAACUCUUAGGGCUUGCAGGUUAUUAUCAAAGAUUUAUCGAGAACUUCUCCAAAAUAGCCAAGUUUCGCAGUGCUUUAACCCAGAAAGACAAAAAGUUUGAUUGGGGAGACAAUUAAGAGUCUACCUUCUGGAAAUUGAAGCAAUUCUUGUGCAGUGCACCAAUUUUGUCUCUCCCAGAAGGAACAUAAGACUUUGUAGUAUUCUACGAUGCCUCACACCAAGGGUUAUGAUGUGUAUUGAUGCAAAAAAAAAAUUCAUUGCAUAUACAGCCAAACAACUUAAGCCAAACAAAACCAACUACACUAUCCAUGACUUUGGGUUAAGAGGUCUAGUGUUUGCCUUCAAGAUUUGGAAACACUACCUAUACAAGACGAAGUAUGUCGUGUAUACCGACCACAAAAGCCUUCAACUCAUCUUUGACCAGAAAGAGCUCAACAUGAGAAAAUGAAGGUGGGUAGAAUUACGAAAUGACUAUAAAUGUGAAAUUCGUGAUCAUCCUGGAAAAGCAAAUGUCAUGACAGAUGCUUUAACCAACAAAGAGCAAGUUAAGCCACUUCGUGGUAAAGCCUUAACCCUAACCACCCACUCCAAUCUCACCACCCAAAUUCGAGAUACUUAGUUGUAAGCACUUAAAACCCGAGAAUAUCAUAGAAGAAAACCUACGAGGUAUAGACAAACGGUUCGACCUCAAGGGAGACAUAACAUGAUAUUUCAUGAACCGAAUUUGGACCCUAAAGUUUACUGAAGUCAAGAGUCUAGUUUUAAAUGAAGCUUAUAAGUCGAGAUAUUCGAUAUAACAUGGAUCAGAAAAGAUGUAUCUUGAUCCCAAGAAGAUUUAUUGGUGGCCCAACAUGAAGGCAGAUAUUUCCACAUACGUCCGUAAAUGCUUGACCUGCUCCAAAGUCAUAGUAGAAUACUAAAAGCCAUCAAGACUAGUACAACAACCGUCAAUCCCAAAAUGGAAAUGGGAAUAGAUAACCAUGGACUUCAUAACAAAGUUGCCAAAGACAUCAAGAGGUUAUGACUCCGUAUUGGUCAGUAGUUCACCGUUUCACCAAUUUCGCCCAUUUCCUAGCCAUUAAAGAGACCGACAAGCUGAAACCCUAAUUUUUAAGUUUGGAGGGUAUUUAAGCAACAUGAUGGCUCAUUUUUCCCACACCUUUUCAGCCUCCACCACCUUUUAGACAUUUCUGCAAACCCUAACCCUUGAGUGUAUGUUUUGGAGCUCAAGUGUGCGUUCUUGGUGUAUUGAAAAAGAAGAUUCUUGGAGAAUCCUUGGUGUGGGAGCAACUUGUUGAUCUGGGAUUCUAACCUUCUUAAGAAGCUCCAGAAGGUAUAAAGCUUUGAUAUUGACUUGUAUUCAUUUAAGAUCUUGUCAUGAGAAAUUUAUGUGUUUUUAGUCCCUUUCUUGGCCUUAAUGAGUAUGAGCUACUCUAAGACCAAAGCGUCCGUCCUUUCUGAAUAAUAGAGGUGCAUUAAGUCAUAAAAAUGCUAUCUUGGUUCAUUUGGUGUAUGUAUGCAAGUUAUAGAGUUCUUAAGUGGUUAAGACAAACUAGGAUCUUAGUUUUGGGACUUAAUAAUACAUGUAUAACCAUAAAGUUGGAAAGUUAAUGGUAUGGAACACCUUUUUAGGCUUGGAUCUGAAAUUGGACGUUUGGACUUAUUGGAUUAAGCACUUAAUAGGGAUUUUGGGAGUUACGAGAGCACACCCUGCAUACAAGGAAGUACGCCCCACUUACUUGGGCAACCACCCCGAUUGUAGUCAAUGUGAUGCUUGGUGUACGCUAAGCGUACCUCCGGAUUAUACCCCGCAUACUUACAUUGGGUCAGCUCGGAGGGUUGACUCGGUUGGGUUGAGUCAAUAGACUUAAUGGGUUUAACUAGUUGAAAUUGACCUAGUUUGACGAAGUUGGACCUUGGUGUAUUUUGGGUACUUUGGGAUUUUGAUGGAAUUGGUCAUUUGGUCGAAAUAAGUAUUGGUUUGAGCGCUAAGAUUCAGAGUCGGGCCUUAUCAGUUCAGUUCAGUUCAGUUUGAUAUGUGAGUUUUCCUCACUGUACUUACGGGUCGAAGGCACCAAGGUCGACCCUUUGGAUUAUUAUACCAGUUUAUCGUAUGAUUGUGUACUAUAGUUAUGAGUUAGAUCUGUAUCCUAGUAGAUAUGAUGAGGUUAUGCUUAUGGAUUUGUAAGAUCUAUCUGUUUGUUUAUUGGUUGGUUAUUUUUAUGCUUGACUGCUAUAUAUGUGUGUCGACACGGUGUAUGUGUGGUUGGGUUAAGGUGUUCCUGUUUUGUGCUGAAGGCCAACAGACCCAAGGCGUCCUGGAUAUACUGAAGGCCAAUGUGGGGUAGUAGUCAGGCCGAAGGCUCGUAGAACGGUCUAGAUAGGCUGAAGGCCCAGUAUGGUAGGGGUGAGCAUGGUGCAGUUUGGUGUGGUUUUAGGUCCAAACCAAACCACAAACCGUAAGGUGCGGUUUUUGAAUUCUAGAAACCGUUGGGUGCAGUUUUUCAAUGGUUCGGGUUUUCGGUUUUUUAGUGCAGUUUCGGUUUGUACCGGUUCGGUAUCGGUUUAAACCGAGUCAAACAUAUGGUGCGGUGUUUUAUGUUCACCCGUACGAUGUUUUUAACCGUGGUGUUCAUGUAAAGAUUUAUGAUUGUAUGACAUGCUGUCAUUUCAUUUCCUCACAUUUAGAAGCUUUAAUUUUGAGUUUUUUAUGUUGUUUACUUGAUCAAUUCAUUUGUAGCCCAUAUUCCCAAGCUCAUUUUUUUUAUUCAAUUUGUGCUUAGAAGUUACAAGCUUGCAAGUUGUAGCCCACAUAGUGUUUACACUUUACACAUAAUCAUUCAGUCACAAACACAAAGUGACAAACUCGCAUAUUAAACAUAAUACUUAAUUACUAAUUACCGUCAAGUUCAAUAUACAAUAUAUGUAUAAAUUACAAUUUAUUAGUUUUUUUUAAAUAAAAUGUAUAAUUGUAUAAUAUAAAUUAGUGAUCUAUUUUAUUGUUAUUAAGUUUGCAGUGUGGUUCGGUUUUGGUGGUCUGGUUUCUAGAUAAAAAUCGCACCGCACCAAUAAAUUCGGUUUUUAAAAAAAUAAAAUCUGCACCAUCAUUUUUUGCGCCGGUUUUGGUUUUUCGGUUGCGGUUUAUUGCGGUUUUUAUGGUUUUCCUUUUAUCCGUUCGUUUUUGCUCACCCAUACAGUAUGGUGUACCAGUCAUGCUGCAGGCUGAUUCUUGAUCGUUAUGUUAUUGUGUUUAUCGAUGAUAUCUUUGUGUAUUCCAAGACUAGAGAGCAGCGUGAGGAGCAUCUUUACGAGAUUCUGGGGGUUUUGAGACGAGAAUGGCUCUAUGCCAAGUUCUUGAAGUGCGAGUGAUGGUUACGAGAGGUCCAGUUCCUUAGGCACCUCAUUAACCAGGAUGGGAUUUUGAUCGAUCUGGCCAAUAUCGAGGCCGUAAUACAGUGGGAGGUUCCGAAGUCUCCCUCGAAUUAAGGAGUUUAUUCGAUUUUGGCAGGGUACUAUCGGAGAUUCAUUCAGGAUUUCUCCAAGAUUGCAGUACCCUUCACUCGUCUGACAAGGAAGGGGGUGGAUUUCUGAUGAGGCCCUAAGCAAUACUUGGAAUCUUACACUCAUUGGCAAAUAUGUGGCCCCGGUUUUGACUCUCCUAGAGGGAAUUGAGGAUUUCGUGGUAUUCUGUGAUUCUUCCAUUAUUGGUCUGUGGGCAAUCCUCAUGCAGAGAGGAGGGGUGAUAGCUUAUGAUUCACGGCAUCUGAAGUCACAAGAAAGGCGACAUCCUAUCCACGAUCUAGUGUUGGGGAAGUGGUUUCAGGCUGGUGACAUGGUACUACUAAAGGCCUCACCUUAGAAAGGUGUGAUACGAUUCAUGAAGAGGGGAAGUUAGGCUCCUGGUAUAUUAGGCCUUUUCGGGUUGGCAAGGUUGCUUACAGAUUAGAUCUUCUUGAGGAGCUCGGUCAGAUUCACAACACUUUCCAUGUUUUGCAGCUGGGAAAGUGCAUAUUGGAUGAGGAGGCAGCGGUCUCCUUGGAUGAUAUUUAGGUCUAUGAGAACCUGAACUAUGUUGAGAAGCCGGUGACUAUCUCGGAAAGGAAGGUGAAGGUUUUGCAUAACAAAGAAGUACCUUUGGUAAAGGUACGGUAGCAGCACCGGAGGGGUUCCGAGUGGACCUGGGAGCUGGAGGCUCAGAUGCUGCAGCAUUAUUUGGAUUUGUUCACUGUAGUAGACUUUGAUGAUGAAGUCUAGUUCAGGUUGGGGAGAAUUGUAACAACCCGGAGUUCAUGUAUUUCUAAAUUCAUCCAUAUAAUUUUAUUUCAUGUCAAAAUGAUCCCACUAAGUCCAAGAGUUAUGCUUUGAAGCCCUAGUGGCAGUUUCGUAAUUUGGGAAGGAGGAGUACACCAAACGUACAUGUGUGUACGUGGACUAUACAAGGGCGUGGCGUACACCUAUGUACGUGCAAAAAACUAAUGUCAGGAGGAAAUGCUAAUUUUUAGGGUUUGAGGGUAUUUAAGCAACAUUAUGGCUCAUUUCUCCACACUUUUUCAGCCUCCACCUCCUUUGAGAUGUUUUUAGAAACCCUAACCCUUGAGUGUGCAUUUGGGAACUCAAGUGUGUGUUCUUUGUGUGUUCUUGGUGUAUUGAAGGAAGAAGGAAAUUCAUGGAGAAGCCUUGUUGUAGGUGAAACUUGUAGAUCUGGGAUUCUUACCUUAUUAAGAAGCUCCAGAAGGUAUAAAGCUUUGAUCUUGACUUGUAUUUCAUUAAGAUCUGGUCAUGAGAAAUUUAUGUGUUUUUAGUCCCUUUCAUGGCCUUAAUGAGUAUGAGCUACUCUAAGACCAAAGGAUAUGUCCUUUCUAAAGAAUUAAGAUGCAUUAAGUUAUAAAAAUGCUAUCUUGGCUCAUUUGGUGCAUGAAUGCAAGUUAUAGAGGCCUUAAGUGGUUAAGACAAAGUAAGAUCUUGGUUUUGGGACUUAAGAACACAUUCAUAACCAUCAAGUUGGAAACUUUAUGGUUUGGAACAACUUUUUAGGCUUGGAUCUGAAAUUGGACAUUUAGACUUGUUGGAUUAAGCACUUAAUGGAGAUUUUGGGAGGUACUAGGGUACGCCCCGCGUACAAGGAAGUAUGACCCGCGUACUCGGUCAACCACCCCGAUGGUAGUCAAAGCGAGGCUUGGACUACGCUAAGCGUAACUCUGGAGUACUCCCUGCGUACACGCACGGAUUCAGCUCGGUGGGUUGACUCGAUUGGGAUAACUCAGUUGACUUUGACCAAGUUUGACCUUGGGAGUAUUUUGGGUAUUUUGGGAUUUUGAUGGAAUUGGUCAUUUGGUGGAAAUAGGUAUCAGUUUGAGAGCUAAGAUUCAGUAGUCGGGUCGAAGGCACCAAGACUGGCAUCGGUCAUUUGGUGGAAAUAGGUAUCGGUUUGGUGGAACUAGGUAUUGGUUUGAGAGUUAAAAUUGUUAAAAUCGCUUCUAUCCGUUGAGGGACUUGUGUGCCUCAAAUGAAAAUUACGAAAGCAUUUUUGGACUCAGGCUAUGGCCUAAUAUUUAAUUCUAUAUUUGAAAUAUAUAUUUUUAUAAAAAUAUUUAUAAAAGUAAAACUCUGACAUUUUCUGCUUAAUUAAACAUGAAACUUUAAACGUCAUUUCACAUAGAUCAGUAUAACAUAAUUCAAUUAUGUCUUCUUUUUUUGGAAUCACCACAACCUAAACAUUAAACAUAUACUUUUAUAAAAUUUAUAUGAAUCAGUAUGAUGGCACGAAAAUCAAGAUAUACAUCACGAUAAAUAUAUAUAUAUAAAAUAUAUUGUAGUUAUUAUUGUGAAUAAUGUUUAUAAGNNNNNNNNNNNNNNNNNNNNNNNNNNNNNNNNNNNNNNNNNNNNNNNNNNNNNNNNNNNNNNNNNNNNNNNNNUAUGUGUGUGUGUUUAAUCCCUUUCAAAACUUAUAUAUAUAUAUAUAUAUAUAUAUAUAUAUAUAUAUAUGUCAUGUAACAUUUCUAAAUACCAAUUAUUGGUAUACUAGUUGUGUACCCGCGCAAAGCGGCGCCGCCAAAUAGUUUCCGGGUGGUAAUUAACUCAUUUCGUUGAAUAGCUUCCUUGCGGCAAUUUGAUCAAACCAUAAAAACAAUUAAGUAUUAAACAAGAUACAAAAUAUUGUUAAUUCUUUCAUUUCCACAAUUACACGUUGAUAAAUAAAUUUAUGUGUUACUUCCUUAUAAAUAUCAAAUCUACAAUCUUGCAUGUUUGUUCUUUUAGAUCACCAAUGGAUAAAAGUCGAUGCAUGAAUAUAAUGACAUGUUUUGAAAUAAACAUCAAAUGAUUAUACACGAUAUAUAUUGUAACAAUUGUAAAAUAAUGAGUUCUUAAUUGUACCUUAUUAAUCACAUAAGACUUCUUUGUACACUACGUUUGAUGUGUAGAUUGCAUCAUGAUCGAAUAUUUUUAUGGCAUUACUAAUACCUUUGUAUCCACACAUGAUAUUCCUCUGGAUAAAGCCACAUAAAGUUGGCCAUGUGAGAAUACCGGUUUUGGUAGAUAAACUCCCACGUUUGGAAUUGUUUGUCCUUGAGAUUUAUUUAUCGUCAUCGAGAAACUAAGGCGAAGUGGAAUUGCUUUUUCUUCAAUUUGAAUGGGUGCAUCUCAUCAUCAGACAGACAUAGACAUAGAGGAAUUCUUGGCAAAAACACUCUUUUUCCAUAAUGUUGACCAACGGCUAUUUCUGCAUUAAUGACAUUUUGCUGGAAAGAUCUACAUAUCAAUCUCGUCCAAUUACAUAAUCCAUUCGAUGGAUCGAUAUUUCAUAACAGUAUUACUAGGCAACUAAUUUUUAACCGAAGAUCACUUGGGGGAAGGCCACUAACAUUCAGUGAGUUCAAGAACUUCGUCAGAUAUAAGUUAUUACUAUCGUCUCCCACCUCAUCAUAAUUAUAGUAAACUUUUUUCUCUCUCGAAAACCGCUUGAUCAUUUGGCAAUUUAUCUCAUCAACACUUUCAUUUUACUUGUUAAUAUUACCAUAGAAAUGAUAAUUUCUAAAUCAGCUUCGUUGGAUUGCAGAGAAGGAAAGAUUGCAUCAAUAAGAGCAUCCACUGAGUUAUCCUUAUUAGUGUACUUAAUAUCCAUGUCAUCAUGUAUGCGAAUAAAGCUCUCGUCCAUUCUUCCCCCAAUUUCCAUCACCGACUCGUAAUAAAAAAUCUUGAAACGACAGGUCAGUUACUGGUCUUAUGUUGAUAGUUAGCCGAAGCCUUUAAAUUGAUGCCCAAAGAGGUGACAUUCGUAAGCUAGAGUCUUCAAUUUGUGCUCGUGUUCCAUGUUUUACAACUGACAACACCUGUCUAAAUUCACCUCCCAUAAUCAUUAUAUUUCCACCGAAUUAGAGUUUCUCACCUGUUAUGUCUUGGAUUGUUCGAUCAACUACCUCCACUUCUUGCCUCUUAGCUAUCAAUGCUUCAUCCCAUAUGAUUACCUUUUCCUCCCGAAGUAGAUGAGCUGCCCCACUUUGUUUAUUGAUUUUGCACAUCGAGUUAUUGUAAAGAGUGAGGGGAAUUUUAAAUCGUGAGUGGGUUGUUCUCCCUCCUGGUAUGUUAUUAGUCGCAACACCUGACAUAGUUGUCGCAAGUGCAAUGAGACCAUCGGCACGGGUAUUGGCUAAUAAAGUUGUGUAGAGAAACGUCUUUCCAGUUCCACCAUGACCAUCUAUGAAGAACACAUACAUAAUGUUUUCUUCCACAUGCCUUAUUAUCUCAUCAUAUGUGAAUUUCCGGUUAGGAUUGAGGGAGUCUUUUGCAUGUAAGUCUUUGUUUUCCACAAGUAUAGAUUAUUCUCCUUGAACCUCACGACAACCUCUUGCUUGUAAAUUAAUGUCUCCAUUCACAUCUAGAAGACCGUAAUCACUAAGUUUCUUUCCCAAAGAAUGUAGGAUAAUUCUGAUGUCGAUGAGGACCAUAUUCUGGCCUCGUUUAGAACAUGCAUAUUAUCUCCUAUAAUUUUCAUAAAAAGGAUCAUAGUGGUCACACCAUAACUUACGAACAUCACCCGGUUCGCAAAAAAUCAAUAUUGUAGCAAAUAGCCUUCUGAGGGCAUUGGGGAAUUGAAAUAAGGAAGCCUCUGCAAGACAUUGGGACAAGUUAUCAUCAGUCUCUAUUAAUCCUCUCUCAAGAGCCACAUUUUGAAAUGUAGGAUGUAAUACACCGUUGGUUGUGUAUAUAUCUUCAAAAUAAGUAGGCCCAUUAAUAUGGCAUAAAAGCAGGCGUUGGUAGUACCUCUAUCCUUCAACUGGAUUAGCAUAAACAAGUCUUCCUAUCAUUGAUUUUAUUUUCUGGGGACUGCAACAAUGUGUGCUCGUAUUCCAUGUAAAAUGGUUAGGGAAAUCCUUGUAAAUAUAUUUUCUAGCAUUGGAGUCUUCUUUAUUCUUCUCAAAAAAUGUCGUCAACAUUGAAUUCUUAUCUUUUUCCCUUUCAACAAUAUCUUCCAAUCUAUCACCAUAUUUGAACCUAACUAACUAUUGAUUCGGAAAAUGUAUUUUCAAAGCCAUGACACAAGGGUGGAUCUGAAAAAGUGGAAAGCUAAAAAUCCGCCACAUCAUCUCAGGAGGGCAUACAUAACGCGCAUCUUGAAACUUGCGUAUUUCAGUAAUCAUGUCAUUUUCUAUGUCUUGAUCAAUAUGGAUAACUUGUUUAUCAUGACCCUUAUAAAGAUACUUGAAGAUGUAUUUCACAGAUUUUAUAUCGAACAAACCUCAACAUUGAUAUGAAAAUUGAACAUCAUUACCAACUUCAGGUUGUAUGGAGCUACCCAAUUUUGUAUUGCUUAUAUUCAUUUUAAUUCCAUUAUUUUUCCUUCUAUAUAGUGGAUAUGAGUCUUCUCCUUGUGAUGUUUUGUCGUUGAAUUUCCUAGCAUACCUGAAACGACAUUUUUUGGGCACACCCUCCAUACAUGGACUUUUUUCUCGUAAACUACCACAGGGAUAAUGAAUCAUAUGAUUUUUAACCAAAUCAUGCAUUGGGAGAUACUUAAUUGGAUCUGGAAUUUCGGCGUACACGAUUUUGUUAUAAUUGUCUGGAUUGGUCAUCUUAUGUGCAUGUCUUGUUAUUACGAGGAAAUGUGCAUGUCGCAAUCCACGCUUUUGAAAAUCUACCACAUAUACCUAUGCUCCUACCUCACCAGUGAUAUUCCUCUUCAAUAAUUGUACCUUGAGAUCCUCUAAUUUAGCACAAAAAACUCUUGUAAUAAGAUCUGGUCGAUCUUGAGCUGUUUGUCUUGGGCAAUAACUCAUCUAAAAUUUCUUUCCAAUUUGGGUUGCAUGUCAUUGUAAGGAAUAUAUCAGGCUUCCCAUCCUCUUGAACUAAGGCCAUGGCAUUCAGAAAUUACUUUCGCAUGUCAUGUGUGCCUCCGAUGAAGCUUGAAGGUAAGACAACUCGUUAUCUAACCAUACUUGUUUGACCCUCACCGACAUUAAAACAAUCAACAAUACCUUGCUAUAAAUCAGCUCUAAUUUUGGUUUGGUUUUCUUCACAAAAAACCAAACAUGAAGUCUCAAUCUUCAUGUACCUAUCUACCACAAAUUGUUGGAACAAUAUCCUUCCUAAUAGAAUUAUGUAUGAUUUGAAUGUAUCUGGAACUUGUAUCAAUAGUACCUGUGCAUAGUUACAGUAUUCCUACCUCUUGUAGAAUUAGAAUCUGUGAUAUCAUAAUUUAGAUUAUACUUAUAAAGUUUUUUAUGUGUACGAUUAAGGUAAUAGUUGUUAUUUGUAAUAAAAACGUAAAACAUAAUUUAAUGCAUACCUUCAAAAUCGUCGUCAGCGUUUUCAUUUUCAGUAAUAAUCUCAUCUAUGGAGACUCCCUGUCCUGAUAUUUUAGGAUGCCAUCCAGACUCCCCGUUGGGAAAGGAUAACGGAUAAGACAAUGUAUCAUAACAACCAUAGUGAGUUUGAAUAGUUUUAGUCUGGUCUGACCUCCCAUACACAAUAAUACUUCUCUUAUAUGCAGUGUGUUGUCAUUACCUUCAACCCAAGUACCAACAACCUAUGUAAAUGUGUGGUUCAAUAACACGAAUAAUAUCUAUAUCUUUCAUAAUAAAUAUGACACAUUUUAUUUUAAAUAACAUAAAGAUAAGUAAUUGCAUUUACACCUCAGAUGUGGUCGUCUUAUUGUGGUCGUCUUAUUGUACACCCUCUGGUCAAGUUCCACCGAUGGAUUCAGAGUCACUCUAUAAUUGUUAAGCGGACCUAGUUCUCAAGGACGUCGAAAUGUUCUAACAUAUGGGUUCGAAGAAAGAAUACGAGUAAGUUUUUCAAUGAUUUUUCUAUCAACAUUCGGGUGCUUAGCUCUCUCUCUCUCUCUGAUAAUUCAUUUUGAUCAUCAUAAAUGUAGAAUUGCAAGUACUUCGACUCACCUUCCCUUAGAAUUAGUUAAUCAAUAUUAUGAUAGAAUGUUCUAUGCACACAAAAAGUAUAUACUCCAUAAGUCAUAUUCGCCAAUUCUUUAUCCACCUUAACACCCAAUGAUGUGAAUGAAAAAUUUAAGUUGUACGCCCUUAUGUUGUACCUGAAAAGUUCUUCUAGUAUAUCUUGCUUUGUGAAUAGUUGGAGCAAUUAUGUUGGAAUAGGGGAGUAUGCUAGUUUUGUCUUCCCAUUCAUGCAACAAAAGGUAGGGAAUUCGAAUUGUAUUCGUUUUGCUCAACAAUGAACACAAGGAUUCUGAACUUUUAAGACAAGAUGUUCCAUAGGGUGUUUUUGUAAACAAAAUCAUAUGGAUCCUCCUGGAGGGGGUAUACUCUAACUGCUCUUAGCCUAUUUCGUUCCUUUUCUUCAUUGAUAAUAUUCUUUGUUAUAAGUACUCGUCUUUUGAGUCACACUUAUAGCAGCGACCUCAACCGUCUCCAAUGUAUUGUCUGUCAACAACGGUGUUGUAGAUUGGCUGGCUCCUUCAUUGUUAGCUAUCUUUCUCAUUUUGUUCUCCUUCUGUCUUGCAAAAUAGUUGCUAUUGUAUCUUUUUCAGUUUUCUAAAAUAAUAAUUUAUUUGAUGAAUAUAUAUAUAUAUAUANUAUAUAUAAUAUGAAUGUAAAUAUAUAAUACAUACAUGUGUGUUUGUAUACCUUUUUGUUAAUCAGUACCAUGUUGGCAAACAUCAUGAUUUUAAAUUUCCUUUUCCAUAAUCCUCAUUGCAUACUGAAAUAAAAAUGUAAAGAAUAAGAAUUUAUUAGAAGGUAUAAGAUAAGAUUGGCGUAGGAAAGGAAUUUGAAAUUUGAAUCUUAUAACCUGAUGCUUUCAACAUUAAAAACCUACCUUAGAUAAAGCUGUCACGAAAAAAUAAUCUUAAAUUAAUAUAAGGUCAAAUUCAAAAUAAACACAAAAAACCUACGUUAGGUAAAAUUAUCACAAAAAAUUUCAACAUAUAAAACCUACCUUAGACAAAACUAUCACCAAAAAUUUAUCUUAAUUUAAUAUAAGGUCAAAUCCAAAAUAAAAACACAGAAAAUAAGAAUAGAAAAACAUUCACCAACAAAUGUUUGACAACCAAAUAGAUCAAAUCUUAAACAAAAACACAUUGAAAAUAUGAAAAAUCAACCACAAAAUGUCUCACACAAAAUUAAAGAUUCUUCUUGGCAUAAGUCUGUUGUUAGCUGCUUCCGGCAUCAUCGAUUUGAAUACUAUGUUGGUUAACUCGAUUGAAUUUAAAACGUUUAAUGUAUAUAGGAUAAUAAUUAACAAAAAGUUUUGACUUAUUUAAUUUUAUAUUACUAUAAGUAUGAAAAUUUCAAAAACAGAAAUCCCACUUACUCGCAGCCAAAUGAACCAACUUUAAUCGAGAAGCAUAUAUUAUGUACUUUCUCUUCAACGCAUAAUAGAUCAUCACAAUUUGGUGGCGUAUCCGUUCCGUUAUAUGUAGCUUAACCUUUAUUAUAUUCACCCUAAUCAUUUAAAAGUAUGGUCAGAAUUUGUUUAAUGAAUAUGUGUUAGUAAAGAUAUAUUUUAUGUGUAUAACCAAUAAACUUGUGGUCCAUCUUGGAGAAACAAAGUGAACAAAGUUAAUGCCCUUGGAUGUGAUAAGUCUAUUUUAUGAAUAUCCUAAAUUGUACUAAAUAUGUUGAAUUGAUGCAUAAUUGUCCAAGAAUGGCACUACUUUGAUGAGUUGUUGAACUUUAUAUGCAGGUAAAUACUUAGUGCUAAAGUGGGCGGAACCCGCAAGAAAAACGAGCAAAAUGAAGCUAACAAGCAUGGGAGACGAAUUGCUAAAAGAAUGAAGAAAAAUGGUGUUGAGAAAUUUGACCACUCUUCAAUGUUUUGAUCAUAUCUCAAGAUCUAGAGCUCCAAUUGACAUGAAGGAAUAAGUUUCAGAAACUAGACAAAAUUUUCUACAACUUUCAUGUUUUGCGUUUUCGCUGAUUUUACCAUUUCAUCACCAAAAGGGGCAACAAAGAUUAGGGGACGUCCUUGAACGCGUCUAAGACGCCUCCUAGGACGCCUACCCAUUUUAGGCCAUUUUUAAUUGCAAAUCAAGGACGACAGAAGGCAUGUAAAACACCAUGAAGGACGCCGAGACGUCCUACCUGACGUCUAAGACGCCUGCUAGGAUGCCGAAGCGGAAAACAGCUUCGAAAAUCAGUUUUUUUAGCACCUAUUUAUGGGAGAUUAAACCCAAAUCGACUUAGGACUUCUUCCCUGUGAUUUUCCAUAGUUUUGGAGGGUUCCAAACACUUCCAACCCUCCUCCAAACACGUUCUUGAUAAUCAAUUUCCGAAUCAAAGUGAAGAAAUCAUCAAGUUCAUAUUCAUUCAACAUUUGAAGAUCGUUCAACCGAUGGAUUUUCAUCAAUUCCAUCAAGUUCCAGAAUUGAUUACUUGUUCUAUAAGGUUCCAUUGUUCUAUGAUUUAUGGAUCAUCAUACAUCAUUCAUUUUAUGAUUUUUAGUUUGUUUAUGGAUUUUAUACCGGAUUUCUUUGUUUUUAUUGAAGUUGUAUGCUUUUUGAUUGUUAUGAAAAGCUAAACCAUUUGUGGUUACUUCCGGGAAUGUUUAGGAUGAUUUGAUGAACGUGUUUUGAUUUUUACUUCUAUUCCAAUAAACUUGGGUUAUUAUAUGUUCUUAAAUUUAUGAUUUCUAUUAAUGAUAAUUGAAAUUGGGUUUUAUUCGUGUGUUUAAUUUUACAAUUAAGAUAGUUUAUUGUCAAUUCACUAAUCGUGCCGAAUUCAUAUAGUUUAGGAACUAAGACGAUCAGUUGAAUCAACAUAUACUAUUCCAAACUUGUGAUUUUAAAUGCUAAACAUUGUAAUUGGUAAUCACAAGACACAAUAUUGUCAAGCCACUCAUUGUUCCUAAUCCAUUUAGACAUAGGGAGAAGACAAUUGGUAGGAAUAACGUAUUGUGUGCCAAAAGUUAUUUAUUGCAUACUGAUUGAUCUUAGUUAUGUUUUCAUAAUUAAUUUGGAAUUUAAGGGAAGAUAAACACGUGAUUCUUAAUAAUCCAACACUGAACCUGAAGUAACCUUGUUUUUCUCAUUGGUAAUCAUUUGCAAUAUAAAGUUUCUAGUUUGUUUUAUUUAACUCCUCGUGGAUUCGACCCUUACUUACCCUAGCUAUCUAGUGGUUUUUGAGGUUAUUUUUGAUUGAGACAACAACCUCGAUCAGGAUGGCCAAACAUACGUGAGUAGUUUACUUUUCCCCAAACGAUUUUUCCAACAACAUCUAAAAAUCAAGACAUUUAAAAAACAUGAACUUUUAUUUUAAAAAUUAGAAUAUGGUUAUAAAAAACAAAUUAGUAAUUUAAUAUACCGAUCAUCAUUUUUCUGGAUAUCCUAUCUUCUUAUGUGAAUCAUCGAUAAAACCGUGUGUUAGUGCUUAUGUGAAUCAUCCAAUCAUCACGGUUAAAACUGUAUCCUUGAUAUCUCGUAAACUCAUAGUAGGUUGGUUCAAUUUGGAAAUGGUUCAAAGAGAAAACACCUUCCACUAGAUUCUCUCCAUUGAAAAAAGGCAUCAAUUGUGGAUGAACAACUCUUACCUUCUUAUCUCUUUAAUAGACAAAAUAAUUAGUUAAAUAAAUUACUUAAAAAUAUAUAUAACCAUGAAAACAAAGUAUAACUAGCAUUUUAACCUUAAUUUUCGAUCAAUAAGGAUAAUGAACAAUUUGUUCGAUGUAACAUCUCUCCAAAAGAACUCCAUUCGGACGGUUGUUAAAUUAUACCAUAAAUGAGGGCUUAGUAGCAAUGAAAAGUUAACAACAUAAGUGUGGGCAUCCAUGAUUCUACAAAAAUAUUCAAAAAUAUUGUAUUUACAAUUUUAUUAAUUAGAUAUAAUUUAAUGUGAAAAUAUUAACAUUUACAUAAAACUGUAAAUGUUUAUAUGAUAAAUUAUUUAUUGUUCAUCUUAUAUACAAGUCUCAUGCUUAGGAGGAAACAUGUAUGUAUUAAUUGUUUGGUUUGCCUUAACUAUACCCUUAUAAUAUUAAAAUAUUAUCAAUGCCAUUUGAGUGGGUUUUGUGUUCAACCAAACAUUAGAUUUGAAUUAAUUUUAAAUGAGAAUGUAUUUCAGAUAUCAAUGACCCAUGUAAUGUAAAAACCUUCUAUGGGAGUGAAUUACCUAUGAAGCAGCAGAGGUUGUUGAAGAAGAAACUGAUAUAAAUCACAUUUUAAUUUUACAAAUAUAAAAAAGGUUAUUGCAAAUCAAUGCAAUCCUCACAUUAGGACCAUAUUGCCCCUGUACAUUGUUUUUAUAUUAAUAAAAUUCAAUAUUUACAGUUUUUGGACCAUAUUGCCCUGCACAUUGUUUUUAUAUUAAUAGAAUUUAAUUUUUACAGUGUUAGGACCAUAUUGCCUCUGCACACUAUUUUUAUAAUAAAAAAUCGAUUUUUAUAGUUUUAGGAUCACAUUAUUGAAAAAAUUAUUUUUUAUAGUUUUAGGACGAUCUUGCCCUUGCACAUUGUUUUUAUAUUACUAAAAUUCAUUUUUACCAGUUUUAGGACGAUAUUGCCUUGCACACUGUUUUUAUAUUAAAAAAAAUUGAAUUUUUAAAGUUUUAGGACGAUAUUUCCCUUACAUACUGUUUGUAUAUUACAAAAAAAUUAAAUUUUUAUGAAAAAGGUUAUAAUAGUAAAACGAAAAAAAGGUAUAUUCUCUUGAAGUAUAUAUACUGAAAUUAAUUAGUAAAAAUAAAAAUACACAUACACAAAAAAAACAACAAAAAAAAUAUGUUGAAGUCUUUACUUUUACAGACAUAAAAACUGAAAGAGACAUUCACUCAAAUACACAAGCACAUAAUGUCCCAACAUAUACAUAUACAAACCAUGUAUUCAAAGUCACUCUCAACCCAUUUUAUUUAUAGAAACUUAGAUAUUUUUUAAAUCUUAAAAGUUUGUAAGUUAUCUAAAAAAUAAAAUUUAAUGAAACAUAUAUCUAAGGGUCAAAAUUUAAUGACAAAUCUUUUGGAUUUCUUUGCAUUAAACAAAUAAUUGAUAAAGCGUUGUGUGUCUGUAGCUGAAGGAGCACCACUACCUAGCAUGAAGUGAACGCCUCCUCCAAGUAUAGAACGUAUCUUCUUAAAAACAAUAGCAUCCUAGAAUAGAUCAGGUUAUAGACAUAUUGAAAACAACUUUACAUGCUUGAAAUUUAUUUUCUUUAGAACAACUUUACAUAUGUGAAACUUACCAAGACAAUUUCAUAUAGGCUAAAAUAAUCAACACCACUUAAAUUUUUUUGACUCUUUUUCAAUUUUGGAUUUUAACAUACCAGCUACAACUGCAACAGUGAGGUAAUCUCCAAUUCUUCUGAUGUGUGAGGCACCUUUUCUAUAUGAUUUGAAGCGCUCUAAUGCUGGACCCUUUUCCAAAAGCUGCAAAAAGUACACAUUUUCACAAGUUGAGUUUAUAUAAUUGGUUGUAAUGCUUGACAUAGGAACAUUAAUCUUUUCUGCAUAUAAAAAGAUAUAAAAACAUCAACUUCUUGACCAUGCAUUACCAAGAAGAAAUUGAUAAGGAAAAAACAAUAGAAUAACUUGAAAGUCUUGGCUAUGAAUAAACACAAAACAUCAUGUUUAAUAAACAAUAAAAUGUUGAUUUCCAAUGUUAGCCAACUGUCAGCUGUCAGCUGUCAACCCCGUAUACACAAAUGUUGUGGAUAAAUAAUUUUGAAUAUUUGGAAAUUUGAAGAGUUGUUAAUGCCAAAAGAAAUGGCAAGAAAUUCUUGCAGUCAUAGACAAUAAUAUGGUUCGCAGAAAGAUUAGAGAAGAAAAAGAAUAUACAUUAUAUCAUGAAUUAUUAUGCCACUCAUGGUACACAUUACAUAACUCGCAGUUACAGAUAGGAAGGCGGAUGUAGUGCUCGUUUAGACACAAAGAGCCAUGUCUCAAAAGGAUGAUAUGUUAAAGUAUUAUAGGUUAUCAUAGGCAAGCAAGUAUACUUUGUACAUAAUCGUGCCAAAUAAUUGCAUAAAAUAGCCAAAAUGAACUGUCUAAUCACUUUGAUUUAAAAUUAGAAUCGAGACUUUCAAGUAGGAAAGAGUGAAAAUGCAUGAGAAAUCAUGAAUUAAAUUAGGGUUUAUUGUAACACGCAUGUUUAGUUAUCGUGUUUUGUAAUAAAUAAUAUUAUGAAGUAUUAUAUGAAUUUGAGUAAUUGAGUUCUAACGGAUAGUUUUUACUAGAAAUAAAGUAAAACUAUGUUUAGAAUCAAUCGAAAUAUAUUAGAAGUCGUAUGAGAUUCCGAUUAAAAGUCAAAUAUUGAAAUUUAACGAAAAUAUAAAUUUUGAAAUAAGUAAAAUUUUGUUAUUGAAAGUUGUAAAGAAUCUCAUUAGAAACAAUCAGGCGAAAACCUCAUCAAAAUCGGAUUUAUAACGAAGAAGUUAUGACCAAUCAAAGAUCUAGGACAAACCCGGCACGACGUUGAAUGACGUAAAAUGUGAGUUUUUGAUAAACUACUUUUUAGCCUUGGUGAUUUAAAUGAAAGUCGUAGUAUUUGUUAAACCGAGAAUUUUCAUAAAAAGAACGUACAAAUUUGACUUUGUAUGACGAAGUUAUGAUAUUUUUAAGUUUCGGAAUAGCAGUAGACAACUAAAAACUCGAAAUAAAGAUCGAGUGACUUUUAGCCGACACAACCUAAACGAGAAUCGAAGGUCUCGUCAAUAGUAGUACAACGGUAAAAAGACACACGAAAACGAACAUCGGAUGAAGAAGUUAUAUAUUUUUAACGGAUUUUCCUGUCUUGGUCUGUAAAAAUAAUAAUAUCAAAAAUAAAGUCAAAAUUAGGCAACGGAGUCUAAACGAAAGUUGUAGAGCAUAAUUUCACCUAUGCGUUCAUAUAAAGAACGUUAAAACGGAGCAUGUAUGAGAAAGUUAUGGAUUUUAGAAGUUUGGGACACAAAAACCGAGAAAAUCCGAAAUCCGAGAAAAUUCGCAUGGCUGGGGUUCGGCCACAUCACCUCACAUGCGAGAUGAUCUGUGUCUGACAUGUAUCACAGCCACCUCGCACCGAAGGCGCGGUCCUCUCCUGAUCCAACGCGUGGCUAAGCGUUGGCGCCUUCUGAGCUUCGCCAUCUCCCCCCCCCCCCCCAGNGCAUGCGAGGCAUGUGCUCGCUUCUCCUUGCUUCAGAUCCGAGGCUCGCACCUAUAUAAAAUGUGCGAGACCUCCCGGGUAAUUUUGGAAAUUUCACACUUUUUACCCCUAAAUCCAAUUUUUAGCUAUUUCAACUUCCCCCGAAGCCCCAGGAUCAUUCCUAACACCCGAAACAUGUCCCGAAGUGCCCGAAGAGCCCGAGAAAUUUAUCUUUUCGGUUUGAAGAUCAACCCUUGCAGGGUCCGAUUUUCAAUAAAGUCCUGGUUUUCAGCGAAGAGAGUUAUCUAUUAUAACGAAGUGUUGCACAAAUUACUAUUUUAACCUCCAACUAAUGCACGUUGAGUUCAAUAUAUAGGAGCAAUUGUAUGUUAUGUGUUAUAUGUGCUAUGUGCUUUUCCAUGUUAUUAUCUCCUGUUAUUAUUUCAUGCUAUUAUGGUAGCAAAAAUUGUAUCUUUGACCAUGUGAUCAGUGAAAGGACUUAGAUUCACGGUGGUACUGGUAUGUAGCCUCUGGCCAUGUAGAGCAUGUCUCGUAAUAGAAUGACUUCUAUUCUAUGGCAUUGGCAGAAGGUUAGACAGGGCUAAAAGCCUGAAAUCUACCAAAAUGUUUAAUCAGAAAGUGUAUGUCUUCUGUGCCAUUUGGGUCGAAGCUUUAUUGAUGUAUAUCUAGUAUGGAAAUUGUUAAGUCUUAUUGAUUGUAUAUCUUUGAAUCAAAUCAUUGAUUGAUAUGGAAAGCUUGUCACAUGAUACACAUGCCUUUGUUGUUCUUUGUUCCUCUUUGCUUCUACCAUAUUAAAGUAUGUAUAUGGCAUAACGUUAUAUUGCAUCUAUUAUUGAACUCACUAAGUGUCACCGCUUAACCCUCUCAAUGUAUAACAAAUUGCAGGAGAUAAGUAACUAGUAUAGUCGUAUACUGUUGGAAGGUUUAGAAUAGUUAUAAUAUUACUUUUGUAUUUAGGGAUCAUGUAUAUAUAAAAGUAUAGUAUCCUAGGUAGUUGUGUGAUAUAUAACACUUUGUAAUAGUUGGUUUGUAUCCAGUCGUUUGUAAACAAGUUAUCAAUUUAAAAAAAUAAUUUUGAAUAUGCAUGUAGCAUGUUUUGGAGUAACAAUUUUCAAAUAUGAAAGUGUGGGUCUUUGUCACACCCCAAAACUGGAACGGCAGAAACGUUCUAGGGCGGAGGACGUCAUGUACAGUACCACAACACAGAAUAAUAGUAAACAAGCAAACAACAUCAUCCAUUGAAUUAAUAAUGUAUUUUAAUACAAAUGUGUUCUGUACAGUUUAUAAGACGCCAAAAUAUGAAUCAAAAUAAAAGAGGAGUCUUGAAAGUGCUCCAUCUUCUCAAAAGCUGGCCUUGGUACCUGUCUAUUGAUGACCUGAGAAUACAAGUUAUUUUGAAAGAGUUGAUCAGCUUUAAAGCUGGUGAGUUCAAGAGUAUUUUAGUGUCAUUGUUUGUAUGAAAAUGUUUGUAAGUGUUUAAAUGUAUAAGUUUGUAAAUGUUUGUAUCUCCAAGAAAAUCCUAUAUUUUCUUCCAAAUGUAGCCUUCUACCAAGGCAUCAAAUGUGAUGUAUGUUUGUUCAUUGUAAAAGUGAGUAUUUGUCACACCCCAAAACCAGGAAUGGCGGAAACGUUCUGGAGCGGAGGACGUCAUAUACAGUAUCACAACAGUGAAUAGUAGUAAACAAGUAACAACAUCAUCCAUUGCAUUAAUAAUAUAAUUUUAAUACAAGCGUAUUCUUUCAAGUUAUAUAGACACCAAAAUAUAAAUCAAACUGAAAGAUGAGUCUUAAACGAGCUCCAUCUUCUCCGAACCUUGUACCGGUACCUGUCUACUAGUAACCUGAGGAUACAAGUUAUUUUGAAAGAGAGUAUCAACUUUAAAGCUAGUGAGAUCAUAAGUAUUUUAGUGUCUGAAUUUGUAAGAAGGUAUUUGUAAGUAUGUGAAGUGUAAGUAUGUAAAAGUGUUGAACCUCCUAGAAAACCCUAUGCUUCCUACUAAAAGUAGCCUUCUACCAAGGCAUCUAGUAUCUGUGUGUGUCUCUUGUAAGAGUGUGUAUUUUCCCAAAUCCGACUAUCAUUAACCAAAAAUAUAGUUUUUACAUUACCGUGCAUCGUGAGAAUGUUCACGAAGUGAAUGUAAUGGGAAAAAUAUUAUAGUACUAUAGUAUUGUAAUAAGUAACUACUGUUGUACUAACUACCUUAAACCAAUUGUAAUUUAAAGUACCAUGUGAUCAACCUAUAUCCUGCUACCUACUCUAGUAAAACGACGAUGUAAGACGCCGUAAGAAAUGACAUUUGGCACCCGUGGACUUGCAAGUCCCACUGUAUCAAGCAGCAAGGUGUAGGAUAGUCAAUCCAAUAUAGCUCUAUAUGCGAACUCAUACGCUCCCUAAUUAAGGAGAUUAUGGAUACAAAAACGGUCAUGGCAGGUAGUGCCAUGCACCGUUUAGUGGCUCACAUAACUAAAUGAAUGUAUAUGUAAUGUAUGUGCUAGUUGUAUUGUGUGUUCUUUCUUUGUCUAGCCUGUAUGUAUUGUAAUGUUUUGCUUGUACUAGCUGUAUUGUGUGUUCUAUCUAUCUAGCAAGUAUUGAAAUGUACUAUGUGUACUAGUUGUAUUGUGUGCUCUCUCUCUAUCUAGCAAGUAUUGAAAUGUACUGUGUGUACUAGUUGUAUUGUGUGUUUUCUCUCUAUCUAGCAAGUAUUGACUGACGAAUGAACUGACUCAUUGUAUGAUUCUUUGUUCUAGUAAUAGUAUUAGUAACUUCCUAAACUACACCUAUCAUAGUUUACUAGUAAUAUGACUUGUAUGUAUGAACAUGAAUGUAUACCCUUGCUACCCAAGGGUAUUGAAUUGACUGCUAGAACUUUUAUGUCUAUAUAUGUAUACAUAAUAUAUAACUAAUAUUAAGAUGUUCUUCGGACGGAUAACCGAUGCCCUAAUGUUCUGCGUGGACAUGUAAAACACCUUAUAUAAGUGCUAUAAGUCCUAAGGAUUGCAUCUAAGUGUUGUAGGACAUUGCUAUGGAGUUUAGGGUUCAAGGGAACCCUUCAUUUGAGUUUACGGUUUUGUGACCAUAACCCAUUGAGUUUGCGGUUAUAAACCCAUGCGUUUACGGACGUAAACUCAUGCUCCUUUGACCACUUUGUGAUUUGAAGGCUCAUAAGUCCUUAGAAGCAUUUCUACUUGAAGUAUAAGCCUAUGGAAGGGAUUAGGGCACCAUUUCACUCCUAAAUGGAGUUUACGGUCCUUAGACCAUUUUCCUUUGGGUUUACGACCGUAAACCCAUAUGGUUUAUGUUCUUUUGAUGUUUUCAAGCCCUUAACUCAUCAAGGAAGGGAUCUAAGCAAGUUUCCAAGGCUUUAGAGGGACUAGAGCACACUUUGGCACCCUUUUUAGGGUUUACGGUCCAAGAACAUCUUGGACCGUAAACACCUUGAUCUUCAUGUUUCUUGUUUGAUUUCUUGAUAUAUGGAAGUGUAACAAGACUUAAUGUACUCUAGGAUAUAAGUACUUACAAGAUAGAAGCUUGAAAAGGUGCUAAAAGUCUAAGAACACUAACAUGUGUUCUUGGUGUUCUUGGUGAAACUUGAAGAUCUACACUUUUGGAGUGAUCUCACGGGUGGAAGUGUGUUAGAUCACUAGAUUAAGGUACAUAUCAACUUAUUAGGGAUAGGAAGACUUACAAGUUGAAGAUCAAGAAGGAAAAUUCGGAUGCUACUUGAGAGGAUUUGAGUUUUGCUCUUGAAAAGUGAAAAAGUUUGAAAAAUGGCUAAGUGCCAUAUAUAUAGUCAUUAGGGUUUACGGUACAAAAUCCAUUUGGGCCGUAAACUCCAAACUCUUGGAGUUUUUGGAACUUUAUUGAUGCACAAUAAACCCUAGGGCAUCCUCUCUCCUGAUUUCUCCUAAAGUGCUAAUGCUAAAAUACUCAAACUUAUUCCGAAAAGCUUGAAAAUUAGCAGAAAUUGUUCUAACUUCUAUUGAAGUGAAGGGUUGUACAGAAUAGAAAUCUCGGGUUAUCACAUCAUCCCCCCGUCAGAAGGAAUUUCGUCCCGAAAUUAGGAUUUAGGUAAAGGAGUAGGCAUGAAUAAUCGAGACAAGAAGUGGGGAUACUCCCUAAACGAUUGAUUCUCGUGCUCCUAAGUGAAUUCAGGUCCUCGGUUGGCAUUCCAUCGAACGUUCACUAAUGGGAAACAGCUAUGAAUCGUUCGCAUUACCUCUCAGUCCAUGUUCACUACGGUUCUUUCAUGAAGGUGAGGCUCUCGUUGGACCCGAUCUCGUCGAGUGGGAUUACAAGAGUCUCGUCUAACGUAUACUUUUUCAAGUUCGAGACGUGGAGGGUAAAACGUACGUUACUGAGUUCGCGGGGUAGGUUAAGUUGUAGAUGUUUCUUUUCCCUCUCUUACUACAUGAGUAGAUAAGUAAGUCAUUUACAAGGACAAUGACUAACUAAUCCAAGUAAGGAUGGCGUACCCUAUUCAUUAAGUUUAUGAAUACUACGGGCGUAUUGGUCUUAUCUGAGGGCUAUCACUACGGACUCAUAGCGUCCGCAUAGAGUUUGGAAGAUUGUCCUCAUGACAUCCUUCACUAACACUCGUAACCGGUGAUAUUCGGGUCUCAGGUCUAUUUCUGAAAGGUAAAUAGUUCCUUGUUGUUGGUUAACCGACUCAUCUAUGUGAGGCAGUGGGUAAUGAUUUAUAAUGGAAAUCUUUUCGAGGUAUCUGAAUUCUAUGGACUUAAGAAACAAUCCUUCUAUCUUCUUGAAGAAUAAGACCGGAGCUCUCCAGGGUGAGGAGCAAGGUCUUCAAUCCUGUUGCUGAGUAGUCAUUAAGUUGUCAAGACGGUUCUUGUAUCUCUGUAGGUGUUAGACUGUAGGGCGAUCUGGUUAUAGGAGUCAUAUUGGGUUCUAAGUUUGUUCGCAUGACAAUGCGAUUACUCGUAGUCUUGCGCAGUCUUUGUCCUGAAGUUCAUAUUAGAUUUCAUACAUGGUUCAUCAAUCACAGUCUCGUGUAUACGAGUCGUAUAUAAUAAAGAUUGAAAAGGUAGUCAAAUAAAUGAUUCUUCUUUAAGCUCACAUCCUAACGAGGAAAAGAAGUUAAAGUGGAAUCAUCAAUUCUAAAUCUGUAGAACCUUGAUUAUAUACCACCCUUGUGUAUACAUUCUUCCGCGAUAGAUCAAUAGUACGAAUCUUUGGAUUGAACUUGGCAUACUGUAAGAGUGGUGCUUUGGGGAGGUUUGCCGAGGUUUCUUCGGAAAGGAUAAGAAGCAUGAAGUACUCUACGCAUGAGUACUUCAGAGUUCUGAAAUGACGGCUUCGCUAGAAAGACGUUUACGGAGAAAGAGAUGUACGUACGCAACUGGUAUUUGUGCGGAUCGAAUUGAAUAAAGUUGUAUGAUAAUAUCGGACUCACAUGGAAAUAAAGACAUUAGACUUGAUCAUAAAGGCGUUACAAGCAAAACCCAACAGUGCAACUUUUAACUGAGUUACAGUACUAUAGAUUUACUACAAGACUAUUGUUGCGUACCAGGUAUACUACAAAAGACAAGUAUACGCAGCACGAGGGUUCCUUAACUGACAGGAUCUUGCAAAAGAUAAGACUCAAGUUGCACUAGUUUUAAACAUGUUUCAACGCAUACUUUAUACUGACGAAAAUGAAGUGAAUUUAUACUAUAGUAGGGUCCUUAGCUGUCUUUUGUUGUUCUGGGGUCAAACUCCUCAUGUUACCCCGUCACCCUUCUCUGUUGGGCAGUCCCUUUUGAAAUGUCCCAUUACACCACACAGAUGGCAUAUCCGAGAAAUUUCAACAUUGGUGGUUGGAGUAAUGUGUUGAAUCCGAGUCCUGCAGAAGCGGGUAGUGUGUCCCUUUUUGUUGCAGUUCCUACAGUGCAACAAAUGACAACUACCUAGAUGAUCGAAGCUGCAUUUAUUGCACUUUCGGAGGUUACCAACAUACUGUCUAGCUGGGUUAGGGAUAUCCAGGAUGCUAGUAGGGAUGGUAGUAGGAGUUGCAGACGUCGUGGCCGCGAAGGCUACCACCGGUGAUUGUUUCGUGUUCGUCCCUCGGGGUGAUUUACCUUUAACUCUAUCCCAGAAUUUUCUUUUAUUGCUCUUUGGUUUGAGGUUCGAAGUGUCGUGGUAGUUUGUUACUCGUGGGUGUACUUGGUUAUUACUUGGAUUUGAAUUAUUGAAAAACAUCCCACUAACAUUUGCGUUGUUAGCAUUAAGGUGAGUCAAAACAGCUGUCAUGGCAGCUGAGACUGCAGCUUGAAAGGUAGCUGCAUCAAUCUGAAGAGUUGGCCUUUGGCCGAUGGGUUGAUUACUUUUCUUUGGCGACAUGAUUCUGUAAUACGAAAGAAAAGGAGUUCAUGAGUGAUUAUGGUUAACCCUAGAAGUAUUUCGAUUGUUCAUGAAAAGAGUAGAAAUAUGUUAUCGAAGGUUUGACCUACAUCCCUAUGAUGCAGUCCUAGUUCAGAGUAGAAGUAAGUUCAUAGAAUGGUCACAAGAUGCUUGGCGUCUAAAAUAGGGUACCAUCGGUUGGUAAAUAACAUGAUCCAACCCUUGAAAAAGAAUCGGGAAUGAUCCCUGAGCUAGAUUACCCUAGUCCAAUAACUCUAUUAGAAUGGGUUUCAGAUAGACUCCUAUGAUAGCAUGAUGAAAGUAUUUGAACAAAGAAUGACUCAGAAGUUAGCUGACUGUCAAUAUCCUUGAUAUUCAUGACGUAAUAAGUUUGGGAAAAUUGACCAUGUAGAGGGUCUUACAUCAUAUCCAGAGUAGAAAGGUUUUGGCCGCAUAAGGCCUAACUAAAAGUACCUACAGUACAUGAUAGUUACAUAGAAAAUGCCACAUAGGACAUAGACAGGAAAAUGAUUCCUUUAACAACGAAGGAAAAUAAAGCAUUUCCUAUUGGUGACGGUCAUCCCUCUGCUGAACUCUUAGUUCAGCCAGUUGACGUUCCAUGUCAAGCAGGUGUCUUUCGUACACCCUCUGGCGUACUCGGAGCUCUAUGACUUCGGCUCGUGUUUUAGCUAGUGCUUGUAGCAGGGUCUCAUGGUCUCUCUCAGAUCUCUCCUGAGUAUGUUCAAGGCGAUUGGUGCAGAUGGUAUGCAUUCCUGCAUUGGCAUCAACCUCUGUGAUACGAUGGAGAGCUAUCCUGCCCUGAAUCUCAUUUCGGGCAACUUUACGGACCAGGAUUGGUAGAACUCUGUCCGCUGAGCUCCCUUCGCUUAUGUUGUAGAAGCUUCAGUCUCCAUUGAAUGGCAUAGGCUGAUUCUGCCCUUCGCACCACGUCUCCAAUCCUUAUACCCAAGCGGGCGUCGGGCCAUGAAAAGUCGGACGAGGGUUAGGAUUUGGAAUGGGAGCUACCAGGGGCAGGUUCUCAACUUCAGGCUCAGAUUUAUCAUCAUCCAAAAGGUCUUUAGCAUGGUGAUCAUUCAAAGGGAUUGGAUGAUCAUUCUCAGGUUCUUCUCCAAACCAUCCAGCAUUGCCUUCGUUCAGAAGGUAUGGGUCACCGUAGGGAUGGAGUGUAACACCCGAGUUCAGAGGUGCAAGUUUAGGGUUCUUGGUGUAAAUAAGGAAGGUCGACUCAACGAUUCGAUGGAUUGACUCGGCGAGUCGAGUCGAGGUUCUGGUCAAGUGUUAAGUGACCAACUCGGCGAGUCGACGGUUGGACUCAGCGAGUUGGUGCUGAAAGGAGAAAACCCUAAUCCGGGGUUUGUGCCCUAUAUAAAGCACAUUAUAGCCACCCUUAGCCUCUUUGCUACCCAUUUGAGAUCAAGAAACCCUCAUCUCAUGUGUGACUCCAUUGUUGAGAAGAUUGAAGCUUUGAAGAAGGAAUUGGUGAAGAGAAAGGUGGAGGAAGUUGAGGAUAGCAUCAAGAGAGCUUGUGAAUCUGAAGUCUACAUUAGUUUAGACUCAUUUCUAAGGUAAGAGGAUCUUACCUUAAGCUAUUUCCUUGUUAUUUCAUCCAUGGUGUACGAUUUGGGGUUCUUUAGCAUGGUUGGGAUCUAUUUCGGGUAAAGAGACUAGAUCUGAGGUUGCAACUUCAGAUCUAGGUUGGUUUGGAGCCAUGUUAUCAGAAAGUGAUAGCUUUGGGGUGUGAUUCAGAGUGUCCUUACCUUAAACCUUAAUUUUUAGCUUGUUGGAGCUUGUUGAGCCUUGCAUGCACGUAAAGUUGGAAACUUUACGUGUGAAUUGGCCCUAGGAGUCCAGAUCUAUGUAUUGGAAGCAUUGGGAUGGCCUAAAAUCGUCUGGAUGAAGAUGUCACAUCUGGACUCAGCGAGUCACAUGAGUGCACUCCACGAGUUGUAUGAAUAUAUGCAUGGACUCGGCGAGUUGGAAGAACAACUCGGCGAGUCUGUUGAAGAUUGCCUUGGACUCGGCGAGUCUGUUCUUGGACUCGGCGAGUUUGGUCGUGAAGUCCUAACCGUUUUUGGUUGAGCUGUGAAUCAGUGAGUCAAGGGAUGACUCGGUGAGUUGAGCAGGAAGUGACUCAGAGUUUGUUGGACUCGACGAGUCUUGGGGCGACUCGGCGAGUUGAGUCGUGCAUUGGGUGUAACGACCCGUUUUCCGGUAUGUUAAUUAAUUUGAUUUGGGCUAAGUUUUCAAGAGGGACUCGGCGAGUUCUAGCCUGACUCGCCGAGUCAGGACGCGCAUCUUGUGCACGCGGGAGCCGGCGACUCGGCGAGUCCAUAUCCUGGACGCGGCGAGUCCGUCCGUCUGGGUGAAACCCUAACUCCCCGGGUUUGCUCACUAUUUAAACCCCAUUAUAGCCUCCAUCUCGUCACUUUCCCCCUGAGAACACUGUGAGAAACCCUAGACCUCCAUUGGUGAGCCUUGUAUGUGAUUUUGUCCCAUUUUUGUGAAGGAGUGAAGAAGGAGAAGAAGAAGGAAGCAAGGAAACGUGUUCUAGAGCCAAGAUCCAAGGUCAAGGGUGAACUUGUUGAGGUAUUUUCGGAGUUCCUUUCUGGUUUCAUGCUUAAAUUUCCAUUAGAGCUCUUUUAAGGGCUAUUUGAUGCUUGUUCCAAGCUUUAUGCUUGCUUGAAUGUGUUGUUAAGCCGAAAUAUCUUUAGAUCUGAGUGUUGGGGUGUUGUAGAGUCCAGAUCCACUGCCUUUUUGGGGUUACAUUGCAUGUUAGCCAUGGAUCUACCCUUAUUGUGCAUAUUUUAGUCUUAUUUCCCUCAAUCAUGUAGUUGUGCACGUAAAGUUGGAAACUUUACGUGGUAAAACAGCUUAAUGGACCCAGAUCUAUCAUUUGCAUGUGUUGGAUUUAAGAGAAAUCGAGUAAAAAUGUGUUGCAUGGCGGCGACUCGGCGAGUCGGAAGAACGACUCGACGAGUCCGGUCGCGAGUCCCGAGUUCUUCAGUUCCUUCAGUGUCGAGUGGGCGAGGUGAGCUAGGGAGUGGACUCAGCGAGUUAAGAGUAGACUCAGUGAUGGAGGGACUCGGCGAGUUUGUUCAUACAACUCGGCGAGUCCAAGGCAAUCUCCUUGAGGAUUAAGAACAACUCGUCGAGUCUGUUCAUCUGACUCGGCGAGUCGGAUGAAGAUCAUCUGAGUUCUUGGAUCCAGAGGGUACCCGUCGAGUCGAUGCCACACUCGACGAGUAACAGCAUGUAAGAGUUGAACGGGGAAUCUAGGACUCGGCGAGUCGGGUAUCCCGACUCGGCGAGUCAGCCCUGAGUAAGUCAACUUUGACCAAGGGUAAAAGAGUCAUUUUACCCUGAGUGUAGUGCUAGUGAUUGAUUGAGUGUGUUUAUGGAUUUGUAGCCGAGGAGAUUCAGGAGCAGCAGCCGUUAGCUUUCCGAGCCGCACUCUCAUCCGCUAGCUUACGAGGUGAGUUUCCUUCCCGUAGGGGCGGGUCUAAGGCCACAAUGCCGGCCCGUCCAGUUAAUAGUAGUUUCCGGACUUCGGUCCGAUGUAGUAGUUAGUAUGUUUGAUGCCUUCGUGGUUCAGACAUGUUUUAUGUGCUAUGUGUAUGUGUUUAUGUUCCGGGCCACGGCCCGAUGCAGUAUGCAGUAUAAAUUGUUAUGAUAUGCUAUGCUAUGUGCAGUCAGUCCCGGACCUCGGUCCGAUGCAGGGGACACGGUCCCAGUUAGUUCCGGACUUCGGUCCGAUGCAGUUAGUUCCGGACUUCGGUCCGAUGCAGUUAGUUCCGGACUUCGGUCCGAUGCAGUCAGUUCCGGACUUCGGUCCGAUGCAGUUAGUUCCGGACUUCGGUCCGAUGCAGGGGACAAGGUCCCAGUCAGUUCCGGACUUCGGUCCGAUGCAGUUUUCCGGGUCCCGACCCGAUGCAGUGGGCAAGGCCCAAUAUGUGUUUAUAUGUUGUUGUAUGGUAUGUGGUAAGUUGGGGGAGCUCACUAAGCUUCGUGCUUACAGUUUCAGUUUUGGUUUCAGGUACUUCCGCAAGCAAAGGGAAGAGCUCUGGAUGACGGCAUCGCACACACCACCGUUUCAGCUUUAGUUGGAUUUGAUUUAGUUGUUGUUUUGGAUAUAGCAUGUUACAUUUUCCGCACAGUACUUUAUUAUCUUUUGGGACAUAUCACGCAUGGUUUAUCUAUAUGAUACUCUGAUUAUAGUUUUGAUGGUAUUAAAAACAAAAUUUUUGGGUCGUAUUUUUGGGUCGUUUCAAGUUGGUAUCAGAGCCCUGGUUUGAGGGAUUCGGAUACACUCUCGGGUGUAUCUGAACUCAAACUAAGGGGAAAUAAAAGAUUUUUAAUAAAAUGUUUUUACAAAAGAAUUUUGAAAACACUUAGGAGGAAAAGAAUUGUUUUAAGAUAGAGGUGUGUGCAUGCGGUCAACCGAGCUCAAGUAAGUACUCCCAAAUUACCCAUACAAGUUAUUUGUUCAAUUUCAGUUUAGUAGAACAGCAUGCUAGAAUAGGACUAAGGGUGUAGGAGAAUGCCUUAUGUGCCUGCUUAUGUGUUACAGCUCUAUGAAUAUUGCAUGCUAGAAUUGAGUAGACAGCAGUAGGAUAGCCUGUUUAGGUUAUGCCUGAUAGUGUGAGCUUAGCAUCCUAUGCUAGUGCAAUUUCUUGUUAUAAGAAUAGCUUGCGUGAGUCUGUUUCCCUUGUCCGAAUGCUGCUUGCUUUGUGCUUAGUGGGAUUCCGAGUAAUGGGAGUUAGCCAUUAGGUGGACACGUCACACCACAUGUAAUCAGGUUUGAAUAAUCCCAGAGUGCUGGAACUGGCCCUACUGCGCAGCUCUUGUUUGAGUCCAACCGUUGUAGGGACGGAUCUUUUACUUGAAGGAUUAUCCGAUCCUCAUCACAUGUGAUGGUGUUCAGGUGAUGGCUAACUGGCAGUGCAAGGAGACCUACAGCAGCUGAGGACCAGUCGUAUUGAGCUCGAGUUUUCUCUAGGGCAAGCCUAGGGUGAGAGUAGCAGAAAAUAGCAGCGGUAGAAGUGACUUGGGGAAGUCGAGGCAGUUCUUGAGGAAAGUACGGAUAGAUGUGGAAGGUAGUAGGGGCCCAUACUACUGGAAACAGAGGAUCCGUACUCGAAUCAAGGAAGGCCAAGAUUAGACCAGGAAGCUAGUAGUCGUAUUAUGAUCCCUUGAAAUAUUUCAAUGUUCUGAUGUUGUUAUGAUAUGUUUCAGAAUGGUAGUUUUGCGUCCGAGGCCAGCAGCCGGCAGUUCAGAUGCCGGAGGAGGAUCAGGAUCGGGAUCCGACCCGGAGGUCGGACAGAUGGAUGAGCAGACCAGAGAGUUCCUUUCUUCUGAGAUUACUCGCAUCAUACUUGAGCAGACUCCUGUGAUCUUCGGUUCGAUCAAGGAGGGCAUUUUGGAGAUGAUGGAUGAGAGACUGAGUACCUUCCGUACUGAGAUGGCGGCCGUGAUGGGGUCGCGCACACUCACUUUCAGGGAGUUCAGGGCGUGCGGGGCUCCUGACUACCACGGGGCACGGGACCCCAUAGCGAGUACCAGGUGGUUGGCGGAUGUGGCCAACGCAUUCCGCACUAGCAGAUGUCCCGAGGGGGACAAGGUCAGAUUGGCGUCCUGUCUCCUGAAGGACAGGGCACGUGACUGGUGGGAGGAGGUAGGACAUACCAUCGGGGAUGAUGCGGCAUUGGAUGCCAUGACCUGGGCUGAUUUCUCUACCAGGUUCAGAGCGGAGUUCGCACCGGUCAUUGAGGUGCAACAGUUAGCCAGGGAGUUCCAGGAUCUUACCCAGACUACCGAGACAGUGGCGGAGAUCACCGCCAAGUUCAGGGAGCGGGCCCUUCUUGUUCCUCAGUAUGCAGCAGACGAGGAGAUGAAGAAGGCCCGUUAUCACGAGAUGUUGCGGAGCGACAUUCGUAUGUUUGUGAGCCGGUCCAGUUGCAAAACACUGGACGACAUGAUUGCUAGAGCCAGAGAGAGGGAGAUUGAUCUCGAGAUGGAGAGGAAGAGGAAACCGGAGGCGGUUUCGGGUGCAGGCAGUGUGGGCAAAAAGCCCAAGGUUUCAGAUCACAGGUCCAGGGGUCAGCAGAGCCACGGUCGAUGUGGCAAGUGUGGGAGGUUGCACGAGGGGGCGUGCAAGGCAGGGAGUUCCGGCUGCUACAAGUGCGGUCGGACCGGGCAUAUGAGUAGGGAUUGUACGGCCCCUGCCACUACGGUUACAGCAUCGGAUCUGAUUUGCUUUCAGUGCAAUCAGAGGGGACACAAAAGGUCCCAGUGUCCCAGUUUAGCUGCAGCAGGGAAGGUGCAUGCACCCGCCCCUGCUACUUUGAGGAUCACAGAUGGCCGUCAGGGCCGAGCUGAUGCGCCGGUGGCGAAGAGCAGGGCAUUUCAGAUGACAGCAGAGGAGGCGCGAGCGACUCCUGAUGUGGUGACGGGUAUGUAUAUUUCUUUCAUCUCUUAAUUAUUAAUAUAUCGUUUGAAUAUUAUUUGAUGGUACGCUUUAUUUAGGGUCGUUCUCGGUGAACGGCAUCCCUGCUUUGGUAUUGUUUGACUCGGGGGCCACCCGAUCAUUUGUAUCGCUUGCGCUUAGCAAGAGAUUUAGCAGAGCUCCGGGGGAACUGGAUUGUCCGUUAGAGGUGGAGAUAGCAGAUGAUAGGACCGUGAGGGUCGACAAAGUAUAUAGAGGGUGUUCCCUUCAGAUAUUUGAGGAGCAGUUUUCAGUGGAUUUGGUUCCGAUUCCCCUGCGCGGGAAUAAAGUUAUUGUGGGAAUGGAUUGGCUAAGCCCCAACGGGGCGGUGAUUGAUUGUGAGCUUCAGCUAGUGAGGGUUCGCACUCCCAGUGGGGGAGAGAUAGUGGUUCAGGGCGAGAGGCCCCAGCGAGGAUUGACCUUCUGCUCUGCCGCUAGGGCGAGGCGCUACGUUCAGCAGGGUUGCGCCGGUUAUGUAGCCUACGUCUUGGAUGCCCGGGAUAAGGGCAAGACGACGAUCGAUGAUGUUCCUAUUGUUCGAGAUUACCCGGAUGUGUUUCCCGAGGAUUUGCCGGGGAUACCUCCUGAGAGGCAGGUUGAGUUCAGGAUCGACCUGGUUCCUGGUGCGGCUCCGAUAGCCAAAGCACCAUAUCGACUUGCUCCCCCUGAGAUGCAGGAGUUGUCUACACAGCUUCAGGAGCUGUUAGACAAGGGUUUCAUUCGACCGAGCAGUUCGCCUUGGGGAGCGCCGAUCUUAUUUGUGAGGAAGAAAGACGGGUCGCAUCGGAUGUGUAUUGAUUACCGGGAGUUGAACAAGGUAACGGUGAAGAACCGUUACCCACUUCCGAGGAUAGAUGACUUGUUUGAUCAGCUCCAGGGAGCGUCUUGGUUCUCCAAGAUCGACCUACGCUCCGGUUACCACCAGAUGAGGGUCAGGGAUGAGGAUGUACAGAAGACUGCUUUCAGGACCCGGUAUGGUCAUUAUGAGUUUGUGGUGAUGCCAUUUGGGCUCACCAAUGCCCCAGCCGCGUUCAUGGAUCUCAUGAACCGCGUGUGUAGACCGAUGCUGGAUCGGUCAGUGAUAGUGUUCAUCGAUGACAUCUUGGUGUAUUCCAAGACGCAGGGACAGCACGAGGAGCACCUGCGGGAGGUGUUGGAGACUUUGAGGAGGGAGAGACUGUUCGCUAAGUUCUCCAAGUGCGAGUUCUGGUUACGCGAGGUGCAGUUUCUUGGGCAUCUCGUUAAUCAGAAGGGUAUUUUGGUUGACCCGGCCAAGAUUGAGGCCGUGAUGCAGUGGGAGGUCCCGAGGUCUCCAUCUGAGAUUCGGAGCUUCCUAGGAUUGGCAGGGUAUUAUCGGAGGUUUAUUCAGGAUUUCUCCAAGAUAGCAGUGCCGCUCACCCGACUAACCAAGAAGUCGGUAGUUUUUCGUUGGGGGCCUGAGCAGCAGGCGGCGUUCGAGACUCUCAGGCAGAGAUUGUGCGAGGCUCCGAUCCUUACCUUGCCAGAGGGUGUUGAGGAUUUCGUGGUCUAUUGUGAUGCUUCGAUCACAGGUAUGGGAGCAGUGUUGAUGCAGCGAGGCCAUGUGGUGGCUUAUGCUUCGAGACAGUUGAAGCCUCACGAGGCUAAUUAUCCUACCCACGACUUGGAGCUGGGGGCAGUUGUAUUUGCCCUCAAGAUUUGGAGGCAUUACCUGUAUGGGGUCCGCUGUACUAUCUACACGGACCACAAGAGUUUACGAUACCUUAUGGAUCAGCCGAGUUUGAAUAUGAGACAGAGGAGAUGGUUGGACGUGCUGAAGGACUAUGACUGUGAGAUCCUGUAUCAUCCAGGGAAGGCCAACGUGGUGGCCGAUGCCCUGAGCCGCAAGGUGUCGGCGGCCCCUAUCAGGGAUUUGUGUAUGAGGAUGACGGUAAUCACUCCUUUGUUGGAGCGGAUCAAGGAGGCUCAGAUGGAGGGUCUCAAGGAGGAAAGGCAGAAGUGCGAGAGGAUAGUGGGUCGAGUAGCUUCGUUCGACUACGACAGCCGGGGUUUGAUGACGCUUCAUGGUAGGGUGUGGGUACCGUACUGGGGUGGGGUACGGCAGGUAUUGAUGGACGAGGCUCAUAAGUCUCGAUUUUCUAUCCAUCCAGGGGCGACGAAGAUGUAUCGAGAUCUUCGACCUGAUUAUUGGUGGCCCUGCAUGAAGCGGGACGUCGCUUGGUACGUUGAGAGGUGCUUGACCUGCCGGAAGGUCAAGGCGGAGCACCAGAGACCUCACGGCAAGAUGCAGCCGUUGGAUAUUCCCGUGUGGAAAUGGGAGGACAUCACCAUGGAUUUUAUCACCAAACUUCCCAGGACCGCACGUGGAGUAGAUUCGAUAUGGGUAGUGGUGGAUCGGUUGACGAAGAGUGCCCAUUUUAUUCCGAUCCAGGAGAGUAUAUCGGCGGAAAGGUUAGCCGAUAUCUAUGUGCGAGAGAUUGUGGCACGUCAUGGAGUGCCGGUAUCGGUAGUGUCGGACCGAGAUGUUCGCUUCACGUCCAGAUUCUGGAAGCGGUUUCACGACGAGAUGGGUACUCGUCUCCAUUUCAGCACCGCUUUUCAUCCUCAGACUGACGGGCAGAGCGAGAGGACGAUUCAGACUCUCGAGGACAUGCUUAGGGCAUGCGUUCUGGAUUUUGGGGGCUGUUGGGAUACGUAUCUUCCCUUAGCGGAAUUCUCGUAUAACAACAGCUAUCAUGCGAGCAUUGAUCGACCUCCUUUUGAGAUGUUAUAUGGCAGGAAGUGCAGGACCCCGAUUUGUUGGGGCGAGGUCGGUCAGCGGGUUAUGGGGAGCACUGAAGUGGUGCUCAAGACGACGGAACUGAUCCAGCAGGUCCGUAGUAGACUGCAGACUGCGCAGAGUCGGCAGAAGAGCUACGCCGACAAGAGGCGUUCAGACUUGGAGUUCCAGGUAGGAGACAUGGUUCUUCUGAAAGUCUCACCUUGGAAAGGUGUCAUCAGGUUCCGGAAGAGGGGCAAAUUGGGCCCCAGAUUUAUUGGUCCUUUCAGGGUUUUGGCCCGGGUGGGUCGGGUUGCUUACCGGUUAGAUCUUCCUGAGGAGCUCAGUUUGAUACACAACACCUUCCACGUGUCGCAGUUGAGGAAGUGUCUAGUGGACGAGACAGCGGUCGUUCCCUUGGAGGAUAUCCAGGUCGAUAGCGGCUUGAAUUAUAUCGAGAAGCCGAUAGCAAUUUUGGAACGGAAGACCAAGACCUUGAGGAACAAGGUAAUUCAGCUGGUAAAGGUGCAGUGGCAGCAUCGGAAGGGGUCUGAGUGGACAUGGGAGGCUGAAGAAGAAAUGAGAACGCACUACCCGGAGUUAUUCGCAGAUCCAGCCGUAGCAGACUUCGAGGACGAAGUCUGAAACAAGUGGGGGAGAAUUGUAACGACCCGUUUCCGGUAUGUUAAUUAAUUUGAUUUGGGCUAAGUUUUCAAGAGGGACUCGGCGAGUUCUAGCCUGACUCGCCGAGUCAGGUCGCGCAUCUUGUGCACGCGGGAGCCGGCGACUCGGCGAGUCCAUAUCCUGGACUCGGCGAGUCCGUCCGUCUGGGUGAAACCCUAACUCCCCGGGUUUGCUCACUAUUUAAACCCCAUUAUAGCCUCCAUCUCGUCACUUUCCCCCUGAGAGCACUGUGAGAAACCCUAAACCUUCCUCUUGUGAGCUUAUAAGUGAUCUUGUUCCAUUUUGUGAAGGGGUGAAGAAGGAGAAGAAGAAGGAAGCAAGGAAACGAGUUCUAGUGCCAAGAUCCAAGAUCAAGUGUGAACUUAUUGAGGUAUUUUCGGAGUUCUCUUCUGGUUUCAUGCUUAAACUUCCAUUAGAGCUCUUUUAAGGGCUAUUUGAUGCUUGUUCCAAGCUUUAUGCUUGCUUGAUUGUGUUAUUGAGCCGAAAUACCUUUGGAUCUGAGUGUUGGGGUGUUGAAGAGUCCAGAUCCACUGUCUUUUUGGAGUUACAUUGCUUAUUAGCCAUGGAUCUACCCUUAUUGUGCAUAUUUUAGUCUUAUUUCCCUCAUUCAUGUGGUUGUGCACGUAAAGUUGGAAACUUUACGUGGUAAAACAGCUUAAUGGACCUAGAUCUAUCAUUUGCAUGUGUUGGAUUCAAGAGAAAUCGAGUAAAAAUAUGUUGCAUGGCGGCGACUCGGCGAGUCGGAAGAACGACUCGACGAGUCAGGUCGCGAGUCCCGAGUUCUCCAGUUUCUUCAGUGUCGAGUGGACGAGGUGAGUUAGGGAGUGGACUCAGCGAGUUAAGAGUAGACUCAGUAAUGGAGGGACUCGGCGAGUUGUUCAUACAACUCGGCGAGUCCAAGGCAAUCUCCUUAAGGAUUAAGAACAACUCGUCGAGUCUGUUCAUCUGACUCGGCGAGUCGGAUGAAGAUCAUCUGAGUUCUUGGAUCCAGAGGGUACCCGUCGAGUCGAUGCCACACUCGACGAGUAACAGCAUGUAAGAGUUGAACGGGGAAUCUAGGACUCGGCGAGUCGGGUAUCCCGACUCGGCGAGUCAGCCCUGAGUAAGUCAACUUUGACCAAGGGUAAAAGAGUCAUUUUACCCUGAGUGUAGUGCUAGUGAUUGAUUGAGUGUGUUUAUGGAUUUGUAGCCGAGGAGAUUCAGGAGCAGCAGCCGUUAGCUUUCCGAGCCGCACUCUCAUCCGCUAGCUUACGAGGUGAGUUUCCUUUCCGUAGGGACGGGACUAAGGCCACAAUGCCGACCCGUCCAGUUAAUAGUAGUUUCCGGACUUCGGUCCGAUGUAGUAGUUAGUAUGUUUGGUGCCUUCGUGGUACCGACAUGUCUUAUGUGCUAUGUGUAUGUGUUUAUGUUCCGGGUCACGGCCCGAUGCAGUAUGCAGUAUAAAUUGUUGUGAUAUGCUAUGCUAUGCGCAGCCAGUUCCGGACCUCGGUCCGAUGCAGGGGACACGGUCCCAGAUAGUUCCGGACUUCGGUCCGAUGCAGUCAGUUCCGGACUUCGGUCCGAUGCAGUUAGUUCCGGACUGCGGUCCGAUGCAGGGGACAAGGUCCCAGUCAGUUCCGGACUUCGGUCCGAUGCAGUUUUCCGGGUCCCGACCCGAUGCAGUGGGCAAGGCCCAAUAUGUGUUUAUAUGUUGUUGUAUGGUAUGUGGUAAGUUGGGGGAGCUCACUAAGCUUCGUGCUUACAGUUUCAGUUUUGGUUUCAGGUACUUCCGCAAGCAAAGGGAAGAGCUCUGGAUGACGGCAUCGCACACACCACCGUUUCAGCUUUAGUUUGGAUUUGAUCUAGCUGUUGUCUUGGAUAUAGCAUGUUACAUUUUCCGCACAGUACCUUGUUAUCUUUUGGGACAUAUCACGCAUGGUUUAUUUAUAUGAUACUCUGAUUAUAGUUUUGAUGGCAUUAAAAACGAAAUUUUUGGGUCGUAUUUUUGGGUUGUUACAUUGGGAGUUUCUACGUACAGGGACUCGACGAGUCAGCGGGUUGACUCGGCGAGUAGAGUCAGUCAGGAAGGUUGACUUUGACUGAGGACUUUGACUUUGACCAAGGGUUGACCAGUUGACUUACAGGGGUAUUUUGGUAAUUAUUGGUAUUUAUUGAGUUCAUUCAUUUGGUAUUGAUCAGUGGUGGAGUUGGUGUCGGAGGUUCGAGGUGAGUUAUCCUCACUAUAUCAACAGGGUCUAAGGCACCAAGUCCGGCCCUUUAGCGGAUGGAAAUUCGGGUAGUUGUUACGUUAUUGCUUUGCUAUAUGUUUGCAUCCUGGUAGUUAGGAUGGUGUAUGUGAGAGACCUGGUUAAGGUCGGAAUCCUGGUAUAUAUAGGAUGAUAUUAAGUUAGUGACUGGUUGGGUCGGUAUCCUGGUUAGAGUAUGUUAUGUAUGUGAUCUGCUAGAUCGGUUGGUUAGUGAUGAAUUGCUAUAUGAUUAUAUGUUUAUGUGCACAUGGUUGGUUGAUUGGGGUUCGGUUGAUGCGGGUCCUGCUUUGUGCUGUUGGCCAACAUACCCAAGGCGGACCGGAUAUUUCGAAGGCCUAGUGAGCGGUCCGGAUAGGCUGUAGGCCCCACGAGGGUGAACCAGACCUGCUGAGGCUCGGAGAGUGGACCAGGCCGAAUGAUGGCCCGGUGCGGGUGUACCAGUCAUACUGAAGACUUAGAGAGUGGACCAAGUGGGUUGAAGGGCCAGUGCGGACGGACCAACCACACUGCAGACUCGAUGUAUAUGGCUAGACUCGGAGGGUGGACCAGGUGGACUGAAGGCCCGGUGCGGCGGACCAGUCACACAGUAGACCCGAAGUGCAUGGUUGUUUUGUUAUGAUAUGACAUGUUAUGUGUAUGGUAUAUGUGGUUGGUAUUUUGGGGGUAUCUCACUAAGCUUUCGAGCUUACAGUUGUGGUUUAACGUUUCAGGUACUUCAGGAGACCGUGGCAAGGCAAAGGCGUGAUCAUAUCGCUCCUCAUGUUUUUGUUUUAUGAUAUGGUUCUGGGAAUACUCUGAUAAUAAAUGUAUUGAAACCCUUUUUGUAAUAACUUGAUGAUAUUGGGUUGUUUUUGAAAAGUUUAAAUUGGUUGGAAUUUUUAGAGUGUUACAAGUUGGUAUCGGAGCCUUUGUUUAAGUGAAUUGGAGGAACAUUCGUGUGAAUCCAGUCUCAAAUCAAGGAGAGUUUUCAAAAGAGAAUUUAAAAUGGUUUUCAAAAAUGAGUAAAGGAGGACGCAGAGGUACGAUCAGCCGGAGCCAGUAAGUAACCCCAAAAUAACAUACAAGUUAUUUGUUUAUGAGAUAUGAUAGAACAGCAUGCUAGUACUAGGCUAGGGAUCUUCAGGAAUUGCAUGAUAGAGUUGCCUGCUAGCCUAGGGUUUCUUUCUAUAUGAGAUUUCCAGUGUUCCUCUAGGUGUGAGGGUUGAGUUCUUGUUAUGCAUGUUCAUCGCUAGGGUGUUGUGGUGAUACUUGAUAUAAAUAUGGGUAGGUGUGGAAGGUAGUAUAGGCCCAUACUGCUGAAAGCACAGGACCCAUACGCGUAUCAAGGAAGUCACAACCCCUAGGGUCAGGUUGGGAGUUGGUUCUCGGGUUAUUCGGGAAGCAUCUGAUUUUCUGGUGGUGUAUUUCCAGUAUGGUGGUUACGAGGCAUGCUGGGAGCGGAUUCGGGUCAGGAUCGGGAGCAGGAGAGGGCGGUCAGGGUGGAUCCGCACAACCCGAGGUUAUCGGUCAGAUGAGCACAAAUGAGUUGGAUGCUAGGAUUCAUGAGAUUACUGAUAUGUUCCAGGCCAAGUUGCCGGAACUGUUUAGGUCGAUCAAGACCGCCAUGGUCGAGUAUUUUGAUGAGCGCUAUGCAGCUCUUAUAGAGACGGCUGCCGCGGUGGCUACACCGGCUGUAGCAGCGGCAAGGGGAGGAGUCGGUAGAGGUUUUCAGUAUCGGGACUUCGAUAAUACGAAGCCCCCUACUUUUGAUGGAGUUCAGGAUCCGAUUGUUGCUAUGUGAUGGUUGUCAGAUGUGGAGGGAUGUUUCUUCACAUGUUCAUGCCCUGCUGAUCAGAGGGUGAGGUGUGCUCUGAACCUGUUGAGGCUCGGGGUUAAGGAUUGGUGGAGGUUGACUACGGGAUCAUAUUCGGAUGUGCAGAGGGCUGCGGUUUCUUGGGAUCGGUUUCAGGAGAUGUUUAGCACUCGCUAUGUUCCACGAGUUUAGAGAGAGAGGUUGGCUCAGGAGUUCCUGGAGCUGAAGCAGGAUUUAGAGUCGGUGACGGAGAUCACCAGGAUGUUCACUGAGAGGGCGAUGUUUUUCCCGAAGUUUGCUUUGGAGCAGGCUCAAAUGUCCUAAUAUCUGAGUAUGCUCAAGAGGGAUAUCAGGCAGUUUGUGUCUACACAGAGGUGCGAGACCUUGCUGGAGUUGUAGGAGGCCGCUCGGCGGCGUGAGUUGGAAAUUGAGUUACAGUUGAGAGAGCAGAGGCAGGCCCCGGCGCAGUCGUAGCCAGCGCCAAAACGGUCCAAGACCGUUGAUUCUAGGUUGGGAGAUCAUAGCAGCCGCACUUGUGGGAAGUGCGGGAAGGGUCACACCAAAGUUUGUAGGUCCGGUGGUGCGUGCCGCAAGUGCAGGAGAGAGGGGCAUUAUGCGAGGGAUUGCCGUCAGUCAGCCCUAGUUCAGGAUAUGAGGAUUUGUUAUCAGUGCCAUCAGGUUGGUCACAUGAGGGCCAACUUUCCACAGCUUACUGCAGGACCGGUGCAGGCUCCAGCACCAUCCACUUUGAGGAUUACGGGUGGAGGUCAGGGUGGAGCAGAGCCCCCGAGGGCUUAAGGACGUGCUUUUCAGCUUACAACAGAGGAGGUCAGGGCAGAGCCGGAUACAACUGCGGGUAUGUUUCCUUCCUAAUAUCUUGUUAUCUCAUGGUUGUUAUGGAGUACAUUAUAUUGGCUAGUCUCGUUCGCAUAAUUCAUGGUAGGGUAUUCGCUCGUCCUUUUGUCGGGUUUAUCGUAUGAUCGAGGGUGUUGGUAUUGAAAGCCUUAGUUGGUUAUCAUUCAUGAGGAUUGUUGGUGGGGAAUUAGUCUUUUUGGUCCGAGUGUCGUGUUUAGCAUUUGCAAUUUGAGGAAUACUCAGCUGAGGGUCGAACCCCCCCCCCCCCCUNAGAUGUGCGAUGUCGGAGGACUGAUUUUGUAGAGGUUGCUCGUUUUAGAGGGAAUCAGUUCAUGGAUAAGGGGAAAAUGUUGAUUAGGGUUGUUUAAGUGAUGUCGGUUGGGUCACAAGUGGUUGGAAGUCAGUGCUCUAAGUGGGGGAGAAUUGGAAAAUUCUUAGGAGGGUCGAUAAGCAUUAGAGUUUGAUUAGCUGUUUGGGAUCCAGCAGUGUGUCAGUCAGCCAAGAGUGUGGGCUGGUAUGAGUAANAGUGUGGGCUGUAUGAGUAAGUGUCAGACCGAUGGGGCGGAGUACAGACCAAGGAUUUUGGAAAGGGUGAUUGGUUGUUGUGAGGCCUAGGAUUAGGCCGGGAUCUGAGUAUAUGGAAUAGAGUUACAGUUCGGAACCCCUAGAGGUCUAGAACAAUAUGUAUGGGAGAGAUUCCCAGGAGGAAUAGUUCAGAAUGAUAAUUUAAGCGGUCCGGGGGGACUGAAGGACGGUGGGUGUACCAGUCAGGCCGAAGGCUCGGAAAACGGUCCAGACAGGCUGAAGGCCCUGGAGGGCGGUCCACACAUGCUGAAGGUUCUGAGAGUGGUCCAGAUUGGUUGAAGGCCUGGUAAGGCGGUCCAGUCAUGAUGAGGACUCUGUAAGUGUUGAUAGAUCUAUAAGCGGAAAGUGAUUUGAGUAUGCUGCUAUGCAGUAGCAAGCAGUGGGUCUGGCCCCAGGUAUUGAUCAUGUUAGUGGAAGGCAGUGCAUGGACCUGAGAGUCCUUGCGAGCAGAUUCAGAGCAUGUGCGAUGCAUGGAGUAGCGGUUACUUUACAAGGGAUAGUGUAGAGUGGGGUGUGAGCACCGUGGCACUUGUCUGAAGUAGCAAGGUUGGAAAGUAUAUUUCCUUAGAUAAGGAAAGGGAAAGGUGUGUAACUAUGGGAGGGAGUGUUGGUUCACGGAAGUGAAAGCAGUAGUGAGAAUGGAUGAUUGAGAGUAUUUCAAUUAUGGUUGUUGAGCACUAUGAUUGUACCAGUGGUAUGGAAGCACAUAUGGAUUAGGUGUCUGUUGAGGUUGCGGAUGAGUUUCCGGUGGUAUAGAACCAGAGGAGUUCGGAGGGAAUGCAAGGAUGGAGCCUUGGAUUUCCAGUAUGGUUGUGAUCAGGAGGUUAUGUAUGUAGCGGUAAUUCAUCCUGGGGAUGUUUGGAGGUAUCGUUAGUGUGUCGGGUUUUUCCAGCUUGAGGAUGUUAGAUCAGGUUCAGCAUGUGUAUGUGAUUGUAGAGGAGAGCUCAUGGGAGUUGCUCAGGAGCUGGAGGACGUGUCGUCCUGUCAGCACGGAAAGAAAAGAGUUGGAUUCAUAAGGGAAGCAAGAUAAGUCCCAACAGUAAAUUCGAUAGAUUUGUGGCAAGCGAGGAAAGGGAUAGCAGUUGGUACCGGGUCAGGACCCGGUGGUUCAGGGUAAUAUCUAGUUUGUAAGAGUCAAGUGAUUAUGUGAUUUAGAACGAUGGAAGUAUCAUCGGGUGAUCAUUGGUUGAUAAGUGUUGUUGUCGGAGAAAGAAGUCGGUGGCCGGCUUGAAGCAGUUGUCGUGACCCUGUGAGAAAGAGUUGGACUUUAUAGGGGUUUGGUAGCAGUGUUUGGAGGAACCUGGGUCGGUUGAGACCAGGAGCUGUAUUGUGGGAGUAUCAUCUGGGAUGUGUUGCUGCAUGCUUCGAGGAUGAAGCCUAAUUUAAGUGGGGAAGAAUUGUAACACCCCGAGUUCAGAGGCGCAAGUUCAGGGUUCUUGGUGUAAAUAAGGAAGGUUGACUCGGCGAGUCGAGUCGCAGUUCUGGUCAAGUGUUAAGUGACUAACUCGGCGAGUCGGCGGUUGGACUCGGCAAGUUGGUGCUGAAAGGAGAAAACCCUAAUCCGGGGUUUGUGCCCUAUAUAAAGAACACUAUAGCCACCCUUAUCCUCUUUGCUACCCAUUUGAGAUCCAGACACCCUCAUCUCGUGUGUGACUCUAUUGUUGAGAAUAUUGAAGCUUUGAAGAAGGAAUUGGUGAAGAGAAAUUUGGAGGAAGUUGAGGAUAGCAUCAAGAGAGCUUGUGAAUCUGAAGUCUACAUUAGUUUAGACUCAUUUCUAAGGUAAGAGGAUCUUACCUUAAGCUAUUUCCUUGUUAUUUCAUCCAUGGUGUACGAUUUGGGGUUCUUUAGCAUGGUUGUUAUCUAUUUCGGGUAUAGAGACUAGAUCUGAGGUUGGAACUUUAGAUCUAGGUUGGUUUGGAGCCAUGUGAUUAGAAAGUGAUAGCUUUGGGGCGUGAUUGAGAGUGUCCUUGCCUUAAACCUUAAUUUUUAGCUUAUUGGAGCUUGUUGAGCCUUGCAUGCACGUAAAGUUGGAAACUGUACGUGUGAAUCUGGCCCUAGGAGUCCAGACCUAUGUAUUGGAAGCAUUGGGAUGGCCUAAAAUCAUCUGGAUGAAGAUGUCACAUCUGGACUCGGCAAGUCACAUGGGUGCACUCGACGAGUUGUAUGAAUAUGUGCAUGGACUCGGCGAGUUGGAAGUACAACUCGGCGAGUCUGUUGAAGAUUGCCUUGGACUCGACGAGUCUGUUCUCAGACUCGGCGAGUCUGGUCGUGAAGUCCUAACCUUUUUUGGUUGAGCUGUGAAUCAGUGAGUCGAGGGAUGACUCGGUGAGUUGAGUAGGAAGUGACUCAGAGUUUGUUGGACUCGGCGAGUCUUAGGGUGACUCGGUGAGUUGAGUCGUGGAUUGGGAGUUUCUGCGUAUAGGGACUCGACGAGUCAGCGGGUUGACUCGGCGAGUAGAGUUAGUCAGGAAGGUUGACUUUGACUGAGGACUUUGACUUUGACUAAGGGUAAACCAGUUGACUUCCAGGGGUAUUUUGGUAAUUAUUGGUAUUUAUUGAGUUCCGUCAUUUGGUAUUGAUCAGUGGUGGAGUUCGUGUCAGAGGUUGGAGCAGCGUGAUCUUAUCUUUUCAGUCAGCAGUUGCGAGGUGAGUUAUCCUCAAUAUAUCAACAGGGUCUAAGGCACCAAGGCCAGCCCUUUAUCGGAUGGAAAUCCGGGUAGUUGUUACGUUAUUGCUUUGCUAUAUGUUUGCAUCCUGGUAGUUAGGAUGGUGUAUGUGAGAGACCCGGUUAAGGUCCGAAUCCCGGUAUAUAUAGGAUGAUAUUAUGUUAGUGACCGGUUAGGUCGGUAUCCUGGUUAGAUUAUGUUAUGUAUGUGAUCUGCUAGAUCGGUUGGUUAGUGAUGAAUUGCUAUAUGAUUAUAUGUUUAUGUGCACCUGGUUGGUUGACUGUGGUUGGGUUGAGGCGGGUCCUGCUUUGUGCUGUAAGCCAACAUACCCAGGGCGGACCAGAUAUUCCGAAGGCCCAGCGAGCGGUCCGGAUAUGCUAUAGGCCCCACGAGGGUGGACCAGACGUGCCGAGGCUCGGAGAGUGGACCAGGCCGACUGAAGGCCCGGUGCGGGAAGACCAGAUAUACUGAAGACUCAGAGAGUGGACCAGGUGGGUUGAAGGCUCGGUGCGGGCGGACCAACCACACUUCAGACUCGAUGUAUAUGGCUAGACUCGGAGGGUGGACCAGGUGGACUGAAGGCCCGCUGCGGCGGACCAGUCACAUAGUAGACCCAAAGUGCAUGGUUGUUCUGUUAUGGUAUGACAUGUUAUGUUUAUGGUAUAUGUUGUUGGUAUUUUGGGGGUAUCUCACUAAGCUUUCGGGCUUACAGUUGUGAUUUAACGUUUCAGGUACUUCAGGAGACCGUGGCAAGGCAAAGGAGUGAUCGUACCGCUCCUCAUGUUUUUGUUUUAUGAUAUGGUUCUGAGAAUACUCUGAUAAUAAAUGUAUUGAAACCCUUUUUGUAAUAACUUGAUGAUAUUGGGUUGUUUUUGAAAAGUUUAAAUUGGUUGGAAUUUUUAGAGUGUUACAUGGAGUCCAGCCAUAUUAUCUACGCGAGAAUUGGGGUAAGAAAAUAAUUAUUAGAUGAACUAUCUAGAUAAUUAUUGGAUAAUCUUCACUAGUUACAUCACUAUUUGUAAAGUGCAUACCAGUUAUAUGUAAGCAAAACAGGAUAGGCCUUCAAAUAAGUGACCUUAACUCCAAAUUCACAAGGAAUAGGGGUAAAGCAAAAAAUUUCACAGAUUCUAAGUCUAUGACAUCCUAGUUACAUAUAACUUUGGUGUAUCCACUUAGCAACUAUCGACUUAGUAAUUAAGAUCAGUUCUCAAGUAAGUAAUUAUAGUAACUUAAAAUACUCCUAUAGUAUCUUAGACUUAGAUUCUGUUAUAAUGUUCUCAUUGUGGUAGUGUUGGUAAGUUUUUAGACUUGUUGCCAUGUCACAACUAUUCUUGGGCACGUGCUAAUCACUACUUGGACUAGCAUAGUUGAUCAGGCUAUGCCACUCCCAAGACUGACCAUACAUCCCCGAGCUUACCUGUGAUAUUCAACAAUCGUAAUACUUUUGUUCUUGUCAUUGUGACACUGAUUUUAGUAUGAAUGCAGGCAUGUAUACUUAAUUAAAUAUUUUAUUAUUUAAAGUAUAAACUCUUGGUCAGAGUAUUUUAAUCCCAUUGUAUUUAUAGUCUUUAUAUCUAUUAUGGGUUGAUAUACUUAAUUCACUAUAAACAAUGCUCUGAUACUAAUCUGUCACACCACAAAACCAGGAAUGGCGGAAACGUUCCGGGGCAGAGGACAUCAUGUAUAGUAUCACAAUAGUGAAUAGUAGUAAACAAGCAACAACAUCAUCCAUUGCAUUAAUAAUAUAAUUUUAAUACAAGUGUAUUCUGUCAAGUUAUAUAGACACCAAAAUAUAAAUCAAACUGAAAGAUGAGUCUUGAACGAGCUCCAUCUUCUCUGAACCUUGCACCAGUACCUGUCUAUUGGUAACCUGAGGAUACAAGUUAUUUUGAAAGAGAGUAUCAACUUUAAAGCUGGUGAGAUCAUAAGUAUUUGAGUGUCUGAAUUUGUAAGAAAGUAUUUGUAAGUAUGUGAAGUGUAAGUAUGUAAAAGUGUUGAACCUCCUAGAAAACCCUAUGUUUCCUACUAAAAGUAGCCUUCUACCAAGGCAUCUAUUAUCUGUGUGUGUCUCUUGUAAGAGUGUGUAUUUUCCCAAAUCCGACUAUCAUUAACAAAAAAUAUAGUUUUUACAUUACCGUGCAUCGUGAGAAUGUUCAAGAAGUGAAUGUAAUGGGAAAAAUAUUAUAGUACUGUAGUAUUGUAAUAAGUAACUACGGUUGUACUAACUACCUUAAACCAAUUGUAAUUUAAAGUACCAUGUGAUCAGCCUGUAUCCUGCUACCGACUCUAGUAAAAUGGCGAUGUAAGACGCCGUAAGAAAUGACAUUUGGCACCCGUGGACUUGCAAGUCCCACUGUAGCGAGCAACAAGGUGUAGGAUAGUCAAUCCAGUAUAGCUCUAUACGCUAACUCAUACGCUCCCCAAUUAAGGAGAUUCUGGAUAUAAAAACGGUCAUGGUAGGUAGUGCCAUGCUUCGUUUAGUGGCUCACAUAACUGCAUGAAUGUAUAUGUAAUGUAUGUGCUAGUUGUAUUGUGUGUUCUUUCUCUAUCUAGACUGUAUGUAUUAUAAUGUUCUAUGUGUACUAGUUGUAUUGUGUGCUCUCUCUCUCUAUCCAGCAAGUAUUGAAAUGUACUGUGUGUACUAGCAGUAUUGUGUGUUCUCUCUCCAUCUAGCAAGUAUUGAAAUCUAGUCUGUGUACUAGUUGUAUUGUGUGUUCUCUCUAUCUAGCAAGUAUUGACUAAUGAAUGAACUGACUCAUUGUAUGAUUCUUUGUUCUAGUAAUAGUAUUAGUAACUUCCUAAACUACGCCUAUCGUAGUUUACUAGUAAUAUGACUUGUACGUAUGAACAUGAAUGUAUACCCUUGCCACCCAAGGGUAUUGAAUUGACUGAUAUAAGUUUUAUGUCUAUAUAUGUAUACAUAAUAUAUAAUUAAUAUUUAGACGACCUUCGGACGGAUAACCGAUGCCCUAAAGCCACAUCCCAACGAGGAAAAGGAGAUAAAGCGAGCUAGCCUUCCAAAGUCCUUUAAACAUUACUUAUAUAAAUAUACAUACAUAGACAUGCAUUUGACAAUAUAAAAGUAUAAAAGAAGUUUUGUAAAACCUUUGAAAAGUUUAGUAACUAAGAAAGGAUGAUUUGAUGUCAGUUUGUAAAACGAUUUGAAAGUAGUUUGUUUGAUAAGAACAGUUUAAAGUAUAAGGAAACCUUUGUUUGAAAAACAAUUGUAACAGAGUUUGAAAAGAAACAUUCAGUAUGUAAGAUAUUUCGAUAAAGUGUUUUAAACAAGUAAAAACGUUUUGGAAUGCCGUUUUAAGUAAUCUGUCUGGUAAAACAGCUAAAAGAGUAGUAAAUCCAUUUGUAUGCUACUUAUUAAUCACAUGUGAUUGAUAUGAUAACUAGCAUGAUUCAACUUGUAUCCCCCCCCCAUAAAAGCAUGUAAAAACAUUUAAAAUAUUAAUUAAGGGGUACGUACUCACCUGUAGUGAGUGGUUUGGCUGAACGGACUGUAUAGGAUGCUUAGUGUCAAGUGAAAACUUGAACACGUACACUGAUCCUAGUUAACAUAUAAUAACACAUAUAUGUAUUCAAUUAGUCUUUAAACAACUAAUUAACAAAGUUAAGACAUCCUAGUACAUGUAAAACACCUUAUAUAAGUGUUAUAAGUCCUAAGUAUUGCCUCUAAGUGUUAUAGGACAUUGCUAUUGAGUUUAGGGUUCAAGGGAACCCUUCAUUUGAGUUUACGGUUUUUGUGACCAUAACCCAUUGAGUUUACGGUUGUAAACCCAUGAGUUUACGGCCGUAAACUCAUGCUCCUUUGACCACUUUGUGAUUUGAAGCCUCAUAAGUCCUUAGAAGCAUUUCUACUUGAAGUAUAAGCUUAUGGAAGGGAUUAGGGCACCAUUUCACUCCUAAAUGGAGUUUACGGUCCUUAGACCAUUUUCCUUUGGGUUUACGAUCGUAAACCCAUAUGGUUUAUGGUCUUUUGAUGUUUUCAAGCCCUUAACUCAUCAAGGAAGGGAUCUAAGCAAGUUUCCAAGGCUUAGGAGGGACUAGAGCACACUUUGCCACCCUUUUUAGGGUUUACGGUCCAAGAACAUCUUGGACCGUAAACACCUUGAUCUUGGUGUUUCUUGUAAGAUUUCUUGAUAUAUGGAAGUGUAACAAGCCUUAAGAUACUCUAGGAUAUAAUUACUUACAAGAUAGAAGCUUGAAAAGGUGCUAAAAGUCCAAGAACACUAGUGUGUGUUCUUGGUGUUCUUGGUGAAACUUGAAGAUCUACACUUUUGGAAUGAUUUCAUGGAUGGAAGUGUGUUAGAUCACUAGAUUAAGGUAGAUAUCAACCUAGUAGGGCUAGGAAGACUUACAAGUUGAAGAUCAAGAAGGAAAAUUCGGAUGCUACUUGAGAGGAUUUGAGUUUUGCUCUUGAAAAGUGAAAAAGUGUGAAAAAUGGCUAAGUGCCAUAUAUAUAGUCGUUAGGGUUUACGGUCUAAAAGCCAUUUGGGCCGUAAACUCUAAACUCUUGGAGUUUUUGGAACUUUAUUGAUGCACAAUAAACCCUAGGGCAUCCUCUCUCUUGAUUUCUCCUAAAGUGCUAAUCCUAAAAUACUCAAACUUAUUCCAAAAAGCUUGAAAAUUAGCAGAAACUGUUCUGACUUCUAUUGAAGUGAAGGGUUGUACAGAAUAGAAAUCUCGGUUUGUCAGAGUAUUCCUCCCAAAAGUGACUAUCAUUUAAUAAAAUAUAAUUUUUACAUUAUUGUUUUUGUGAAAUGAUCACAAAGUAGAUGUAAUGAGGAAAAUAAUGAAGUAUUGUAGUAUUAUAUUAUAGUAACUACUAUUGUACUAGCUACCUUAAACCAAUUGUUAAUUAAGGUAUAAUGUGAAAUAAUUGCAACCGUACUAAUUGACUAGUAUUAUCACAACGUUGUAACACGUCGAACAGUAAUGACAUUUUUCACCUUCAGACCUAUAGAUCCCACUGUCGCUACCAAUAAGGUGUAGGAUUUUCAAUCCAGUAUAGAACUAUACACAAAUUCACGCUCUCUCUCCAGGAGAUUCUAGAUACAAAUCGAGCCAUGGCAGGUGAUGCCAUGCCCCGAAACAGUGGUUCACAUUUAAUCUAUAGUAUACUUGUAUAUGUAUUGUAUGUACUAGAGUUUUGUAUGUUCUCUCUGAUUCUCAUCCUAGUAUGUUCUUUAUUAUAGUGUAUAGUGUGUAUGUAUUGUAUGUACUAGUGUAUGUUCUCUCUGUAUAGUGUAUAGUAUGUAUCGGCUCAUGUAUGAACUGACUCCUUGUAUGUUUCAUUGUACUAGAAAUUAGUAAGUAGUAUAUCCCUAAACUAUACCUAUUAUAGUUUACUAGAACUGUUGUUUGAAUGACUUAGUAAGCUUAUACACCUUUGCUACCCAAAGGUGUUGGAACUGAAGUAAAAGCUUUAUAUCCACACAUAUAUACAUAAUAUAUAACUAAGGAUCAAACGACACUCGGACAAACAACCGACUACUCUAAGUCCACAACCAAACAAGGAAUAGGAAUUAAAGCGAGUUAUCAGUCCUAAGUCCUUCAAACCUUACUUAUAUAACUAUAUAUGUACUGGGCAUGGUUUUGACAAUAUAUAAGUUUAAAGAAUUGAAAGUAAAAGUUUGGAAAUCAAGAUUUAAGUUUUAUAAAGAGUUUAACAUGUAAAAGUAUUUAAUAAUCAUUUUGAAGUAGUGUUGUUGACAAAAACAGUUAAAAGUAUGGUAAAUCCGUUUGUUUACUAGUUAUAAAUCACAUGUGAUUGGUAUUAUAACUAUAAUGUUUCAACUUGUAUUCCCCCCCAUAAAAGAAUUUAAAAACAUUUAAAAGGUUAAUUAAUGGGUAUGAACUCACCUGUAGUGAGUGGUUUGGAUGAAAGUGUUGUAUAAGGUGCUAGGUGUCAAGUGAAGACUUGAACACACACUGAUCCUAUUUAACAUAUAAAGACACAUAUAUGUAUCUAAUUAGUGAUUAUAACACUAAUAAACAAGUAAAGACACCCUAAAACAUGGAAACCAAUUUGGUUCAAGCGUUAGAAGAUCAUAGGGUUGCAUCUAAUUGUUGUAGGGUCUUGCUUGGGAGUUUGCGGUCCAAGAGUAAACUCUCCAUGAGUUUACGGCCUAGGUUUUGCGGCCCUAGUGAGUUUACGGCCAUAAACUCAUUAUGAAUUCUACCAUUUUGAUGUCUAAGGUUCUUAGCUCAAGUUUGAAGUGUUCUAGCCCAAGUUCUAAGCCUUAGGAAGGAGUGGUGGCACAAAUGCACCACUUAUGAGUGUUUACGGCCCAAGGAGAUUGCCUUGGCCGUAAAGACCAUGUGUUCUUGAGUUUCUUGAUGUUUUCUAAAGGUUUAACAAGUGAUUUAAGCAUGUAGCUAGUUAAGAGUAGUGUACUUACUUAUAGGAAGCUUGUAAGGGUGUUUAAGGUCCAAGAACACUAGUGUGUGUUCUUGGUGAAAUGCAGAACACUUGAGAAUCUAUAAAAAUGAAAGGAUUUCAUGGAUGAAAUCAUGUAUAACGACUAGAUAUGGAAGGAUAUCAAGUUGAAAUGGAAAGAUUGCUUACACUUUUGAAGAUUUGAAGUAGAAGUCUUAUGAUCCUUGGGAGAGAAUAGGAGAAAAUCGGCCAAGGAAAGAAAGAAUGAAAGAAAUGACUAAGACUUAUAUAUAAGGGUGAGUUUACAGCCCACUUGGAGUUUAUGGCCGUAAACUCUAAGUGUUGUGGCCGUGAACUUAUGUUGGUGGUGUUUAAGUCUUAAAUGUUGUUCAAUGGUUCUAGCAGGUACUUCCUAACAUUCAUUCUUUGAAUGUAUUGAAGAUUAAAACACCCAAACGGACUCCAAAAGUGCUAAAAGUUAGCCGAAGCAAGCUUGACUUUGAUUGAAAUGUGGGGUUUGUACAAGAUAGAAAUUUCGGGUUGUCACAUCAUCCCCCCGUUCGAGAGAAUUUCGUCCCGAAAUUAGAUUUUAAGAGAUAACUAAGCGAAAAGAUGAGGAUAUUUCAAUUUCAUUAGAUCCUCGUGCUCCUAAGUGAAUCCAAGCCCUCGUUUGGUGUUCCAGCGAACCUUCACUAUUGGGAUGCGGCUUUGCUUCGUUUGCUUGACCACACGGUCCAUGAUUUCUACAGGUUCUUCCACAAAGUUGAGGCUCUCGUUGAUCUCGAUCUCGUCGAGUGGUAUUACAAGAGUCUCGUCGGAUAGGUACUUUUCAAGUUCGAGACGUAGAAAGUAGAAUGUACGUUGCUAAGUUCGCGGGGUACGUUGAGUUUGUAAGCUGCAGGGCCAAUUCUAGCAAAAAUCUCGAAAUGCCCUAUGUAUCUUGGAUUUUAGCUCUACACGCUUUCCGAAGCGUAUCAAGCCCUUCCCGGGUGAGACUUUCAAAAGAAGGGUUUUUCCCUCCUGGAAUUUUAAUGGUUUCAUUGUCUUGCCAGCGUAGCUUUUCUGUCGGUCUCUUAGAGGCUUUCAACCGUUCAUGAAUUUGAAUGAUCUUCUCUGUCGUUUUCCGAAAGACCUUCGGAGCAAAUACCACUGCCCCUAACUCCAGAUCGUGUGUUGUAUAGUUGGCUUCAAGUGUCUUAAGCUGGCGGGAGGUAUAGGCAAUGACCUUACCUCGUUUCCUCAGAACACAACCGAUCCCUUGAUUGGAUGCAUCUCAAUAGACCACGAAGUCUUCUAUUCCUCCUGGGAGGGAUAGUAUCGGUGCGGUGCAUAAGGCUCGCUUCAGCGUUUGGAACGCUCUCUCUUGCUUCUCUUCCCAAUCAGAAACCAUGUCCUUCUGGGUCAAAGUCGUAAGAGGUUUCGCAAUUUGAAGAGAAAUUCGGAAUGAACCUACGAUAGUAGCCAGCAGGGCUUAGAAAUUUGCGAAUUUCUGUAAGCGUCUUCGGUGCUGACCAGUUCUCAAUGGCUUUGAUUUUUGGAAGUGUCCACAUGAAUUCCCUCUUCACUAACAACAUGACCCAUGAAUUUGAGUCUUCGAAUUCAAAACUCGCAUUUAGAGAACUUUUCGUAGGGCUUCUCUGAUCGUAAACGUUCUGGGGGCGUGACAGUCUUUCACUUAUUCUUAUAGAGUAUCCUGAGAAAUUGAAAUUCAAACAAAGAAAAUCUCGACAAAUAAGACGUCAAUUAAAAUAUCUAGCUUCGUUUUCGAUCUAUCCAUAUGCACAUGCAAUCCUAUGCCAACAGCCAUUGAUACAAAGCAAUACCAAAUGGGGAUGAAACAAACACUUACGGCUUUCUCGUGAGCCCCAGGUUCGACAUGAAGUUGACGUCUAGAUUGCAAUUGCAAAACCUCCGCCGACUAAAUCAAAUAAAAAAUUAUUUUGAAACUAACGGUGUCAGGAGGGUGUAGGUAGUGAAGACUUCAAAGAGGCUGGCAGUUACGUUCAUUUGUUGGAGAUUGAAGAGGGUUUUUCACAAAAGGAAUAGAAAAACGUAUAUGAUGUCAAUUAAGUAACAAGCAUAACAUAUUUGUAUAACAUGUAUUUGGUUUUGUACCUGUUAAAUUUCAUGAAAAAAGUAUAAUAUGUUUUAUAUAAUAGUAAAGAUAAAGAUAUGACAAAUUUGGUCAUUUGUUGUAUAUAAAUCCCCAAUUCUUUAUAUGUUUUAUAUAAUAGUAAAGAUAUGACAAAGUUAGACACUUGUUAUAUAUAGAUCCCUAGUUCUUUAUAUAGUUCAUAAGAGUACAUUAUGUGUCAAUUUUGAAAUUUAGAGACUAAGGUUAACAAAUUAACAACUUUACAUUUCCUAAAAUAUGAGUUUAAAUCUAUAUAUAUAUAUAUAUAUAUACNAAAUAUGAGUUUAAAUUUAUAUAUAUGUAUUACACAAAUUAUACAACAAAAGUAUAAUAUAUAUAGAUAUAUUAUAUGUAAGGGAAUUGUUUAUAAAGUCCUAAAUAAAUACAUAUAGGUAUGUAGCAUGAAUAUACAACAUUAUACCACCAAAUUCAUUUUUUUUAAACUACCAAAUACAAAGAAUUUGACAGCCAAGUAACUUGCAAUUCUUUGACUGUCAAAUUGAAGACUGCUUGCACACAUCCUUUAACUAAUUAAACUAUCAAAUACAACCCACAAUCUAUACAAUUACAAUCAAAUAAAAAUCAUCUAAAGUGUUGCUUCAGUCACAUUUACCUUCUUCCCCACUCAACCCUCAAUCUAACACUCCACCCUUCUUCUCCUUCACUUCCCAGUCAAAAAUCAAGAAUAAAACAAUCUUCUUACACUUCAUCGAUUUCUGUCAAAACAAGAACAAAAGAGAAAAAAAAAUAAAAAAAAAAAAGAGAAAAACAACACAACAGCAACCGGAGUUGCUGCUGCCUCCCACAACACCACCACGGAAAAAAAAAUUAACAACCUAUGCCUUUGUUUCAUACCUUCCCUGCCAGACAAAUCUUCCCAUUCGUUUUUUUUUUCGGGAUCUGUUAGCCACUAUCGCAGCCCAUUUUUCGUUCUUCCGUUUCCUGUGAAAACAAUAAACCCAAACACCCCCUUGAUCGAUCAUUCUGCCAGUGUCAACAUCCUUUGGAUUGGAAGCCAAAUCAAAAAAAAAAAAAAAAAAAAAAAAAAAAAAAAAAAAAAAAAAAAAAAANAAAAAAAAAAAAAAAAAAAAAGAAGAUGAAUCAAGAGGAUUACCGUUUGCUGCUUUGUCCUUACCCUUCAAUCCAACUGUCUCCCAUUUCCAUCGCGUUUACUUCCAAUCGAACCAGAAGAAGAGCAGCCAAGAACAGCCACACCAAACCCUCGAUCUGAAAAUCCUUGAAUCUUUUUCCCCUUUCGUCCAUCGCACCAUUCUUCUUGUACGUCGAGCUCCACUGCCGAAAAACCCAGUGGUCGCUGAUUGCCCUUCGCACCUCGAUGCUGGAACCGAGCGAGCAGCCACGAAGCACCUCGCUGCACCCCCCCUCCGAGAUCAAAGUCGGCUCGCUGUUCCUCGCUUUCUCCCCUUCGGUCUCUUCAACCCCGAAGACACGCUUCUUCCUCGCUCAGCCCUCUUUCUGGCCAACGACGAGAAAGGAAACCAAAAGCCGCACCGCUGUCUUGGUGCUUUCCUUCGUGACUGCCAUCAUGUCCGGUUCGUUUCCUUGAUCGACCAACAAAUGAAAACGGGGGGAUAAAGCCCUAAUUCCUUUUACGUUGGACCAUUAAACACGGGAUGCAUUUAAACGCCCAAAGUCAUUUUUUUUAAAUUAGGAAAUGACCAAAACAUGUAUUCAAAAUCACUCUCAACCCCAAUUAUUGAACCCAUUUGUUUAAAACAACCCGUCAAUUUGUAUUUUUUUUUAUACCAAUAUAGCCCUAAUCAUUUAAUCAAAUUACCAAAAAGCCCCUGUACUUUAGUGAAGUUACAAAUCAGCCCCCAAUAGUUUAAAUUCGUUACGAAACGGUCCCGAGAGUAUUUAAAAAUUCAAGGAUUGUGGAUUUGCGGUUUCACAUGACAAGUUUCUCAAAAGAAACCGAAUUCGAACAAGAAGAACCCACGUUUCAAGGGUGAGUGCUUACGUCCCCUUUUAAAUAUUUUAACAAUUUACCAUAUUGUUACGAAUAAACUAGUAUAAAUUUUUCAUAUACGUAUUAUGGUUAUUUUAUCGUGAAAUAUCCAUUUCGUACAACAAAUACUACACGAUACAAAAUUAUAUAAUUUUUAUGGGACAUUGCAUAUUAUAACAAGUACGUUAUGAAACUUUGCAGUAUUUCAACGAUUCAAUCUAUUAUUAACAUGUUUAUUUAUAUGUUUAAGUACACCACGUUUAUACAUGUACAUAUGUUCAUUAAUUUGAAACAUUCAUUUUUAUAAAAGCGAGCACAUUACACUUUUACAUAUAUGUCAAACAUACUNAGUAAAUCUAAUUUAUAAAAUUGUUAUUUAAAAAUUUAACAUAUUGUUACAAAUAACUAGUAUAAACUAUUCGUAAACAUAUUAUGGAAUUUUUAUCGUGAAAUAACUAGUCUACACGAUAAAUGUUACAUGAUACAAAAAUAUAUAAUUUUUAUGUGACAUUGUAUAUUAUGUCAAGCACGUUAUAACACUUUUUAGUAUUUCAAGGAUUCAAGCUAGUACUAUUCAUGUAUAUUUAUAUGUUUAAACGCAUAAAGUUUAUACAUGUACGUAUGUUCAUUACUUUGAAACAUACAUCUUUAUAAAAGCAAGUACAUUACACUUUUACAUACAUACCAAGUAUACUCGGCUUUUAUAAACUUAAUACAAUGAAAUUCAUUAUGCCUAGUGACCAAUUAAGUUAGGGCUGCGAGUUAUUCACAAACUUUUUAGUUAAGCCUUUUUAGUGAGACGUUAAUCAUUAGCUGAGUCUAAACACUUAGCAUACCCAUACUACUGUAAUUGUUAAUCUUCAGAGCGAUAUAUAUAUAUAUANNNNNNNNNNNNNNNNNNNNNNNNNNNNNNNNNNNNNNNNNUAUAUAUAUAUAUAUAGAUAUAUACGGGGUUGACAUCCCCACCUGCGGUUGCUAGCUACAACCUCGACCGAUCAAUCGAAGCGGGUGAUAAGUGUCGACGAUUGUUAUUGCAACGUCCAAUGAAGCGUUGUAGGGGGUACACUCAGUCACAUAGCUCGGUUAUAUAGGGCUUACUAUAAACAUUAACUAGAAUAUCUCUCUUUCUUUCACUACCAACCAUGGGCUUGGUUGCUUUCAAAACCAUUGUAAGUAUGGAAUUACUUAUGUAACAUAACAAUUUGGUUUUAAAGGAUAUUCAAAGGUUCAUUACAAACACGGUUUAAAGUAUGGAUUUACAUAUACAAAAAUACAUUUUUUCUUUUAAAGACUCAUUACAAACAUUGUUUUAAAUAUUGAUAUAAAUACAAAAGAAAAUACUUUUUAGACUUAUUAAAAGUAUUACUGUUGUUAGCAAAAAACAUGUAAUACUCACCAGCCUUGUGUUAACCCUCAAAACUACAUGUAUUCUCAGGAAAUCACUAAACAAAUAUUCAAUACAGACUAGAUUGACCUUGUUUACUUGCUGCUGUAUUAUAUGCCUAUCUGUUAAGGCAAUUCAUGUAUUAUUGUUAUUUAUAAAAAUCUUGUAUUUAAAUAUCUAGAUGGAACACGAAUGCUAUAUUGUUUAUUAUUGUACUUAUGCUAUAUAAUUAGUUUACCUGUGAUACAUCAACUUAGUCGCACAGCCCGAUGUGUUCUGCCGCCUUGACCUGGGGUGUGACAGAUUGUAUCAUAGCUAAAUUGGCUAUAGAGAACUCGUAUCCUCGAAAGAGAAAUACAACUAUAGAAACUAGAUUCUAAUAAAAGUAUUAUUAAUAUUAAUUACACUACUUCUUGGCUACUUACGGUACGGGGAAUCUGGUUUGGAGGGCGACAUAUGGUUGCUGGGUUUCAGAACGAAUUAAUAAUAAAAUGGUCCUGCCCUCCAGUGUUUCCUGUAUAGCGCUCUUCUGUAGUUGGUAGUCUUAGAGUACAAAAAAAAAAUUUAAUAAUAUUACAAACCCCACCACAAUAGUAUAUAAGACUUAUAUAUACUCUGGCCCAUGAUGAGAACACAUCAAUAAAACUCUAACAUACCUCCAACUAAAACUACCAACUCAACCCUUUAGGUCAAACGCCUCAGUUAAGGUUAGUAUUGUACAUAAGUCAUACCAUAAAUAAACCUGGAACGUACGUGUAUGUUAUUUAUGGUCAGGUCGGGGAUCAACCAACCUUGAGCAAGGAGUUUGACAGACUACAAUGGUUGAAAGUUCUAGAGAUUGAAGGAUGUUCUCAAGAUUCGCUGCAGAAACCUAGUACCUUAGCAACCUUAUAUCAACCCCAAAACAACAUAUACAUUUUAAAAAUACUUAAAAAUCUAGGAUAAUGUUCAAAUUUUCCUAGUUCGCAUAAACCCAAAGAAGAACAAAGAAUUAAUAUCUCUGCUACCGUCGUAGCAAAGAAACCCAUAGUUCCUAAUCGAUCAUUCAGUAGUGUCCAAACUCUCUCUAUCAUUUGAAAUUGAUAGGAUUUUAGUUCUCUCUCCGUAAGUUGGAAAUUUGUAGGAUUUUUAGAAUCGAUUACUCUCUAUAAUUUGGAAAUCUGUAGGAUUUCUAGAAUCAAUCACUCUCUACACCUCCUGAUUUACUGACCUCGCUAACCUUAGGCCAUGAAUGGUGAACUCGGAAUAAAAGGAGACAAAAAAUUACAUCGGAGUAUUAGCAUCACCAGUUCAAGGUAUGGUUACUGCGUCCAGACCCACUACCUUCGAUGGUGCUAAGCAAUUGUCCUAUCAAUUGACUGAGCAUUGUAUCCGUCAGGGUACCAUAACCCCACAAAACCGAAAAGAACUAGACGAGAAGUACAAAGAGGAAGUUCCGUGGAAACUCAAAUGGGAACUCCAAGAAUCACAAAACCAAUCCAAAAAUUAUGUUUGUGUACUCCGUAAUCACAAACACUUCACUCCAACAAAGCCCUACUCUGAGAAUUUACCCCUACUAUACCAAGUGAAUUUUCCACCAUGUCGGAAAUUGUAUGGUCUGCAACAUCUGUAACUUAAGAGGUCACACCUUAGGUACCGCAGAAAGGCCCAAACAAAAAAAAAACUUCAACCACCAUUACAGGAGGAAACCGAAAUUGCUUCGAAUACAAUCAACAAGGGCAUUUCCAGAAGGACUCCCCGAAACAGAAGAAUCUAGGUGACAAAGGAAGAACAUUUGUGAUAGGUGUUGGUGAUCAUCUCUAGGAACCAACUGUGGUUAAACCAAGACAUGUGACUGGUAGUUUACAAGUCAAUUGCACAUUGACAUAUGUACACGCACCAGUAACUUAGUGUUAUAAAACAUAUUGUUGUGUGUGAUUUGAUGAGUAAGUACAAGCAAGCAUUUGAGUCGAAGUUUAUGUAUUCCUUUUACCCAAUGUGGAAUAAAAGGGAUAUAUGUGGGCCCCUAGAUAAUUUAGUGAUGACAACCCUAAGCGCUUGUCCAAGCCUGGACUAAUUUGAUUUGCUCAAUUAGUCGGUUGUUAUUAAUUGGAAAUCGGGAAACAACAAAUGAAUAGAAAGAAUUAUUAUAAUCCAUGUCUCAAUUCAUUCGAUAUCUAGAAUGGAGGAAUAUAUGAUCCCUUAUCUAAUAGACACAUCAUUUAACUAGGUCAGACUUCGACAAUGGCUUUUGAGAGCUACGAUUGCUAGUCGGGAUUUUGGAGUCGUACUUGCAAUAAUAGUUAUUAGACUUACCCAAGUGGGAGACUAUUUGAUUAAGUGUCUAAGCCCAUAACUAUAAUUGGAAUGUACUUACCCGAGUGUAGCAUGGUCCGUUUGGGUUGCCUUCACCAGAACAAUCUAAUAGGAUGCAUAUUUGAGAAAGAGGCUAUUAUGAUUUACUAAUAUAUUAUAAGUAUAAUAUAUUAAUUGAGAAAUCAUAAUAUUUAAUUAGUAUUGAUCAAGAAUUAAUUUGGAAUUAAUUGUGUGAUCAAAAGAGACUAAUUAAAUUAAUGGGGACUAAUUAUGUAAAUCAGCGAUAUAUAUAUCGUUUGGGCUAUUGAUCCAUGAUGGGCUAAGUUUAUGUAAGUAUCCAUGAAGAGUUAGCCAACAUGAGAAAUGGAUCAUAACCCAAAUGUAUAGAUUAGGGUUUACCCAUGACUCUUGGAAUCCUACAAUUUAUAUAUGUGUUGUCCCUUAGCUAAAAUCGGCCCNNNNNNNNNNNNNNNNNNNNNNNNNNNNNNNNNNNNNNNNNNNNNNNNNNNNNNNNNNNNNNNNNNACACCUAACGCCUUGUUCCCGAGUUCUACUUAAGGAGGGAAAUGGGAUGAUACGGAGGGAAAGUGAGGGGUGUCGAAGGAAAAUCGUGUUCCCGAGUUUCAUUGAUGGAGGGAAAGUGAGGGGAGGGGAAGGAUUUUGGAGUCAUAUUUUCCUUCCAAAUUUUCCUCUCAAAUUGGGCGGAUUUGGGAAGAAAGUGAGGGGAAGGAAAAUUUUAUGUUUUAUUUUCUUUUUCCUCCUAACUCGGGAACACAAAAACUUAAAGUUUUCCUUCAAUUUCCUUUCAUUUCGUUCGAACUCGGGAAUACGGAAUAAUGAAUAUUUUCCUUCACCUCCCUUUCUUUCCGUCAAAAUUUUCCUUCCCUUUCUUUUAAUGAAUUUACAAAAAAACUCGGGAACAAGGCGUAAGAGCUCUAGGAAAAGAGAAAUUGCUUUUGGAGUGUCCAAGGCUCUCUCUCAAAGUCCUCCUUUGUUCAUGGUGUCUGUGAACCAUUUGAGGCAUCACACUUGACGUGCUAAGCUCUUCAAAGGCCAAAACUACAAGCUACAAUAAAAAGGUAUUCUUCUAACUUGAUUUUAUGAUUCAUGUACCAAUAUUGCAACUAUAUUAGGCAAGUAUUCGACUCGAUUGUGCAUAGUCCUUUUGGGUUGCCUUCACCAUAGCAACUUGAUAGGAUGAUUUAUUAUGAGAGAAUAAAUAUUAUUAAUAUAUAAUGAGAAUAAUAUAAGGAAUAAUAAUAUUGUUAUUUGAUUAAUAUAAGUCAUAGAAUUAAUUAGAAUUAAUUUGGUGACUUAAAGAGAUUAAUUAAAUAAGAGGGUAUAAACUGUCAAUUGUUUGAUAGUUACACUUUAGAUUGUAAAUCCUUAAGGGAUAAGGAAUGGACGGAUUCUAGGGCUUAAGAUAGCUCAAAAUCGUCCAAGGCUUAUCUAAGGUAAGGAUUUGGAUUGCUUUAAGGAAAGAUUAUCCAACUAGGGUUUAAGGUGAAACCCUUUAGGAGUCUACAAGUAUAAAUAGACCCCAUGACCAAGGGAAAUCGGCAUCUCAUCUAAAGUAGAGAACCCCUGGCCGAUUUCCUCCUAGCCUCUCUCUCAAAUCAUCCUCUUUGCUAUUUGGUGUUUGUAAGCCAUUAGAGGAGUGACAAUUGUGACUCUAGAGCUCCAAGACAACAAGAUCAAACAAGAGAAUCAAAGGUAAACUUCUAAAUCUGAUUUUGUAUUGUUCUUAUACCUAAUUAGUUAUUAGAAGUCUUGGAUUCAAAGCAUGUUUAAUUAGAAAGCCUAGAUCCAAGCAUUAGGGUUUUGCAUGCGCACAUAGGAAAGUUCUUAUGGCUAAAACCCAUCAGGUUGUAGGCUUCAUGCUUUUGAAAUCAUAUUGCAUGUAUAAUUAGAGAAAACAUAGAUCCAAAGUAUUUAUGGUUGCAUGUGCACCAUAGGAGUGUUAUAGUGCUUAAAACCAACACAAACUUCUCUCUCUAUCAUUUGAAAUCGGUAGGAUUUCAAUUCUCUCUCCAUAAUUUGGAAAUCUUUAGGAUUUUUAGAAUCGAUUACUCUCUAUAAUUUGGAAAUCUAUAGGAUUUAUAGAAUCAAUCACUUUCUAUAAUUUAGAACCUUACCAUGAAAAGAUCGGAGGUGACUGCUUACACCUCCCGAUUUAACGACCUCGCAACGCUUAUCCCAUGAAUGGUGAACCUGGAAUAAAAGGAGACGAAAAGCUACAUCUGAGUAUUAGGAUCACCAGUUCAUGGUCCAGUUUUCGUGUCUAAACCCGCUACCUUCAAUAGUCUUAAGCAAUUGUCAUAUCAAUUAACUGAGCAUUGUAUCCGUCAGGUUACCAUAACCCCACAAACCAAAAAGAACCUGACGAGGGGUCCAAAGAGGAAGUUCCAUGGAAACUCAAUUGGGAACUCCGUGAAUCACAAAACCAAUCCAAAAAUUGUGGUUUUGUACUCCUUAAUCACAAACACUCGCCUCCAUCAAAGCCCUACUCUAGGAGUUUACCCCUAGUAUACAAAGUCCAAUUUCCACGAUGUCAGAAAUUGCAUGGUCUACAACAUCUAUAACUUAAGAGGUCACACAUUUAGGUACUGGAAAAAGGCCUGAACAAAAAAAAAACUUCAACCACCCUUGCAGGAGGAAACCGAAAUUGCUUCGAAUACAAUUAACAAGGGCAUUUCAAGAGGGACUCCCCGAAACAGAAGAAUCAGGGUGGCAAAGGAAGAGCAUUUGCGAUAGGUUUUGGAGAUGAUCUCUUGGAACCAACUGUGGUUACUAAUAUGUUUCCCAUCAACAAUAUUUAUGCUUCCUUAUUAUUUGAUACUCGUGCCGAUAGAAUCUUUAUUUUUCCAUAAGUUAGAAGCUUGAUUAACCAUAAAUCAUGCAAACUUAACAAAACUUGCACUAUAGAAGUAGCAAACGAAUAGUUAGAAAGCACCUUAUAUGAUCAUCAGAAUGGAUUGGUUAUCACUUCAUCACGCAAAGAUCUUAUGUUACAAAAAAAUCAUUCGACUACCUUUACCAAACAAGAAAGCCCUCAUACUUAUAGAUGAAAACCAGGAAAGAACCUAGGAGUCAUCACUUGCAUGAAUUCAAGGAAGCAUUGCAGAAGAGAUGCUUCACUUUCUUGACCCACGUGAUGGAUAGGAAAGACAAGGGUGAGGAAAUCAAAGACAUACCGCAAAUGUGCGAUUACUCGGACGUAUUUCCAAAAUAUCUAACUAGAGUACCUCCAGUCAGAUAGGUCGAAUUCCGAAUCAACCUAAUCCCAUUUGCAACACCAAUGGAAAGAUCUCUUUAUCGUCUAGCUCCAUCGGUAAUGCAAGAACUAUCCAAUGAACUUCAAGAACUUCUUGACAAAGGGUCUAUCCGUUCAAGCUUCUCUCCAUAAGGAGCUCCAUUAUUGUUUUUCAAAAAGAAGGAUGGAUCAUUUAUGACGUGCAUCGACUAUCGAGAGUUGAAGAAACUCGCCAUCAAAAACUGAUAUCCACUUCCGAGGAUCGAUGACCUGUUCGAACAACAACAAGGAUCCUGUUACUACUCACAUAUCCAUCUAAGAUCCGGCUAUCAUCAACUCGGAUUUCAAGAAGCAUACAUUCAAAGGAAGACAUCCGCAACUUGGUAUGGUCACUAUGAGUUUCUGGUUUUCCCAUUUUGACUGACCAACGACGCUAACCGAAUUAUGCAAAUUCUUAGGGCUUGUAGGUUAUUAUCAAAAAUUCAUCGAGAAACUCUACAAAAUAGCCAAGCCUCUCACCGAUUUAACCCAAAAACACAAAAAGUUCAAUUAGGGAUACAGUCAAGAAUCUACCUUCCGAAAAUUGAAGCAAUUCUUGAGCAGUGCACCAAUUUUGUCUCUCCAAGAAGGAACAUAAGACUGUGUAGUAUUCUAUCACGCCUCACACCAAGGGUUAUGAUGUGUAGUGAUGUAAAAAAUAAACCAUUGCAUAUACAUCCACACAACUUAAGCCAAACAAGACCAACUACACUAUCCAUGACUUAGAGUUAAGAGGUAUAGUGUUUGCCUUUAAGAUUUGGAGACACUACCUAUACAAGACGAAGUGUGUUGUGUCCACCAACUACAAAAGCCUUCAACACAUCUACGACAAGAAGGAGCUCAACAUGAGACAAUAAAGGUGGGUAGAAUUACUAAAUGACUACAAAUGCAAAAUUUGUUAUCAUACUGGAAAAGCAAAUGUCAUGACAGAUGAUUUAACUAGGAAAUAGCAAGUAAAGCCACUUUGUGAUAAAAGCCUUAACCAUAACCACCCACUCCAAUCUCACCAUCCAAAUUCAAGAUACUCAACCAGAAGCACUCAAAACCCGAGAAUAUCGUAGAAGAAAACCUAUGAGGUAUGGACAAACGAUUCGACCUCAAGGGAGACGGAACAUGAUAUUUCACGAAUCAAAUUUGGACCCUAAGGUUUGAUGAAGCCAAGAGUCUAGUUUCAAAUGAAGCUCAUAAGUCAAGAUAUUCGAUACAACCUGGAUUAGACAAGAUGUAUCUUGAUCUUAAGAAGCUUUAUUGGUGGCCUAACAUGUCACAACUAGAAAUUUUGUGUCUUGUAAUCACUACACUCAAGUAAAAUGUAGAAUCAAAAACUCAAAGAGCAUGUAUGAUGCUUACUCUAGGACAACAGAAUUUCAAUCAAAUACACCAUACAAGUGCUACAAAUAGUCAAUAAGCAAUUGGAAACCCUAGAAGUUCUUGUUUAGGUCCAUUUUGGACUAGGACUUCCUUAUUGGACUCAAUAGGCCAAUAAGCUUCCAAUCUGACUAUCAUGGGAUUAGAACCUUUAAAUGGGCUCUAAUUGGACCCACGUUUAUUUAUUUCAACAUUUUGGGCCAUAUUGGGCCUAGAAUGAAAUAAAUUAAAUAUUAUGAAUCAUAAUUAACUCAAACUAGCCCAACAAAGUGUAAAAAUCAUAUUAUAUUUUUAUUAGGGCCAAAAAUUAUCCAACUUAACUCCUAUAUGGGCUUAGGGGCAAUAAAGCCCAAAAAUCCUUUCUUCCUUCCAAAUUCUCGGCCCAAAGCCCAAACCCAAGAAGAAAGGAGUUGACUUAAUACAUGCCACCUCAUUUAUGUCCACCAUACUUCCAUGCAUGGACCAACAUGCAUCUAGAAAUGUCAACUCAACCCUUUCUCUUCUCUCCUUCUUGAUUCUCGGCCGAUUCCAACACACACACACACACUUUCAUCACUUUUCACAUAUCAAACACUCUCAAAAACACCUUCACCUCUCUUCUCAAAAUUUCGAAGAAUCAAGGGCAUUCAAGGAGAUUUUCCACAAAAAUCACCAUCCAAGGUAAGGUUAUACUUAAUUCUAUGAUCUAGGUUCCUUGAUCUAUCUAAAAUCUCUUCUUAACUCUCAUGAAAUCAUAAACUUGUGUCUUAGAACCCCUCAAACUCGAGAUCUUCAAGAAAAGGGUGCUAAGGCCAAAAAUCACUUCAUUUCUUCCAUCUUUUCUCCAAAAACCGAAACCACACCCUAAGGUGAGCUUCAUACUCCCUAUUUUUCUGUUUUAUAAGUUUUGUGGGGGGGGGGGGAAUACAAGUGAAAGUGUAGAUCUNNNNNNNNNNNNNNNNNNNNNNNNNNNNNNNNNNNNNNNNNNNNNNNNNNNNNNNNNNNNNNNNNNNNNNNNNNNNNNNNNNNNNNNNNNNNNNNNNNNNNNNNNNNNNNNNNNNNNNNNNNNNNNNNNNNNNNNNNNNNNNNNNNNNNNNNNNNNNNNNNNNNNNNNNNNNNNNNNNNNNNNNNNNNNNNNNNNNNNNNNNNNNNNNNNNNNNNNNNNNNNNNNNNNNNNNNNNNNNNNNNNNNNNNNNNNNNNNNNNNNNNNNNNNNNNNNNNNNNNNNNNNNNNNNNNNNNNNNNNNNNNNNNNNNNNNNNNNNNNNNNNNNNNNNNNNNNNNNNNNNNNNNNNNNNNNNNNNNNNNNNNNNNNNNNNNNNNNNNNNNNNNNNNNNNNNNNNNNNNNNNNNNNNNNNNNNNNNNNNNNNNNNNNNNNNNNNNNNNNNNNNNNNNNNNNNNNNNNNNNNNNNNNNNNNNNNNNNNNNNNNNNNNNNNNNNNNNNNNNNNNNNNNNNNNNNNNNNNNNNNNNNNNNNNNNNNNNNNNNNNNNNNNNNNNNNNNNNNNNNNNNNNNNNNNNNNNNNNNNNNNNNNNNNNNNNNNNNNNNNNNNNNNNNNNNNNNNNNNNNNNNNNNNNNNNNNNNNNNNNNNNNNNNNNNNNNNNNNNNNNNNNNNNNNNNNNNNNNNNNNNNNNNNNNNNNNNNNNNNNNNNNNNNNNNNNNNNNNNNNNNNNNNNNNNNNNNNNNNNNNNNNNNNNNNNNNNNNNNNNNNNNNNNNNNNNNNNNNNNNNNNNNNNNNNNNNNNNNNNNNNNNNNNNNNNNNNNNNNNNNNNNNNNNNNNNNNNNNNNNNNNNNNNNNNNNNNNNNNNNNNNNNNNNNNNNNNNNNNNNNNNNNNNNNNNNNNNNNNNNNNNNNNNNNNNNNNNNNNNNNNNNNNNNNNNNNNNNNNNNNNNNNNNNNNNNNNNNNNNNNNNNNNNNNNNNNNNNNNNNNNNNNNNNNNNNNNNNNNNNNNNNNNNNNNNNNNNNNNNNNNNNNNNNNNNNNNNNNNNNNNNNNNNNNNNNNNNNNNNNNNNNNNNNNNNNNNNNNNNNNNNNNNNNNNNNNNNNNNNNNNNNNNNNNNNNNNNNNNNNNNNNNNNNNNNNNNNNNNNNNNNNNNNNNNNNNNNNNNNNNNNNNNNNNNNNNNNNNNNNNNNNNNNNNNNNNNNNNNNNNNNNNNNNNNNNNNNNNNNNNNNNNNNNNNNNNNNNNNNNNNNNNNNNNNNNNNNNNNNNNNNNNNNNNNNNNNNNNNNNNNNNNNNNNNNNNNNNNNNNNNNNNNNNNNNNNNNNNNNNNNNNNNNNNNNNNNNNNNNNNNNNNNNNNNNNNNNNNNNNNNNNNNNNNNNNNNNNNNNNNNNNNNNNNNNNNNNNNNNNNNNNNNNNNNNNNNNNNNNNNNNNNNNNNNNNNNNNNNNNNNNNNNNNNNNNNNNNNNNNNNNNNNNNNNNNNNNNNNNNNNNNNNNNNNNNNNNNNNNNNNNNNNNNNNNNNNNNNNNNNNNNNNNNNNNNNNNNNNNNNNNNNNNNNNNNNNNNNNNNNNNNNNNNNNNNNNNNNNNNNNNNNNNNNNNNNNNNNNNNNNNNNNNNNNNNNNNNNNNNNNNNNNNNNNNNNNNNNNNNNNNNNNNNNNNNNNNNNNNNNNNNNNNNNNNNNNNNNNNNNNNNNNNNNNNNNNNNNNNNNNNNNNNNNNNNNNNNNNNNNNNNNNNNNNNNNNNNNNNNNNNNNNNNNNNNNNNNNNNNNNNNNNNNNNNNNNNNNNNNNNNNNNNNNNNNNNNNNNNNNNNNNNNNNNNNNNNNNNNNNNNNNNNNNNNNNNNNNNNNNNNNNNNNNNNNNNNNNNNNNNNNNNNNNNNNNNNNNNNNNNNNNNNNNNNNNNNNNNNNNNNNNNNNNNNNNNNNNNNNNNNNNNNNNNNNNNNNNNNNNNNNNNNNNNNNNNNNNNNNNNNNNNNNNNNNNNNNNNNNNNNNNNNNNNNNNNNNNNNNNNNNNNNNNNNNNNNNNNNNNNNNNNNNNNNNNNNNNNNNNNNNNNNNNNNNNNNNNNNNNNNNNNNNNNNNNNNNNNNNNNNNNNNNNNNNNNNNNNNNNNNNNNNNNNNNNNNNNNNNNNNNNNNNNNNNNNNNNNNNNNNNNNNNNNNNNNNNNNNNNNNNNNNNNNNNNNNNNNNNNNNNNNNNNNNNNNNNNNNNNNNNNNNNNNNNNNNNNNNNNNNNNNNNNNNNNNNNNNNNNNNNNNNNNNNNNNNNNNNNNNNNNNNNNNNNNNNNNNNNNNNNNNNNNNNNNNNNNNNNNNNNNNNNNNNNNNNNNNNNNNNNNNNNNNNNNNNNNNNNNNNNNNNNNNNNNNNNNNNNNNNNNNNNNNNNNNNNNNNNNNNNNNNNNNNNNNNNNNNNNNNNNNNNNNNNNNNNNNNNNNNNNNNNNNNNNNNNNNNNNNNNNNNNNNNNNNNNNNNNNNNNNNNNNNNNNNNNNNNNNNNNNNNNNNNNNNNNNNNNNNNNNNNNNNNNNNNNNNNNNNNNNNNNNNNNNNNNNNNNNNNNNNNNNNNNNNNNNNNNNNNNNNNNNNNNNNNNNNNNNNNNNNNNNNNNNNNNNNNNNNNNNNNNNNNNNNNNNNNNNNNNNNNNNNNNNNNNNNNNNNNNNNNNNNNNNNNNNNNNNNNNNNNNNNNNNNNNNNNNNNNNNNNNNNNNNNNNNNNNNNNNNNNNNNNNNNNNNNNNNNNNNNNNNNNNNNNNNNNNNNNNNNNNNNNNNNNNNNNNNNNNNNNNNNNNNNNNNNNNNNNNNNNNNNNNNNNNNNNNNNNNNNNNNNNNNNNNNNNNNNNNNNNNNNNNNNNNNNNNNNNNNNNNNNNNNNNNNNNNNNNNNNNNNNNNNNNNNNNNNNNNNNNNNNNNNNNNNNNNNNNNNNNNNNNNNNNNNNNNNNNNNNNNNNNNNNNNNNNNNNNNNNNNNNNNNNNNNNNNNNNNNNNNNNNNNNNNNNNNNNNNNNNNNNNNNNNNNNNNNNNNNNNNNNNNNNNNNNNNNNNNNNNNNNNNNNNNNNNNNNNNNNNNNNNNNNNNNNNNNNNNNNNNNNNNNNNNNNNNNNNNNNNNNNNNNNNNNNNNNNNNNNNNNNNNNNNNNNNNNNNNNNNNNNNNNNNNNNNNNNNNNNNNNNNNNNNNNNNNNNNNNNNNNNNNNNNNNNNNNNNNNNNNNNNNNNNNNNNNNNNNNNNNNNNNNNNNNNNNNNNNNNNNNNNNNNNNNNNNNNNNNNNNNNNNNNNNNNNNNNNNNNNNNNNNNNNNNNNNNNNNNNNNNNNNNNNNNNNNNNNNNNNNNNNNNNNNNNNNNNNCAAGGAAGAGGUUAACGUUCAAGACAUUCCCGUAGCAUGUGAGUUCCCAGACGUGUUUCCUGAAGAUCUUCCAGGAGUACCCCCGGAGAGACAAGUGGAAUUUCGAAUCGACCUCGUUCCAGGAGCAACUCCUCUCGCUAAAUCACCCUAUCGGUUAGCUCCUGCUGAGAUGCAGGAAUUAUCCAGCCAACUCAGCGAACUCUUGGACAAGGGAUUCAUCCGCCCUAGUUACUCGCCAUGGGGAGCUCCAGUCCUCUUUGUCAAAAAGAAGGACGGAUCUUUUAGAAUGUGCAUCGAUUACAGAGAGUUAAAUAAACUCACUGUUAAAAAUCGCUACCCACUCCCACGAAUCGAUGAUCUAUUUGACCAGCUCCAAGGAGCUAGUUAUUUUUCUAAGAUAGAUCUACGGUCCGGAUACCACCAACUCAAAGUCCCGGAAGAGGAUGUUCCAAAAACCGCUUUCCGAGCUCGCUACAGACAUUAUGAAUUUGUCGUAAUGCCCUUCGGUCUGACAAAUGCCCCUGCUGCAUUUAUGGAUCUAAUGAACCGAAUCUGUCGACCAUUCCUCGAAAACUUUGUCAUUGUUUUCAUCAACGACAUCCUCGUCUAUUCCCGAAGCGAAGAAGAGCAUGGCCAACAUCUCCGACAAAUCCUAGAAACGCUGCGAUCGGAAAAGCUAUACGCAAAACUCUCCAAGUGUGAGUUCUGGCUCCGGAGUGUGAACUUCCUAGGUCAUGUAGUUAGCCAAGAUGGAAUUCAUGUGGAUCCCUCUAAGGUCAAAGCUGUUGAAGGAUGGGCAAUCCCGACAACACCCACGGAAAUCCGUCAAUUCUUGGGUCUAGCAGGCUACUAUAGGAGAUUCAUUCAAAACUUCUCUAAGAUCGCCAAACCACUUACCUCGCUUACACAAAAGGGCGUACCAUUCAAAUGGACGGACAAACAAGAAGUCGCAUUCCGAACCCUGAAACAAGCUCUCUGUAGUGCCCCGGUACUAUCACUACCGGAGGGAACGGAAGAUUUCGUGGUCUACUGUGACGCGUCAAAUCAGGGCUUAGGUUGCGUUCUCAUGCAGCGUGGAAGGGUGAUAGCUUACGCAUCCCGCCAACUAAAGACGCACGAAGUGAAUUAUACGACCCAUGACCUAGAAUUGGGAGCCGUGGUCUUUGCCCUAAAAAUUUGGAGGCAUUACCUUUACGGUACGAAGUGCACCAUCUUCACGGACCACAAGAGUCUCCAGCACAUCUUGAACCAGAAGGAGUUGAACAUGAGGCAACGAAGAUGGGUUGAAUUACUAAACGAUUACGAGUGUGAGAUCAAGUACCACCCAGGCAAGGCCAACGUGGUAGCUGACGCAUUAAGUCGGAAGGAGUACUCUAAUCGUCGUACGAAAACUCUCUCAAUAACCAUUCAAUCUCACCUAGCCACUCAAAUUGCAGUAGCCCAGUCAGAGGCCAUGAAGACGGAAAAUAGAGCAAGCGAAGCAUUGCGCGGAAUGGAGAAGAACCUAGAAGCAAAGGAGAAUGGAGUAUACUAUUUCAUGAACCGUAUUUGGGUCCCUAAACUCGGAGGAUUUAGGGAGGUAGUUAUGAAGGAAGCCCAUAAGACGCGAUACUCCGUUCAUCCCGGCUCAGACAAGAUGUAUUUGGAUAUUAAACAACACUAUUGGUGGCCUAACAUGAAGGCGGAAAUUGCCACCUAUGUUAGUAAGUGCCUUACGUGUGCCAAGGUAAAGGUGGAGUACCAGAAGCCCUCAGGGUUAUUACAGCAACCGGUAAUCCCUGAGUGGAAAUGGGAGGGGAUUUCUAUGGAUUUCGUGACCAAGCUACCCAAGACGUCGGAUGGACUAGACACCAUAUGGGUAAUAGUCGACCGACUGACGAAAUCUGCCCAUUUCCUGCCCAUAAAGGAAUCCUACAAGAUGGAAAGAUUGACACGUUUAUACAUUCGAGAAAUCGUGAGACUCCACGGAGUACCAGUGUCUAUUAUCUCGGAUAGGGACAGUAGGUUCACUUCACGUUUUUGGCAAUCUCUCCAGAAGGCACUGGGAACUCAUCUCGACAUGAGCACCGCUUAUCAUCCACAAACGGAUGGUCAAAGUGAACGAACCAUUCAAACGCUCGAAGACAUGCUCCGCGCAUGUGUGAUAGACUUUGGGAAGUCUUGGGAUACCCACUUACCCUUAGUCGAAUUCUCAUAUAACAACAGUUACCAUUCGAGCAUCAAGGUCGCUCCUUUCGAAGCACUAUACGGGCGUAAGUGUAGAUCACCGUUAUGUUGGGCUGAGGUGGGUGAUACCCAACUAGCAAAAACACAUACAUCGGACAAGGCACUAACGGGACCGGAGAUCAUUCGUGAAACCACGGAAAAGAUUGUUCAAAUCAGAGCUCGAUUACAAGCAUCGCGCGACCGACAAAAGAGCUACGCCGAUAAACGGCGAAAGCCCUUAGAAUUUCAGGUCGGGGAUCGAGUACUGUUGAAAGUCUCACCCUGGAAAGGAGUUAUUCGUUUCGGAAAACGGGGAAAACUGAACCCACGAUACAUUGGACCUUUCGAGAUCGUCGCCCGAAUAGGUCCAGUGGCGUAUAAACUGCAACUACCCGCAGAGCUAAACAGUGUACACCCCGUGUUCCAUGUCUCUAAUCUAAAGAAGUGUCUAUCGGAUGAAACACUCGUCAUUCCCCUUGACGAGAUCGAAAUCAACGAGAAUCUCCUGUUCGUUGAAGAACCGGUUGAAAUCAUGGACAGGGAGGUGAAGCGUACUAAGCAAAGUCGCAUCCCGAUCGUGAAAGUACGGUGGAACGCGAAGCGUGGGCCAGAAUUCACGUGGGAACGCGAAGACCAAAUGAAGCAAAAGUACCCUCACCUAUUCUAGCAUUCUCAAAUCUAGCUUUCAAACAGAAUUUCGGGACGAAAUUCCCUCUAACGGGGGGAUGAUGUCACAACUAGAAAUUUUGUGUCUUGUAAUCACUACACUCAAGUAAAAUGUAGAAUCAAAAACUUAAGAGCAUGUAUGAUGCUUACUCUAUGACAACAAAACUUCAAUCCAAUACACCAUACAAGUACUACAAAUAGUCAACAAGCAAUUGGAAACCCUAGAAGUUCUUGUUAGGUCCAUUUUGGGCUAGGACUUCCUUAUUGGACUCAAUGGACCAAUAAGCUUCCAAUUUGACUAUCAUGGGAUUAGAACCUUUAAAUGGGCUCUAAUUGGACCCACAUUCAUUUAUUUCAACAUUUUGGGCCAUAUUGGGCCUAGAAUGAAAUAAAUUAAAUAUUAUGAACCAUAAUUAACCUAAACUAGCCCAACAAAGUAUAAAAAUCACACUUAUAUUUUAUAGGACCAACAAUCAUUCAACUUAACUCCUAUAUGGGCUUAGGGGCAAUAAAGCCCAAAAAUCUCUUCUCCCCUCUCCAAUCUCGGCCCAAGCCCAAAGAAAAGGAAGAGUUGACCUUUGUUGCCACCUCACAAUUAUUCAAGGGUCUUCCAUGCAUCUUGUCCCAUAUAUCCAUGCAUACAUCACUUCAAGAUCUUUCUUCUUCUCCCUCUCUCUCAUUCUCGGCCGAACACACACACAUACACUCACAAAAAUUCAUUUCAUCCUCUCUAAGUUUUGAAGAACAUCUCCUCCCUCCUUCUUCUAAAUUUUCGAGAUUUAAGGUCAUUCCAAGGAGAUUUUUCACAAGGACUACCAUCCAAGGUAAGUUUAUACUUAAAUCUAUGAUCUAGGUUCCUUGAUUUAUCAAACAUCUCAUCUUAACUCAUAAAAAUUUAUGGUCUAACUCCCUAGAACCAUCUAAGUCCGAAAAUCUCCUCAAGAAGUUGCUAGGGCCGAAAACAACAUCAAACUUCUUCCAUUCUCCUCCAAAACCGAAACCACACCCAAAGGUGAGCUUCAUUCCCCCUAUUUUUGGUUUUUAUAAGUUUUUUGGGGGGGGGGGAAUACAAGCAAAUGUGUAGAUCUAUCAUUAUGUGUAUGCCUUGUAUGAUUUCUAUGUUUAUUUACAUACUUUUGUGUGUUUAUGGUGUUGAAACUAGUCAAAAGGACCUAAAAAUCGAGAUUUGUGUUAUGAUGCAUGAAACAAGUGCUAAAACAUAUCAUUAUACAUAAGUCAUUACUAGAAAAAUAACCAAGUUGGUUUAGAUGAACAUCUUGGGCUAAAAAUCACAUUUUUGGACUUAAAAUGCUAAGAAUAUGAAGUUUAAGGGCCCAAAAUGUCAAAAUACAAAUUCUGGAGGUUAAGAAGUGUCAAAACAGUUUCAUAAAGGAAUUUUUCCAGAAAUAUACACUUUAGAAUGUUUAAAAUGUAAAUUUCUAAACUUAAUGGGCUAAAAAUGAACUUUUCGGCCCAAUAGGGCCCAAUAUGCGAAAUUUUCCAAUUUGAGGGGCUGAAACUGUGUUUUUCCGUAAAACAGUGGACUACUAGUGUUCCAAGUCCUUUUCAAAGGUUAAAAAUGCUUUUCAUAAUUAAAAAGGACCAAAGUUGCAAAAAAUUUCCAAUUUGGGCCAAAAGUGUAAAAAUUGCGAAAAAGAGAGGUUACAGCCGAGAAAACUGUAUUUUGAGGGACUAAAACUGUUUUCAACUAAAAAUGUGCUGAAAAAUAUCAAUUUCAAUAAGUUUUGGUGUUAGAAUGCCAAGAAAAAUGGUUUAAGGACUAAACCGGAAAUUAAUUUAUUCAAAGGGUUGAAAAAGUAAAUUUACAAAAUAAAGAGGGGCUGUAAACAGAAAAAUUUCAAUGUUAAUUCAAUACAUCCGUUGUGAUCAAAUAUUGACACUGCGACUACCGACGAAUUACAAUACACAACAACACCAAAAAUCGUUAUCAAACGAAUUGAUUCGGUCUCGAAUCAAUAACAAAUCCGAAACUACUAACACGACGACAACUCGAUUCAUACACGGAAAAUUUGGGAAUUCAAUACACACGUGAGAGUGCACAGACGUCGAUACACCAUCUUUGGGCCCAAAAGUGUAAAAUCUUGUUUGUUGGGCCUAGCUAGCCCAAUGACCUGAUCUUUAGGCCCGAAGACAUCAACCUUACGAGUUGUUGGGUCUUACAUGAUCCAACACAGCGUAAAAGGACUUUCAAUGGCAACGUGCUGCUGGUCCCCAAGGGUCCUUCGGUACUGCUAGCAAAGUCGAGAAUUCACCAAUGCGAGUUGGGCUAAGGGCCCUUCGCAUUCACUAUAGCCUUGAACGACGUAGGGAAUUACCUGGGGCUUCGCACUCACUUUUUCCCCUCGGUCGUGGGGCUACAUGAGUCCGGGUGGUUGGGUUAAGUGAAUAGUGCGAGCGACGCCUAAGGGAAUCGUUUGUAUGGUUGUCAACUGGUCAUUUUCAUUAAUGUACGUUUACAACAAUUCACAAUCCACAAUUAAUCCAACGUCUCCGGAGAUCAACGAAUACACCUGUCGUAACAAAAUAACGAAACAUAAAAAUUAUUUAAUGCAAAGUAAUGGGAAAACAUCGGGUUUUCCUAGGAUUUUCAAUUAUUACACCUACGAAUUACAUACCGAGUUUUUACAAAUCGUACUCUUACAUUUAUAGAAACAAACAAGCAUACUUUCGGAUCUUCACACCUUUUAUACUAUACAAUUUUCAGAAAAUAUCGGAUUUUCUGGUGGUUUUCAAAACGAUACAAAACAUUGGAUUUCAAACAUUACUUAUGAACUCACCAACAUUUCAUAUGUUGACGUUUUUCAAAAUACUUGUAUUCUCAGGUAACAGAUAAAGUGAAGGAAGAAUUGUACUCUAUGACGUUUUGCUGUUGUUUAAUUAAUAUCGAACAAUUUACUUUUGGGAAUGUAAUAUUUUGAAACUAUGUACUGAAUGUAAACGCUACCGGUUGUAAUAUUCCAAUGCUUGGUAUUGUAUGAUGUUAUGUUUCAUUUAUAUUCAUUGUGAUGGUAUUCAAUUGAGUCACGACAGCCCCCGGACGUUUCCGCCGUCUGGUUCGGGGGUGUGACAUAACAUGAAGGCAGAGAUUUCCAUAUAUGUCGAUAAAUGUUUGACCUGCUCCAAAGUCAAAGCGGAGUACCAAAAGCCAACAAGAUUAGUACAACAACCGUCAAUCCCAGAAUGCAAAAGCGGAUAGAUAACCAUGGAGUUCAUAAUAAAUUUGCCAAAGACAUCAAGUGGUUAUGAAUCCAUAUCGGUUAGUAGUUCAACGUUUCACGAAUUCUGCCCAUUUCUUGGAGAUCAAAAAGACUGACAAGAUGAAGAAACUCACUAUGACCUAUCUCAAGGAAAUAGUUAGGCGGCAUGGUGUGCCAAUAUGUAUUAUCUCGGACCGAGAUAGUAGAUUCACUUCCAUAUUUUGGCAAUCUAUAAUGCCUAGUUCCUAGUAUGCAUUUAAAUUGAAUUUUAUUCAUUUUUGUAGAGCAACUCGACCACUUAAGAGCCCCAAAAUCAUCGAGUAGAGAUGAGAAGAGACACGGGAUUUUAUGUAACCUACUCGAUGAGUUAAGAGCCUCAACUCGACGAGUAGGGCUACCAUAAUGAAACACUAAUUUCAAGGUUUUGCACCCUAUUUAAGCAUCUUAAUCCCCACUUGCUGGCCUCAUUUCCAGCCUCCAAUUCCAAAACCGUAGAUUCAGAAACCCUAAUGUAUUUGUGAGCUUGUGAGCCAUUUUUGAGUGAAACUUGGUGUGUUUUGAAGCUUAUGAAGGAAGGAGAAGCUUAGUGGUUCAAGAAGAAGCUAGUAGAUCCAGAGACUCCACUUUAUUCUCAUCAUUUUUUGGUAAGCAAGUCUCAAACUUUCUUAGUAGCUUCUUAGAUCUUUUUAUUAUUAUUUUAUUGGGUUUUUGGUCCAAGAAGUAUGAUAUUUGGGAUAUGGACGUCCCAAGUGAGUAUAUCAUCAGAUCUGGAACGAUGGAGGGCUUUCAUGGCAUAAAGGUGCAAACUUUAUGGCCAUUGAAGCCCCAUGCAAGCUAUAGGAUGUCAUUUUGUUCUUUUAAGCUCUAAACGGCCAUGAAUGAAGGGAAAUGUGGAAGCUUUACGUGUUUAUGUAGUGUCUAGGGUCCAUAUCUCAGUUUAUAUACCUUGGUUUAGAGCAUUGGUGGUUGUAGGAUCAAGAUCUAGUUCCUAAAGAGUUAGGGUUUGAGCUAAGCCCAUUAAGUAAAGGUAUUAAUGGGUAAAUUUGGAAAGUUUACCCUUAAAACGACAUUUUCAGUGUAUAUGAGAAGUAUGAAGCUUAGAUCUAAAGACUAGGGUCUUAAUCCAUUAAGAUGGCCCAAACAGAAUGAUGAACUCGUCAAGUCCAUAGAGGAACUCGACGAGUUGAGUCGAUUUGACCCGAUUCUGAAUAGGGUAGAACUCGAUGAGUUAAAUCGAUUUAGGGGCGGAGGACGUCAUGUAUAGUAUCACAAAAAUUGCAUAAUAGUAAUCAAAGUAAACACAAACAUUACAUUGAUAAAAUAUAGUAUUUACAUCUGUUCAAUACAUAGUUUGUAUGACAUCAAAAUGUAUAACAAAAGUAUAAAAGACGCGACUCGAAAAGCUCCAUCUUCUUAAAAUCCUGUGGGAGUACCAGUUUACUGGUUCCCUAAGAAUACAAGUGAUUUUGAAAGUGUAUCAACAUUUAAGUUGGUGAGUUCAAAAGUAUGUAUUUGAGGUGGAAAGCUUGUCUUUGUUCUUUGAAAAAUGUUAUAGUGUACUUCCAGAAAAUCCAUUAUUUUCUUUUAGUGAAUGUGAUGUAGGCUUAGACCUUAAGACCAAAAUGUAUGUAGUUACUGUAUUCUAAAAUAAUGAACUGUACUUUGAAAUAGUGAGUUGUACUUUGUAAUAGUAAACCAUGGUCUUAUUAAGAAACAAAACCAUUUCAUGAAUGUUUCUUGAAAUCAUAUGUUGAACUAGUGUACUAGUGUACUAUGUACUUAGAAAAGUAGUGUACUGUAGUAGUUCCUGUAUGAAAAACCUUUUUGUAUGAAUACCUGGAAUCCACCAGCUGUAGUGUAAAGUAGUAUACUGUAGUGUAAAUUAGUAUACUAUGGUUUCAUUAUUUAAAAUAAAACCUUUGAAGUAGUGUUGAUCUCGUAAACUAAUAUUGUAGUUGAUACUAUUGUGAGUUUCAUAUAACCAUGCUUGAUAUGACUAGUGGCCUCUACGACGUUCUUCAGGCGUCGAAAUGUUAUGACAUUUGUCACCCCAGGCAUGUCGGCCUAGUUGUUGUAAGCAGCUCAGGUGCAAGAUUGUCAGUCCCGUAUAGAUCUAUACACAAAUUCACGCUCUCCCUCCAGGAGACUCUGGUUAUAAUUUAUAGGACUUAGUAUUUUACCCUGAUGGGUACCCCGAAGUAGUGCCUCACAACCCUGUAUUAACUAGUUUACGUAUCGUGUAGUAGUGUUCUCUUGUACUUGAAACUAUAUGUAUUACCUUGUAGUAGUGUAUUUUGUAAUCUAAAGAAUUAUACUUAAAUAAUUAUUUAAUAGUGCAUCCUUGAAUUAGUGUAAUAUAAUAGUGUUCCAUAAACUAUACCUAUUAUAGUUUAUAUAACUGUUUAUGUAUGGUAUUCCUUGAGCAUGUAAAAUAGUGUAGUGGUUCAUAAACUAUACCAACUAAAGUUUUAAGUGUAUACCUGUAAUGAACUGAAGCAUUUGCAAUAUAAUAGUGUGUAUAAAGCGGUAGUAAGAGAUUUAUGAAAAGUUACCCUUUUGCUCGACAUGCUAUAAAAGGGCUAAAAUAUAAAAUAUAUUUUGGCAAAUGUAGUGAUAAAUCAUGUUGGAACAACUGCAAUGUUUUGAUGUGUUUUGAAAUCAUUUGAAAGUUAACACAAGAUUCCUUGUAUUAAGCUUGUAUCCCCUCCCCCCAAAAAAAACAUUAAAAUUAAGGAAAAUGUAGGGGUAUGAACUCACCUCUAGUGCAUGUUAUAAUCUGGAUACUGGAAUUGUAGAGAUGAUCCUCAGGCUAACGUACGUGGGAAUAACAGUAUCCUGAUAUUAUUUAAACAUUUACUCAUAUUUAAAUUAGAGAAAUAAUUAUUGAAUGUGUUAAACAACACUUAAUCUAUGUAAGAAAUAAUUACCGAAAAUUAUUUUGAGUGUAGAAGAGGGUUUUCGGUCCAGCCUUUACCGAAAUCCUUGAUUUCGGUCUUAAAUCCUCAACCGAGAACCAGGUUCUUGGUCUUAUGGUGUUUUCGGUUGGGAACUUGUUUUCGGUCAUAUGAAAAUUUGAAUAGUGUUCUUGGUGGAAUUUUUGAAGAUUCGAAGGAUUGUUCUUAAACGUUUGAAGGUUCUUGGAUGAAGUUUUGAGAGGAAAAUGUAUGUGUUUUCGGUUUGAAAGGUGAGAAAAUGACUAAGUUUUCGAGUGAAAUAUAUAUAGCGGUUGAGUUUUCGGCCGGAAAGGGGGUUCUCGGCCAAAAAGGGUUUGGUGUCCGAGAUCUGAUUUCAGUCCGAGGAGUUUGCGGCCGAGAAGGGUUUUCGGUGCAAGGGUCUCAAAGAGAGAAAUGUUGAUUUUUAUGUGCAUGUUCUUUUAAGCACUUAUAUAAAAACAUCAUUUAUAAUUUAAAUUAUGUUCUAACCCUCAUAAACUUAAUGAAACAAAUAAAACUCGAAAUUUUAUUUAAAGGAUUUGACCUUUCUUGACUUGAAAGUAAUGGGUUGUUACACAUGAUUUUGAUACAAUGUUUUGAUGCGAUGUUUUUAUAUACUAUCGAUUAUGUUUUUACAAGAUGGUUUGGGAUAUUAUGGUAUUAUUUAUAAAUUAAAAAUGAAACUUUUGGACCGUAUUUUUGGGAUGUUUCAAGUUAGUAUCAGAGCCUUGGUUUGAAGGAUUCGGGCAAACUCUCGGGUGUGUAGGAACUCAAACUGAGGGCUUGGUACAAAAUUUGUAAAAGAAAAACCAUUUUACAAAAAUGAUUUUGAAAAGAGAAAAAGGGUGUGGUGCAUGCAAUCAGCCGAGCUCAAGUAAGUACUCCCAAAUUACCCAUACAAGCUUAUGUUAUGAUAUGCUUAUGAGAACAACAUGCUAGAUUCGGGUUAAGGGUCUAGGAAGGAUGCCUUAUAUGCCUGUUAUAUCUAUAUAAGCUUUAUGAACUUCAUGAUAGUACUGAUUAGUCAAUGAUAUGGUAGCAUGAGUAGAAUAUGCUUGAUUAAGUUUACUCAAUGCCCGAAUGCUGCUUGCUUUGUGCUUUUCGGAGUCCUAGUUAUCUUUAACUAACUAGUAAACUAAUACGUUAAGUUACAUAUUAUGAGGACUAAAUAAUUUCAGAAGGUUAGGUUUAGGUCUAUUUCGCAGCCCUCAUCUGAGUCUAACCAUUGUAGGGUAGGACCUCUCAUUCGAAGAAUUCUCUGGUCUUAUUAAUAUGUAAUGGUAUUCGCGAUCUAGUUAGGGAGAGAUAGCAGGGACUUCUUAUGCAACUAAUGGCGGAGAGUGGGUUGGUGAUUACCCUAGGGCAAGCCUAGGAUGAGAUUAGUAGAGAGAAGUAGUAGUGAAAGGGACUUGAUGGAGUCAAAUGAGUUGUUGAGGAAUGUACGCAUAGAUAUGGAAGGUAGUAUGGGCCCGUACUACGGAAAGCAGAGGAUUCAUACUCGAAUCAAGGAUGGCUGAGAUGAACCCAGGAAACUUGUAGUAUGUGAGAUCCCUUGAGCUAUGAUGUGUAUACUAAUGUUUGUUAUGGUGUAUUUUUAGUAUGGUGAUGCUACGCACUAGGCCAUUCGGCAGUUCAAGUGCCUGUAAGAGAUCAGGCUCGGGCUCUGGAGACGGGCAGCUCUACGAGUAGAUGACAAAGUUCAUUUCGUCUGAGGUCACUCACAAUAUUUUAGACAAGACUCCUGUGAUAUUCGGUACAAUCAAGGAGGGUAUCAUGGUGAAGAACAUGAUGAAGAAGAUAGAAAUAUUUUAAUGGAAAAUAGGAUUAACAAAGCUUGUUUUAGAAAGUGUUCAUGUGUGGAUAUACAUUAGCAUCCACAUGAUUAGAUCAAGUUUCAGUAAUUAUGCUUAUGUUUGUUUAGUAAACACUUGCUUCUGUAUAUAUAGAUUUAUGCAGAUUAUGUAUUCUUUUAUGAUGAUAAAGUGAAUCUACAUUUGGAUUUGAAAGAAUUUAUGAUUCAUGAAUAUAAUUUGGUGACUAUUGACUCAAUUUACAAAUUAUAGGCUAUGACAUGACCUAGAAAACCAAAUCAAUAAGAAUUAGGAAAUAAGAGAAGAACUACAUUAAAAUCUGGAUUGUAAAGUUCUGAAUCAUACCUGUUCUUGAUGUUCUUGCCUUUAAAGCCUUAACGAUUGAUGGCUUUCACAUACAUUUUGGACUAAAAAUACGAAGGAUCAUCAAACUUAGAGAAAGCAGCUCUAGCACAUGUUUCUGUGAGCCCAUAUCCUUGCCGAAUUGGAGUCCUAAAAAACUACCAUUUACACACAAUAUGUAUAUUAAUAUAUUAGUAAUAAAGUAAUAAUACUUACCCAACGCAGAUAAUUGAUAAAGCCUUGUGUGUCUGCAGCUAACGGAGCACCACUACAUAGCAUGAAACGAAUGUCUCCUCCAAGUAUAGAACGUAUCUUCUUAAAAACAAUAGCAUCCCAAAAUAGAUCACGUUAUAGACAUAUUUAAAACAACUUUACAUGCUUGAAAUUUAUUUUCUUUAGAACAACUUUACAUUUGUGAAACUUACCUCAACAAUUCCAUGUAGGCUAAAAUAUUCAAAACCACUUAAAUUUUUUUGAUCCUUUUUCAAUUUUAGAUUUUAACACACUAGCUACAACUGCAAUAGAGAGGUAAUCUCCAAUUCUUUUGAUGCGUGAGGCACCUUUUCUAUAUGAUUUGAAGCGCUCUAAUGUUGGAUCCUUUGCCAAAAGCUGCAAAAAGUACACAUUUUCACAAGUUGAUUUUAUAUAAUUGGUUGUAAUGCUUGACAUAUGGACAUUAAUCUUUUUUGUAUAUAAAAAGAUAUAAAAACAUCGGCUUCUUGACCAUUCAUUACCAAGAAGAAAUUGAUAAGGAAAAAAAACAAUAGAAUAACUUCCUUGAAAGUCUUGGCUAUGCAUAAACACAAAACAUCAUGUUUAAUAAACAAUCAAAUGUUGAUUUCUUAUGUUAAGGUUACACACACUAAAGCUUGCUAGAAAUCAAUGGAAGUCAGCUAUCAGCCCUAUAUACACAAAUAUUGUGGAUAAAUAAUUUUGAAUAUUUAGAAAUUUUAAGAGUUGUUAAUGCCAAAAGAAAUGGCAAGAAAUUCUGGCAGUCAUAGACAAUAAUAUGGUUUGCAAAAAGAUUAGAGAAGAAAAAGAAUAUACAUUACAUCAGGAAUUAUUAUGCCACUUAUGCUACUCAUGGUACACAUUACAUAGCUCACAGUUACAAAUAAGAAGGCAGAUGUAGUGCUCGUUUAGACACGAAGAGCCAUGACUCAAAAGGAUGAUAUGUUAAAGCAUUAUAGGUUAUCAUAGGCAAGCAAGUAUACUGUAUACAUAAUCAUGCCAAAUAAUUGCAUAAAAUAGCCAAAAUGAAUUGUCUAAUCACUUUGAUUUAAAAUUAGAACCGGGACUUUCAAGUAGGAAAGAGUGAAAAUGCAUCAGAAAUCAUGAACUAAAUUAGGGCUUAUUCUUAUAAAGUAUCCUGAGAAAUUGAAAUUCAAACAAAGAAAACCUCGACAAAUAAGGCAUCAAUUAAAAUAUCUAGCAUCGUUUUCGACCUAUCCAUAUGCACAUGCAAUCCUAUGCCAACAACCAUCGAUACAAAUCAAUACCAAAUGAGGAUGAAACAAACACUUACGGCUUUCUCGUGAGCCCCAGGUUCGACAUGAAGUUGACGUCUAGAUUGCAAUUGCGAAACCUCCGCCGCCUAAAUCAAAUAAAAAAUUAUUUUGAAACUAACGGUGUCAGGAGGGUGUAGGUAGUGAAGACUUAAAAGAGGUUGGCAGUUACAUUCAUUUGUCGGAGAUUGAAGAGGGUUUUUCACAAAAGGAAUAGAAAAACGUAUAUGAUGUCAAUUAAGUAACAAGCAUAACAUAUUUUUGUACCUGUUAAAUUUCAUGAAAAAAGUAUAAUAUGUUUUAUAUAAUAGUAAAAAUAAAGAUAUGACAAAUUUGGUCACUUGUUGUAUAUAAAUCCCCAAUUCUUUAUAUGUUUUAUAUAAUAGUAAGGAUAUGACAAACUUAGACACUUGUUAUAUAUAGAUCCCCCGUUCUUUAUAUAGUUCAUAAACGUACAUUAUGUGUCAAAUUUGAAAUUUAGAGACUAAGGUUAACAAAUUAACAACUUUACAUUUCCUAAAAUAUGAGUUUAAAUUUAUAUAUAUGUAUUACACAAAUUAUACAACAAACUUAUAAUAUAUAUAGAUAUAUUAUAUAUAAGGGAAUUGUUUAUAAAGUCCUAAAUAAAUACAUAUAGGUAUGUAGCAUGAAUAUACAACAUUAUACCACCAAAUUCAUUCUUUUAAACUACCAAAUAAAAAGAAUUUGACAGCCAAGUAACUUGCAAGUCUUUGACUGUCAAAUUGAAGACUAUACAAUUCCAAUCAAAUAAUAAUCAUCUAAAGUGUUGCUUCAGUGACGUUUACCUUCUUCCCCACUCAACCCUCAAUCUAACACUCCACCCUUCUUCUCCUUCAGUUCCAGGUCAAAAAUCAAACACCAAACAAAACAAUCCUCUUACACUUCAUAGAUUUCUUUCAAAACAAGAACGAGAGAGAGAGAGAGAGAGAGAGAGAGAGAGAGAGAGAGAGAAACAACACAACAGCAACCGGAGUUGCUGCUCCCUCCCACGACACCACCACGAAAAAAAAAACAACAACCUACGCCUUUGUUUCAUACCUUCCCUACUAAACAUAUCUUGCCAUUCGUUUUCUUUUGUUCUCUUCCUUCAAUAGACUUAUUGGAGGGUCCCAUUGGUCUGUUAGCCACGAUUGCAGCCCAUUUUUCGUUCUUCCAUUUCCUGUGAAAACAACAAACCCAGACACCUUGAUCGAUCAUUCUGCCAGUGUCAUCAUCCUUUGGAUUGGAUGCCAAAUCAAAAAAAAAUGAAUCAAGAGGAUUACCGGUUGCUGCUUCGUCCUUACCCUUCAAUCAAACUGUUUCCCAUUUCCAUCGUGUUUACUUCCGAACGAACCAGGAGAAGAGCAGCCAAGAACAGCCACACCAAACCCUCGAUCUGAAAAUCCUUGAAUCUUUUUCCCUUUUCGCAUGUCGCACCAUUCUUCUUCUCCGUCACUCCACUGCGAAAAACCCAGCGGUCAAUGAUUGCCCUUCCUUCGCACCUCGAUGCUGGAACCGAGCAAGCAGCCGAGAAGCUGCUUGAGCAGCUCCUCGCUGCACCCCCCUCCGAGAUAAAAGUCGCCUCGCUGCUCCGCCCUUCCUCCCCUUCGGUCUCGUCGACCCCGAAGACACCGUUCUUCCUCCUCGCGAUCUGCAAUCGCCGGAUACCUCCCUCAGCCCUCUUUCUGGCCUGCGACGAGCAAGGAAACCAAAACCCGCACCGUUGUCUUGGUGCUUUCCUUCGUGACUG
rnacentral:lncRNA from 1 species